UAUAGAUACCUCCACAAACAUCUUGAUUAUCCAAAUGUCUUGACUCCUUAAGUCGUUGAUUUGCUGCUAUCCACCCAUUUAGACUUUCACGUUUUAGAGCUUUCGCCAUAGUUACAAUUGCAAGAGGCAAACCCUUAGCUUCACGAGCAACCUCCUUGGCUACAUCAUUCAAGGUGGGAGAGGCAUCUUUUAGACCAGCAUUAUCUUUGAAUAAAGCCCAUGCCUCAUCUUCAGACAGAAUGUUCAGUUUAAAUUCUUCUUGACAAUUCAUUUGACUACAGACUUGUCGAAGACGUGUAGUUAGAAGAAUUUUGCAACCAGGGUGUUUGUCACCAGAUGGAAUUCCUAUAUUUCGCAAUUCAAACUGUUCCCAAACAUCAUCGAGAAUAAUGAGAAUCUUCUUCUCGCCUUUUAAUCUCUUGAAUAACUCUUCUGCUUUUCCUUCUUCUGUACUUGCAUUAAAUUUUAAACCCAAGAUUUCAGAAAUUCUAUGUUGAAUUUUGUUGAUGUCUGGAUUUUGAGACACCCCCCUAACAAUCACAACUUUAUCAAAGAGCUUUUCUUCCGUAGCUUGCUUCCCCACUACUUCCGCCAAAGUUGUUUUACCCACUCCUGGCAUUCCGUGCAAUCCAAUCACGUUCACACCAUCACCUUUUAAAGCCUUCAUGAUCCCAUUGAAAGCUAACGUUGAAGAUUCGGAACGCAUGAAAUCCUUGGGUAGUAGGAACUCUAUUCCUUGAAGAGGAGGGCGCUGGCCGACUAGUGGAAAGUUACAGGUCUCUAAAAGUUUAGAGAUACAAAGAUUCUUCUUCGCGACUUUCUUACUUAAGCAAUAUCGCCAACCCCAACUAGGACACCAAUUGAAACACUUGUUACGCUCUAUUUCUUCUUCCAAACUCUGAGCUUCUCCCAAUUCUUUAUCUGCCUUUGUUAGCCACUCCUCAACGCCCUUCUUAAUUACCUCAGUUUGCCUUAAAGCCUCAUCGACAGCAUCUUUCAACUCAUCUCUUUUUGAUUCAAGUUCAUUUCGCCGGUUCUUGAAAUCUUCAACAAUUUCGCCAAAACGGAAAAAGUAACGGAGAUAAGGUGAUGCGUAUUCUGUUGCUAAGUUCCCCGCGGUACCGCUAAUAGCAGCGCAAACACAUUCAAGAAACAUUCUUUGAUGAUCUGAGGCUGAAAAACAAUUUGGAUGAGUAAAAUGUUUUACAGAGAGACAAAAAGUAAUUACGAAAUGUUCACAAAAUAUCUCGCCUUUGCAGCAAUACUUUUAUAAAAUAUGUGAAUCACAAGAGAACAAAUUGUCCGCCGACUAACUUGGAAAUUGAAAAUGCUGCACAAGUAGAAAUUAUUCACUGGUCAUGUGUAUAGUAAUUAGAAAUAUAUCUUACAUGUUAGAGUAAAAUCAUAGUAUUAUGAUUCUAUAAAAUACUUUCUCAAAAUUUAAAAUAUCUAUUUAUUUCAGUUUUUUCCUAAUAGCUACAGCUUUUGUGUAACCAUGCAUGCUCGUCAUGGGCAAGGAAAGAAGUAAAGUGCAAAAUUAUUAUUUUUAUUUUCCAAGUGAAGAACUCAAGAAGUCAAAUGCAUAAGUGACAAGAGAAAUAAAAAGCAUAGCAAAAAUUAUAUAUGGACAAUAUAAUAUGUAUUGUUGAAGCUUACCUCACUUCGAAAGGAUCUUCUAACGCUGCAUGGAUUUUUUCUUCACCAACUCCGGAGAUCGGGAAAGUAAAAUUAAGGACUUCUUUUCUGGAUAGAAAGCAGAGAAAUCCAAAUACUAGAGGUAGCAGCUUUGGGUUUUUUUUUUUUUUUUGGCCUUUGUGGAGCUGAGGAAAGGAAACGUAGGGAUCAAAGAACAGUUUUUGUUUUUUAUUUUUCUGAGUUAAAAGAAAAUGAGGAAAGUAGAAACCAAUGGAAAAAACGAACAGAGAUUUUUUUUUUUUUUGAGUUGAAAGAAAAUGAGGAAAGCAGAAACCAAUGACAAUAAACCAACAGAGAUGCUUUUCUGUUUUUGAGUUGAAAAAUUGAGUGGAAAAAUCAAGGAAAAUGAAAUGGAAAAUUAAGGCAGAAAUCAAACAAAAUCUUUGGGAUAGUGCAGCUCACAGAUGUGGAGAUGGUAGAAGAAGAAGCUUGAAUGGAAACUCUAUGAAGACGAAGUAGUGAGAGUAGGUAUAGGAACUUUGGAACACUAAUAUUCAAAUUAGGAACAACGGAAAAAAAUUAGCAACUUGGCUUACACUUCCCAUGUAAGAUUCUCUUUUCUUUGAUAUGCGAGAGCUAAUGCUAUACAUUGAGAAAGUUAAUUUGUUUUAUUUAUCGUUUUUCAGUUGGCUUUUCCAUAGUUUGUCCCCCUUUUGUUUUUUCUUCCCUGGUUGUGGGUGGUGCUCGAGACACAAAUGUUUAUUGCUCCCUCUAGCUAAAAGCUCUUUGGCCAGCAUGUGCAAUCAACAUUAUUAUAUAAUGUUUAUAGAUUUGAGGAUUUUUGUUUACCACUAGAGACAGUUGCAUGUGAACGAAUUAGAUAUUCUAUUCAAAUUUUAAUUGGGAAUCAGUAAAAUUUCAUUAAUAAAAAAAUUAUUUGGUGAUUAAGUUUAUUUAAAGGAUAAAUAUAGUUAAUGAUUAAGAGUUUUUAAUGGAUAGGAAUUCAUGGUGACAAAGUAAUAUGGUUUUAUAAAUAUGGAAUGUGUCUUAACUUUUAAAAUUAAGAUAGAGAUGAGAUCUUUAUAUGAUCUUAUGUAAAAGAUAAUUUUUUUUAAAUGGAGUUUUUUGUAAAAACUUCACAGAAUUAUAGAGAUGUGAGAAGGAGCACGAGAAAUACAAGAAAGAGUAGGGGAAACGCAGUUUGCAUGGGAUCGAAAGUAUUUUAUGAGUUGAAACAAUAGGGAGCACAGAAACUGGAUUUGUUUCGAAGCUUAAGUUUAGUAUUUGUUUUUAUUUGUACUUUUUGUAAUCUCUAUGCCUAUAAUGAAUUUUUCUGAAUGCAUAUUAAAUAUUAUCUCUUAUAUGUGCUUUAUAAAUUAAAUUUUCAUUUGUAAUUUAUUUACUUAACUUACAAAAUAUAUAGUAUAAAAAGGAGGGUUUUUCUUUCUAGUUUUUUAGUGAUAUAUUACCUUGGACUCCGCACCUGGUCUUUAAGCUCAUGUGGUUAAAGCUCAGCAGAGUAAUAAGAUUUGGUCAUUAUCUUGGGCUUUACGUUGACCCAACCAGAGCAAUCUACUCUCAUUUUAAGGAAAGGAAGUACUUAUUGUAAACCUUGAACUAGUGGGAGUAAUUGUUUAUAUACCUUUCUCUCUUCCAAAACGUUGGUCCUAUCCUUUUAUUUCGAAUUUUUUCAUUUUUUAGUUAAUUUUCUUUUAAAAAAUUAUAUUCUGUGGAGGGAGGACAUGAGCCCGUAGUGAAAAUGUAUUUGUAUUAUCAAAAUCAAAUAAAAACUAAAAGAAAUAUCAUCAAAAACAGGGGUCAAAGCCUUGUACCCUUUCUAUACUUUUAUCACUUCGCUUUUUCCGUUAUAUUUGGUCUUUGAGGUGAUGGCCUUGGAGUAGUAAUGUAUUCUUCCAACAAUUACUAGUCAUUUUACAAUAAUAGGAAAUUUUUUAGUAAAAUAUUUAUAUAAUAUAUUGCCCUGUUUAAAUUGUGUAGGCCUCAAUAAGUUAAAUUUUGAGCUGAUUAAAUUAUCGAAAAUUAUCCAAUAAACUGUCAUGGAGUUUGAAAACUUUAUCAAUGGAAUUAGGAGGUUGCAACAUAUUCAUUCGGAUAUAUUUGAAAAAAUAAAUAAAUUAAUCUGAUAAAUAAAAGGAUAUUAAUUUGACAAUAUUUUAAUUUUACUAACAAAGUUAAAAUCUCACCGAGGAUGCAUAGAUUAAUAGUCCUUAAAAUAAUCCCUUUGUUUUUACAAUUGAGGGACAUUGAUCGUUACAUGCAUUAGUAGUGGAGAUUUGUUGCCUUUUCCUUAAAAGAUCAUUACAUUUUUUGCUUAAUUGCAUGCUUGUGUUCGGCUUAUAUAUAUAGGCUUUCAUUAGUGCUUGUUGAAUUAUGGCAGUGAAGUGUUUAGUAGAGUUGAUAUGAAUGAAGUGACUAUCCAGAGAUAUUGCAUCGUAUCGUUUUCUGCUUAUUGGGUUCCAUUGCUUGGAGCAUUUCUGCAGUUUCUGCGUACUUAUUUGCUACAACUUGAAAGAAAUGAGCAUGGCAAGAUUGUAUACAAAUUUGCCUAUGACUUCAAAUUUAGUUCGGCUUGAUCAACAAAAGAGGAAAAUUUCAGUUGAGAUUUUAGCAUUUUGGUUACUGAAUGAGUGACUCUAGGAAGAUGGAUAACGUUCAUGCAUGCUUGCGAAGCUCGUUUGGUAAUAUAUAGCACAAAAAGCAUAGUGAACCCAACUUCGAAACACAUGGAUGCCAUCUAUUUUUCUAACAACAGCCGUGGCAAGCGUGAGCAUACCAAUUCUAAGUUCUAACAUUGGGUUUAGACCACUUUAUCAAAUUUCAAAGCCUUUCUUUAGUGCUUUUUUCCCCUGGAUUUCUUGGUAGAAUUAACUGGUGCCGUAAAAGAGGGCCAUGUUGGGGAUGGCAGGGGACGGAUUAGUGUAAUUUUUUUAUAUUUAUAAUUGAAACAAAUUAGAGGAAUGCAGAUUAGGGGACAGUAGAUUAUGGAAACGGUGGAAGACAUUUCAGCAGGUGGAUUCUUUAAAGGAGGUGAUAGGCAGUGUAUUAUUCUGUGAGUGCUGAUUUUUUGGCAAAGGAAGGUGCAAGGAGAGAAAGUUUUUAUUGGAUAUUGUCAUUACCUUGAGAUUUACAUUGAGCCAGUGGGAUUAAUUAUUAUUAUUAUUUUUUUGUUUUUAAGAAAAAGAACCACUUUUUGUAAACCGUGAACUAAUGGAGGCAAUUGGUUUUAUAUACAUAUUGCUCUUGCAAAACAUUGUAAUUUAGAAAUUUAGAAGUAGAGGUAUACGUUGAUCCCUUCAUUAAUUCGACAACUUCCAUAUAAAACAAAAGCUCAGCAGAUGAAGACGAAGCUAGCAGCUAGCUUGGAGGGAAGUGUGUAAGGCACUAAGCAGCUAGCAGUACAAUUCCUGGCCUCAGUCAUGGUUCACUUUUUGCCUAUGGAGACGCAAUCUCUUUUUAUAAUCAAUUUGUUUUCAUUUGACACUCUGUUUAAGAUGUAGUAGCUCAAUCUCAGCCAUAUACACGAAUAAAAUAAAACGACGGUAUUUACUUGGUUAAUUGGUUGUUAGCCAACUUGAUGGAAAUCUAGUAAUUAAAAGCCAAAGGAAAAUAUCAUCAAAAUCAGGGGCCAAAGCCUUUCGCCUUUUUUAUAGUUGAUGCUCCUUCCAGCUUUUACCACAUUGCUUUUUCCUUUACACUUGGUCUUUGAGGUGAUAGCCUUGGAAUAGUAAUGAGAACCACCCAAAACCAAUUAAAGUAGAUGAUAGAUGAAAGAAAGAAAUGAGAAUACUUGUUAAUUUGCUACUAAGUAGCAGCAGCUAGUCAAAUUCAGAUUUAUGCAUUAACAUAGUUUCACCUUCUUGUUAAAAUUUAUUCUGAUUCUUCUGAUGUAGCUUUAUUUACCCAGCAGCGAGCCUUCAAAAUCAAACAAAGUGGGACAUGAAGAACAAAAAUUAGCUUGGGACAAUCUUCAACCGAAGAAGUCAAAUUUGGAAAUACAAGAUGGUAACAUUAUAUAAUAAUUGAGGGAGCACUAUUUGCUUCUCUUUCUGGGUACUUACUUCUUCAUCUGCAAUUCCAAAUAGUUGCUCUAGUUCAGAAGAUCCUUCGACUGUGAUUAUUUCUAGUUUUGGCAGAGCAACAUUAACCGGAAACAGACUUUUCAUUUUAUUUCAGUAACCAACACAAAAUCGAUUCUUUCAACAACCCCAACCCCCGCAUAAGCCAGAAUUUCAAUUUCAUUACUUUUGGAAAUGAGAAAAACAAGAAACUGAGUGCGUACUGGUAAUAUUCACAGUCAAACGUAUUGCAUAUUUCAUCUGAUGGUAAAGGUUGUUGCAUCAUAUUUGAUAAACAAAGAGGAGAUAUUCGGGAUUUUUUUUUCUUAAUUUUAAUUUGGGCAUUGAAAUUUUAUUAAAGAGUGUUAGGCCUUGAAAAAGGGGAAGAUGUUUUUGGCAUAGAAACUUCAAGGACUUUAUAUUUUUCUUCUUCCAAUUGCCAUUGGUUUGUAAGCAAAGAUGGGAGUAAGGAAUGCAGUUGCCAAAUCUAACAAGUUUGUUUCACAAUUGAGGGGCUAUGUGAUCUGAUGUCUCAGGGUGAAGAUUUGUUACUUUUUCUCCCAGCGUUUUACAAGCAUGGAAAACCAUGGGGAAAUUUGUUGAUGUCUGACUCAGACAUGCAAGUAGACAUUACAAAUCAACUAAACAUUGUAAAAGAGAAGCAAAGAUCAACCAGCUGCAAGUCAACUAAACACAGAGAAAAACCAUGUUGCUCACAGUCCUUUCCCAAGUCAGAGAGGUAUAACUCCUGCAAAGACAUAAAUAUAUCAUAAUUUCAUUAGAAAUUGAAUAGAUUACAAAGGGCCAAGACACUGUUGCCUAAAUAUUGGAAGAGAAAAAUGUCUUGAAUCCCAAAGAAAGAACAUAUAUCACUCUAUGCAUCUAAUUAAUCAUAACUCAAGCAAUUACUUUAAUAUACGAUUGAUUAUAAGUGUACGUUAAUAAACUCAGUUACAAAGAUCAAUUAACAUAUGACCUCAAAAGUACAAAGCUUUCAUAUUAUUUCAAAAAAAUUUAGAUAAGCUCAUAUCUUUUUAUUGUAUUUAAUUAAAUUUUUUAAAUAUUAAUUUUCAAUAUCCAAACCUUUUUUUUUUUGGAUAAAACCCAUAGAUGAUGGUUAAUCCUUUAACAUGCGAUAAUAACUCCGUCACUGCAUGCAAUUGAACUUCCUAAUAAAUUCACAACAAAAUGGAAGAUACUAGAAAAAUUGGAAAGGUAGAUAAUACACCUUAAAUCAGAAUUGAAAUAUUUUUAUAUGUGUAAAAAUUAGAGAUUUGGGCCAAAAGAAAAUUUUGUACCUUUUCUUUAAAGCUUAUUAAAGUAGAAAAAUAAACUAAAGUUUGGAGUAUAAAUAGUGUAUAGUAUAUAUACAGGUAAAUGUCAAUGUAAUAAAAGUUUUCGAUGGGAAAGAUGUUUUCUUAUGAAAUAAACAAUCAACUAAUAAGUAUCAAAAGAAACAUUGGAACAAAUGAAAAUAUAACAAAAUUACCUUCAACUGAGACUGCGACGUAAGUCUUUGUGGAUCUUGGGAAUGAGUCAUUAAUUGGGGUUGGGGACUAAUAUUGCAAGGGUCAAAAUCUUUCGAAGAUGGUAACAUGGCAGAAUAAUUUCUUGGACAAAAGCUCCUCAAGUUUUUCAAGUUUUCAAGUGUUUAAAUCUGUUAUUGAGGGAGCACAAUACGGUGCCCAUCCUUUUCUUUUCCCAUGUUGGAGACAUGCAUUAAUUGAGGGCAAUCAAUUAUCUGAACCGAUUCCAAGUACGGAAGUCCUUGAGCCAAAGUGAUUGGAAACACAUAUUUCAAGCUUUUGCAACUAGCUGUCUGAAGAGAUUUCAAUCUUGGCCAGCAUAGAGAAUAGCAAUCCAUAAUUGAAACUAUUUCAUCCCCAUUUUCUGUUUCUAUGAUUAAAUGCUCUAAAGAGUCGGUUUUCUCUAUAUGGAGUUCUUCCAGAUGCUUCAUAGAUUGAGUAAGGGCAGGCAAAAAGAGAUAUACAAGCUUAGAACAUGACCAAAUUCUCAUAGUCGUUAAGACUUCGGAGAUUAACAAAAUGGGCAGAUCCUCUCCAUAUGCAUCUCAAUUUUGGUAAUGACUCAAGCUCCAAACAAGUUAAAUUUGAUAGUACUUGUGCCUCAUUUUCCUCACAUAAAGAAUAACACAUAAAAGUUGAGAGAUAUAAAGCGUCUUCUUUGCAUCUUUGAUACUUAUGCAGUAUCGCCAGCCCCAACUAGGACACCAAUUGAAAUACUUGUUACGCUCUAUUUCUUCUUCCAAACUCUGAGCUUCUCCCAAUUCUAUCUCUGCCUUUGUUAGCCACUCCUUAACGUCCUUCUUAAUUACCUCAGUUUGCCUUACAGCCUCAUCGACAUCAUCUUGCACCUGAUCUUUUUUCGAUUGAAGUGCUUUUCGCUGCUUCUUGAAAUCUUCAACAAUUUUGGCAAAACAGAAAAAGAAAGUGAGAUAAGGUCAUGCUUAUUCUUUUGCCAGAUUCCCUACAGCAUGUAAAACUGCGGAUGGCAAUUGUAUUCAGCCUGCAACAACAUUGCCCGUAGACUAGAAAACUCAAUAUCACAGAGAAGGAAGGAAAGAUAUGGGAUGAAACAAGAAAGGGAACCAAAAUAAAAAAACAAAAAAGAGAUGAAGGAACCUGACCCUCUCAAAGAAAUAAAAACCACAACAUUGUACACCAGCCAAUGAAAACCCACAACCUUAAAACAUGUCGUAUCAAAGCAACACCUUAAGUGCCCUUGAAGAGUGGACCAGUUUCAAGCCACAGUAGAGCAACCACACCUCACUGCAAAAUACAAUAAAAAUAAAACACAUUAAGCACAACGUAUAUAAUGUCAGAAAAUGAUAAUGGCAGAUGUAGCGAGCAUAGACAAACUAGUCAUUUCAUUUGUUUUUUAUUAACCUUCCAUGCAAUUAAAGUAACAAAGGGUGGUCAAACAGAUUCAGCAUGCUUGCAUUCUUUCUGCUUUUGCUAAGAGCCAGGAAUAAUUAUGAAAAUAUGUAUAAUUCGUAAAAUCAUGUUUACCUGCUGUGGUUGUUGGUAAGCUUAUGGUUGCUGGUAAUUCCCAUAUCCAAGAUAGCCCCCAUAGGACAUGUUAGGAUCUUGGGGAGGAGGUGCAUAUCCAUAUGCUUCAAAUCCUUGAGCAUAUCCAUAAUAUCCACCAUUCCACUAGGCCUGAUCUGGUUGAGCCUGAAACUCCAACAGAUUUCCCUCUUAGUUUGUAGAAAUAUAUAUAGCAAGGUUUUAAUUACAAAAUACCAUGAUUUUAAAUACAAAACCUGAUUGCUUGAAGGACUACAUCCCCAUGAAAGUCAAAUGUUUCUUCCUCCUAAUACGAUGCCAUUCAAAACUGAUAAAGCUUGCUCUGCGUUAGUCCUGAAGUAUAUCAAAUUGCAGAAUAAAUUAAUAUAAUAUAAUAAUAUUUCACGCACUUAAAUAUUCGGAAGAAUUUACAGCUUACCUAUUAGCAUAUUGAACAAAACCACAACGCUUGUUAGCAGGAAUUUUUACAUGAACUACCUCACCCAGCUGGCUAAAUAUUUGUUUUAAUUGGUCUUCAGAAACACUAGGAUCCAAACCACCAACAAAUAUCUGCAUUUAAGCAUGUAAGAUUUCAGUCGACCACACCAUGAAAUAAGCAUAUUAAUAUAUAUAAAAAAGCUACCCACUGUGGUAUUAUUUGGAUCAUUCUCGCCAGGAUUUCCUUGAGUAUUUGGGUAAGAAGCUGCAAAUGACAAAUACAUGUAAACUACAAUAGAAUGAGAUGAUAAAAAAGCUCAUUGCUUCUCAAAACUCAAAUUAAACAUUGUUGAAAAAACCAAGCAUUAAGAUAAUACACUUAAAAAUACUAAAAAAGUUCUAAAAAAUUCCCUCCAUGGCAUGCAAAAGAACAAAAAUGUAAAACCACCAGCUAUACAUCACUCAAAAGUUACAAUUACAACCAUAAACCUCUUUGGGUUACAUCAAGGCUUACCAUUACCAGGGAAAGUGAAAAGUAUCAGACUAAAUGGAUUUCAAUAGUAGCCCAUAAAGAAAUCAUUAAUUACAUUACACUCAGGGAAUCGGUAAAGGUCCUAUUCUUUCAUUAACCUUUUACAAUAGCAUGAAAAGGAGAAAAAGGAAAAUUGAAAUCAGAGACUUAACUUUUCUCUGCACUUGACAUGAAAUAUUUCCUUUUGCUCCUUUCUUUCACACAUUUUUUGUAAGGGGGAGGGGAGGGAGGGAGGAAGCUGUCAGGGCUUAAAUAGAAUGAUUCACAACUUCAACUUCAAAGAUUAUGUUUUAGUAGAAAGAACCUAUCUGCUAAACUAAUUUCAGAAAUGCUUUAACAUUCUCUGCGUAGACAGAAACCUAUAGAGAUUAUAUUAGCAGCCACAAAAUGAUAAGAUGAAGAACAUAUUUAGAAAAUAAGGAAAUUCCUCUAAACUGAAGUGAUGCAAAACCUCAAAUGACAAGUAGAAAAAGAAUGCCUUGAAAAUGCAAUAUUAAUACUGGUAGAUUCAUACACAGCUAGGCCAUCACUAUUUAGGUUUUGGCAAUAAAGCAUGCACGAGUGAUCCACUUCCAUUGAGGUUAAAUCCAUUAACUGAAAAUGCCUUUAACUACAAGUCCCAGGUUUCUUUCCUGACUCAAUUUGUCCUCAUUUGUAACAGAGCAAUAGAAUGAGGACAAAGAAGUUACUAUAACGUUUAAAAGAAGCACAGAUAUAAAAUGCAAUAGAACAAAAAUUGCCCCAAGGCUCAAUAACAGAAUGGUGCAUGAUAACAUCCAUACCAACUUUACCCAUGGCUGCUUCACCUAGUUUUGAGCAUUACAGCUUGAAUUUAAAGGAAACAAAGAGAAGAGUGUAAACAUAUGCAAGUAUCAAAAGGGAACUUAUCUACGACGAACUUAGAAAAAAAAGGUUUCUGGAGUGGUAAAAGUAUCUAAAAAAAGAUUCAAAGGAAACAUGUUGGGAAAACUGAAACAACUUGUACUUGACUGGAAUACUUGAUAAGGAACUAGAAAAGUAAUUUACGAAUGUAGCACAAAUACUGCCACGAGAAAAUGAGGCUUACGAUAUAAACAAAGUAACUGACCUAAAAUGGGGCCACGCAUUAAAGUGGGAUCAUUUCAGCUGAUACCAGUUCCAGGCUCCCCAAAAUGAGAGCCUUUUUGGUGUCCUGCUUUAAGACAACAUGAGUUUUAAAUAAGUUUGUGAACGUUUUAAUAUAAUUAAACGUGCCCAAGUUUGCAAAGGCAAACUGAAAGGAAAUGACUUUGUAUAAAUUCUGCCGAUCUUCAAGUGCAUAACUGAAAGAAUUCAAAUUUUAAGGACACUGUAACAACUAACAAGUAACAACCUCGACUCAGAAAAUUAAAACCCAAAAACAAAAAUAGAAUAACCAACAAGCAUUCAACUUGUCAAGUCAAAGUUCUCUAAGAUAAAUCAUGGCAGAUAAAAACUAUAAAAAAACCAAGCAACCUUCAUGUUAGUUUGCCAAGAUCUAUUGAUGAGCAUGAAAAAUGCUCUGUAGAAAAGAGUAAAACCAGAAAACUAGAAGAAGAGAAAAACUGAUCAGGAAAUUGGAAGAAGAAAAACUAACUUCUCAUCGAGUCAAGAGUCUGUUACACCUAUUUAUACACAAGUCAUGCUGACAUCAAAGAAAGCCAAUCCUAAUUACAAAAUAAUUAAAUAUAUAAUCAGAUAUCUAUUUACACUUGGACACGUGUAUGUAUUUAACACUUCAUAUGAAAAUCAAGAUAAAUAAUGAAUUUAACAUAACCCGUUUGCUUAUUCCUAAUCAGCUUAGCUGAAGCCACCUAAACUAUCCCAAAAAAAUUAAACUUCCUUUAAUUACUUUUUACUGAUUUUAUUACUUAAGUAGUUAAGUUUAAAAGGAAAAGAAAGGAAAUUCAUUUAAAUAACAAAAGGGAAUAAUAUUUUGAUUUAUUAAAAUGUAUAUAAAACUGUGAAUUUUAUUGGACUAUAUUUGCUCCGUUUAAUUAAAUUUUAUUAUAUUUUUUUACUAUUUUACUAUUUACUUAGGCACUCUUAAAUCUUUUUUUUUUCUAAAAGCCCCUAAUUUUUUUUUCUAAAAUAAUAUAAUUAACUAAUUAAUUACCUCUCCAGUGUGAGCGAAGAUGUUGAUGAGGUAAUUCUCAUCCAUCCACUGCUAAAGAUCACCGAUCUAGAAGGAUCGAAUCUCACUGGAGCCGCAACGGCUGAAUCGGUGGAGUACUGCUGCAUCUGACCUAGCGGAGGAACGGGUUGUGGAGCCCAGUCGGAAGGUGGAGGAACCGGCUGACCCGCCUGUUGCUGCUGUUGUUGUUGUUGCAUCAUCAUCCACGGCUGCUAUUGCGGUUGCUGCUGGUACUGCUGGGUUUGAGACUGAUCAGCUGCCAUGGACUGCGGUGGAGCUACACCUCCUGCUGGGGGUUGUUGCAUCAUACUCGAUAGAUAGAUAGAUAGGGAAGAGAAUCGGGAGAUCUCAGAGAGGAGAGGAAACCCAAGUGGGGAAUUGAAAUUUUAUAAAGAGAGGAUUUUGUUUUAUUGACCAGAGGAUGCUUGUCGGGGUAACACGUGGAGAAUAGGAAUUACGUGGCAGUAAUGGGCUUUUGAUAGGGUAAAUCGAGUAUUCGGCUUGGUAUGGGCUAGAUUGGGCUGAGUUUGGGCUAAAAUUCUUUUUCUUUGUUAAUAAAAAACGUUUCUUAAGGAUGUAAUAAAAAAAGUUUUAAAAAAGAAUUUUUAUAGACAAUUGAAAUUUGGUGUUAAUAAGCAUAGCAAAAUUUUUUGAAAAUUAAGUAAUUAAAUGGAAUUGAAAUUUGAAAAUUAUUAAUAUAUUUUUAUGGUAUAAAAAUUAAUUAUUAUUUUAUUUUAUUCCCUUUAUAAAUUUUAUGACUUAUAAUUAUGAUGAUUUAGUAGAUGUCUGAUAAAUUAUUUCUUAAUCUAUUAAAUAGGAAAAUUUUUUUAUCAUUUCCCUUCGUCUCAUUAUCUUUGUUCUUUAUUGAUUUUUUUGUUAAAUAAACUCUGACUUUGAUCAUUAUUUUUAAAAACAUUGUAAAGUUAUAAAAUUUUGAAUUUUAAACAUUUAAAAUUUUUUUUUGAAUUUUUAAUUUUAUAUAGUAGUCGUUUAAUAUGGUAAGAAAAGUACAACAUGGUAAGAAAAGAAAUUAAAUUGAACUUAAUAAUUCUAAGUGCAUGCAGAAAUGGUCCAAUCCCUUUUUAUAAUUUUUAUUGUAAGCAUUACUUGGUAAAAUUUUCUUCUAUCAAUGAGUAAUUACUUCAUUUUAAAUGCUUUUUGCGAACUUGUUGCCUGGACUUUACUACCAUGGCCAGAUCUUAUAGGUUGGAGUACUAAUCAAACUCUCAAUAUUUCAAUAAAUCACUUAAAACCUUCAUAAAAUAAAAAUCUACUUGGCUUGUAUAGGGAAAUUAAAGUUUAAUUUCUGACGCAGGAGCGUCAAUGAUUGUAUUUUAUUAAAUUUAGUUUUUGCUAAUUUAGUUGAUUUAUGAUUUAUUUUCUUUAUUUUAUUUAAAUUAGGAUUCUUUUCUUAUUUUUAUUUUAAUACUUUUAAGAAUUAGUAUUUGAUUAGGAUAGUUAUGUUCUAUUUAGGAAUAGAACACCUAUUUUAUUUAAAUCUCUUAUUAAUUAUUCUAAUUGUAUUAGAUAACUAGGAGUAGAGUUUUAUUAGGAUUUGGGCCUAUAAUACUAUAAAUAGGACCCUUAGGCUUAGUUACGAGACAUUCAGAAUUGAGAGUUAAUAAAUAAUAUUUUCUUAAGCAGGAGUGCUUAUUUCUCUAGACUCUUUUAAAGGGUAAGAGGUUUUAAUAUCUUUGGCCUAGCCAACCAAAGUGGGAUUUUGGCUAUUUUUCACCUUAGUGGGGUUUUCAACCUUGCCAAGAUUGGUGAUUCACCUUAGUGGGGUUUUCAACCUCGCCACGAUUGGUGUUUUUCAUAACGCCUAGGUGUCUUUACAACGCCCCGGCGUCAAUUUCCCAUGUCUUGAUUUAAAAUAUAGAAAUAAGGAUAAGAAAUAGAAGAAUUUUAAGCUUAUUCUUCUACUAAUUGUGGAUGCAGUGAGAAACAUAACAUUGAUUAGGUAAAUUACUGAAAGCAAGUGAUCCCUUUGCUUGACAACUCUGUGAAGCCAACAUCUUGAUCAACCCAAAGCACAAUAAUUUCAACUACCUGUUUUUUUUUUUUUUUUGUUUAUGUAAAUAAUAAAGAUUAGCACAAGUAAACUACUAAAACUUGAUUAGGACUAGGCAAACAAGUGAGAGAAAUGAAAAUGGAAAGUAGCCUUUGAUCUACCUGUGUUUAGUUAAUGGCUCCAACAUACUCAUUGAUGUUUAAACAUGCCUUUGCAACUUCCCCUGCAAUCAUCUCAUAGUUCUUCCUUGUAAGGUGGUAGCUCACAAAGGCUCUUGCUCCGUCGAAUGGUCUUGGCGUCUUGCUUAACUGGUUGCGGUGUCUUUUUUAAACAAUUGAAACAAGGGAAUGUAAAACAAAAGUAUUAAUGUUACAUGUUAUGAGGGUAAAAGAAAAAAUAGACAUAUUAUAAUUUAUAAGCAUUUUAGGCCACAAAUUCAUUAAAAGUAAUGGAAUCAUUCACUAAAAGUGAUAUUCUAGAUCAAUCUUUUGGUUGCAGUGUACUACUCAAUCAUUUAAGUAAUUUUAGUAAAGACUUUGAAAAAUUAUGUAGUAUAAUAUUAUUAAAGACUAUAAUUGCCUUUGCACAUACUAAAUAAAAUCUUAAACUUAAUUCACAAAUCAACAAUAAAAACUCUUAAUCAUCAAUAACGAUUAUGUUGGGAGGAUAAGGAGAAUGAAUAAGGUAUUUUUAGUUUUUGUGAAUAAUAUUCUUGCAAAAGUCCAUGAAGAUGGCUUCAAAGGAUUUGGGAUCAAUUUGGAAAGGUUGUCAAUACAUUGUAGGGAGAAAUAAAAGCAAAUACAGCUAGAGGUAUCCUUUUAUCAUAUUUGGAUAUUUUAAUAAGGAUAGAAGAGCAGUCCAAAAUUUAAAUGGAGUCUGGCUUCUUAACCAAAGGCUAGAGGUCAAUAUAGCCAGCUAAGGAAGCCAUGAUUCAUUUUGAAGAAGGAAGCAAAAAGGAAGCUUCUGAUGCACCUAGUGUUAACCACAUUAGGAACGGAACCUGCAGUGGGAUUUUGAGACAACUUGGUUUUAUUCAUUAAGCCAUCUUAUGCUCUGUUAUUGAAAGGUGCUUUUGAAAGAGGUGGAGCUUCAAAUGAAGAGAGAGGAGAUGAUUUUCAAUGUCUGAAAAGCAUGGAAAACAUGCUUUGGUUGAAGAUAAGUGCUGUGGUAACAACGUAAUGUAAUUCAGAUCUAGCAAAUUUAAUGGAAUUAUUUAAAAUAGAGGGCAUUUCAGGGCUGCUUAUGAGGAGUUUGUCUCUCAAAGAAUUUCUGCUAACCUUUGAGGAUAAGGAGCUGUUGGAAGAGCUCAAGGAUAAAGGUUGGGAUUGGCUUAACAAAUGGUUUGCUAAGGUGGAAACAUAGUUAGAGAAUUUUUCAUCAAAACUCCUUAACAAGUGGGUGACUGCACAGGAUAUCCUUUUGAUGUGUGAAAUAGGCAUAUUAUAAAUUAUAAGCAUUUUAGGCCAAAUUCAUUAAAAGUGAUAUUCUAGACUAAGUUUUGGUUGUAGUGUCAUUCUCAAUCAUUUAAGUAAUUUAAAGACUUUGAAGAUCAUGCCUUAAAAUAGACAAGACUAAAGUUUUCAGGGUGUAUACCUCUGUUUUGGCGUGCACAUAUUCCUUUGUAUCUAUGAAGAAACCUGUAGUCAUCUUGGGACAUCCUUCUACUCUCAAAUCAUCCAAAGCUGAUAAUACAAAGUGAUAUCCCCUUGGGCAGAAGUCAACGAGGCUUGGCAGUUCUUCAAGUGAUAAACUGUAUAGUUGAUCAAACUUUAUCUCCUUUUCAGUUGUUGCUUCUGCUUCAUCUUCAAGUUCAAAUACUUGCUCCAAUUUAGAGUUCCCUUUAACCCAUAACGUAACAAGAUUUGGAAGACAACGAGCAGAUCCAAGAGGAAAGAGUCGUUUCAACUUUUUGCAAUAUAGAACAAAAAUUUUGGUCAAAUUAGGAAAGCUUAUAGGUUGGAGAUCACCAUCUGAUGAUGAACAAACUUGAUCCUCAGCAAUGAUUUGGUCCAAUUCAUCACAAUUUUGUAUUUCUAGAUUGACCAACCGUGAUAAACUUUGAGCAGUUGUAGGUGAAAAUAUGUAUCUUAGCCUCUUACAAUCAAUCACCUUCAAAAUUGUAAGGUUCUCAAGAGUUACAACCUGAGCGACAUCCUUCCAUAUAAUCCACUUUUCAGAUAAAUCCUCCAGGAGGAGUUUCUUUAUACGCCCAUGAACUUGGAAUACUUCUUCAUGACUCCCAACUGCUAUAUAUUCUUGAUUGCAGUUGGCUGAAAUACGCAAUUGAAAGCUAUUCACCAACAUAGAGAGAUAUAAUUCCUGCAAAUACAGACACCACUAAAUGUCACUGAAUAAGUUCCUUUUCUAUUAGAUUGGGAAUAGAUGAGCAAAUAUUACUCAUAAUUUUUUAGAUGCCGAUUCACAAAAAAUCCCUACAUUUUUAAUGAUAGGACAUUUAUAUGUUUCAAAAUUUAAAUCCAAAAUUUUCAUGAAAUGCUCUGAAAGUGGAAUCCAAAAACAUCUACCCUCUUUCAAGUUUUCUCUGUUAAUUUUUAAAAUAAAACCAUUUAUGGUUUUCCUUGUCUUGUGUUUUUUUCUUUGUCAUUUUUUCUUUAAGCAUGUUGUUUUGAAAAGUAUAGAUAAAGUGGUAAAGUGUUAAUUUUUUUUAAUUUACCUAAAUUACAUAAAAAAAACAUAAAAGAAACGAACCCCCCGGAAAGCCUAACUUUCUCAAUCUGUUUCUCUUGUCUGCAACAGAAAGUAGAAACACUUUGAAUAAAAAAAAAGGGAACUCAUGGCCAAGAAGAAAAAGAAAACUUAAAUUGAAGAAGAAAGAGAAAAUUCGAAUCAAAGAAAGCAAGAGAAACUAGAAUCGAAGAAGAAAAAGGAAGCUUGAACAAGAAAAAAAGCAAGAUUUGUCGUCGUGAAGAAAAAAUAUGAUGAACCUCAAUUCAGAAACAAGGACAAGGAAACCCCAAAGAUCCCCACAAACAAAUUAAAAUUUGUUUUUCAAAAUAAAUAGUAUAAAAUUUUUGUGCUGCAAUUUUAAAAUAUAAUUGGAUUAGUUUGUGAGUGUUGAAAAAAAGAUUUAGCUCAAAGGCAAAAUCCAAAACCAUAAUUGAAGGAAAAGUGUAUAAAGAAAUACCUCUAGCUGAAUUUGCUCAUUAACUUCUUUUUGAAUAGUGAAAUUUCUCAAUUUAGGACAGUUGCAAACUUUCAACUUCUCCAAGGAUGGUGAUGAGAUGAGAAAGUUUUCCGAACUCAAAUUUAUCAAGUUUACAAGUUGAAAAUCUUGUAGGCAAGGGAGUCCAAUGGCACGAUGAGUUGGCCUUUUCCAUAUGCUCUUCAAUGUUGGUAAUGACUGUAGCUCCAACCUUCUUAAAUUUGAGAGUGGUACUGCCUGAUUUACCUCACAUAAAAAAAAUAUAAAAUUUAUUAAUUAAUAAAUAAUGAAAAUGAAUUGUUUAUACUUGAUCUUAAUUACUGAGAAGAAAUACAUUUUGUUAAAAAAAAGUAGAAAGAAGUAUUAAAAGUUAAUAAUUUAGAAAGAUUAGAUAGUAAUUAUUUAUAUAUUUGAUAAUUCAAAAAAAAUCAUUAGAAAAACAAUAUACGAGACCAUUAUUAAAGGAAAAAUGAAGAGAUAAGAGGUACCUCUAGCUCAGCCAUCUCUUUGUCAAAAGCAAAGACUUGCUUUAAUUUUUUGCAUUAAGAUAUCUCAAGUGUUUCUAGAUGCAACAGACUUUGAACAAGGUAAGGUGAGAAGAUAGAUUUUAGUUUAUCACAACCAUCAAUUGUUACUUCCUUCAGACUUUGUAGCCUUACAUGAUGAGUUGGCCCUUUCCAUAUGCUCUCCAAUGCUGGUAAUGACUGCAAUUCCAACCUUCUUAAAUUUGAGAGUGGUACUGCCUGUUUUACCUCAUAUAAAGAAAAAUAUAAAAUUUAUUAAUUAAUAAAUAAUGAAAAUGAGUUCUUUAUACUUGAUCUUAAUUACUGAGAAGAAAUACAUUUUGUUAAAAAAAAGUAUUAAAAGUUAAUAAUUUAGAAAGAUUAGAUAGUAAUUAUUUAUAUAUUUGAUAAUUCAAAAAAAUCAUUAGAAAAACAAUAUACGAGAGCAUUAUUAAAAGAAAAAUGGAGAGAUAAGAGGUACCUCUAGCUCAGCCAUUUCUUUGUCAAAAGCAAAGACUUGCUCUAAUUUUUCGCAUUUAGAUAUCUCAAGUGUUUCUAGAUGCAACAGACUUUGAACAAGGUAAGGUGAGAAGAUAGAUUUCAGUUUAUCACAACCAUCAAUUGUUACUUCCUUCAGACUUUGUAGCCUUACAUGAUGAGUUGGCCCUUUCCAUAUGCUCUCCAAUGCUGGUAAUGACUGUAGUUUCAACCUUCUUAAAUUUGAGAGUGGUACUACCUGUUUUACCUCAUAUAAAGAAAAAUAUAAAAUUUAUUAAUUAAUAAAUAAUGAAAAUGAGUUCUUUAUACUUGAUCUUAAUUACUGAGUAGAAAUGCAUUUUGUUAAAAAAAAGUAAAAAGAAGUAUUAAAAGUUAAUAAUUUAGAAAGAUUAGAUAUUAAUUAUUUAUAUAUUUGAUAAUUCAAAAAAAUCAUUAGAAAAACAAUAUACGAGAGCAUUAUUAAAAGAAAAAUGGAGAGAUAAGAGGUACCUCUGGGUCAGCCAUUUCUUUGUCAAAAGCAAAGACUUGCUCUAAUUUUUCGCAUUUAGAUAUCUCGAGUGUUUCUAGAUGCAACAGACUUUGAACAAGGUAAGGUGAGAAGACAGAUUUUAGUUUAUCACAACUAUCAAUUGUUACUUCCUUCAGACUUUGUAACCUUAUAUGAUGAGUUGGCUCUUUCCAUAUAUUCUCUAAUGCUGGCAACGACAUCAACUUCAAACUUCUUAAAUUGGAGAUUGUGCGCGUCAGACUUUCUUCCUUUCCAAAAAGCCAAUUCAUUUGAAACACUGAUUGCAACUGCUUACAAUCGACAAUGCUCAAUGUUUCUAACUUUUCUAAGAAGCUAGUCGGUGAUUGACCAUGGCACAACUCUUUCAAAGAAGUCAUGAAUCUAAUGUGUAAGUUCACCAAAUUAGAGAAUGCAGUGGUUGGACUUUGUUCUCGUGUUGUAUCGAUCAAGCAUUCCAGAUGAGUGCAAAAUGAAAGCUCAAGAGAAGUUAAUUCCUUUAGUCCACGCUGAUCUACAUUUGGGACAAUAUUUUUGUAUUCCAUUGGGACUUGGGACAGAGUAAGAUCUUCAACAUUGCAAAACAGCUCCUUAAAUGCAUUUAAUGAGGAUGAGAAAUGCUUAAUUCUCAAGGUUCUCAAGCGCAGCCCCGCCAAAUCUUGAAUAUAGUCAUUUACAGCUAUAUUGUAGCUUUGUAGUUUAGGGAACACAAAGUUUUCCUGAGAACAUUGAUGAGUAGAAACUUUAAGUGUUAAUGCAGUCAAACCAAACAAAGAAUUCAGCUCCAAUAAGUUAGCAUUGUUUCUACUUGUCACGUGUAGCUCUUGGAGUGAGGCCAACCUGUUACAAAAAAAUACAAAAUGUUAUUAAUGCAAUAAUAGCACUUUCAACCGAAUGAUAAAAAUAGCAAGGUAAUGAAAUGAAUAAGAUAACAUUAACUUUUUUAUUUCUUCAUUCUUAAAGCUACUUUUGUACUACAGGUUGCAAUGUUUCAUAAUAAUAGGAGUGACUAAAAGCUCAUGCUAGAUAUAUAUAUAUGUUUGUGAUAGUCAAAAUCAAAUAAAGUAAAUAAUAAAAAAUAAAUAAUUUAAAAAUUAAAUACUUAAUUGAAAACAAUAAACUAAACAAUUUUACCUUGAUAGCAAGUUAAGGGGGAAAUAGCUUAACGACACUCCACUGUAAGAAAUAUAUAGUGAUUUUAGUUUAUGCAAUCCCACUAUUUCUUUUGGUGGCCCAUAAAUAUUAGUCUUUAGCAAUGCCAAAAUCUCAAGGUUUUCCACAUUCUUCAAUGAUGAGAUGUUCUCAAGCUCGCAAUUUAUAAUGCACAGAGUUCGAAGAUUUGUCAAGAAUUUAAGUGCUUCCAGUGUGAGUACAACAUCUUGGAGAAGUAAAACUCGGAGGGUUGUCAUUCUUUCAAAAAAGGCACACGAAACUCUCAAUGAAUUCUUUCCUUUGAAAAACAAAGUCUUGAGUUUUGAAAAUUCCACUUUGUUAGGAAGAUGAUUGAUCUCAAUGUUCCACAAGGAGAUUGCCGUAUAACAUCCAAACCUUUCACUCAUAUGCCAUUCCGUCAACCCAUCUUUUACCAUGAAUAUAUUUUCCCCUCUCGAUGUUAUCCAAUGAGCAAAAUCACGAAUCACAUCAUGCAUUUUUACAUGGUCUUUAUCAUUAGCUUCCAAUAAUAAACCAGACUUUUGGAGUUUUGAUAGUGCCAGAUGAAUUUCCCUCCUUAAGUCUUCCAUUAAGUAAAUAUUAUUGAACAAUCCCUGACCAAUUCCGCAUAUAAUCAACAAUUCAAUACUAAUCUCAUAAUCUUCUGGAAAAAGGGAACACAACAAGAAACAUUGCUUGAUAUUAUCUUGAUCCAAAUAAUCAUAACUAAGCUUAAGACAUCUAUAGAUAUGUCCACAAACAUGUUCAUUAUCCAAAUGUCUUGAGCUCUUGAGUCUUUUAUUUGCUGCUAUCCACGCAUCUAGACUUUCGCCUUUUAGAGCCUUUGCCACAGUUACAAUUGCAAGAGGCAAACAGCCACAUUCACGAGCAACCUCCUUCGCUACAUUCAAGGUGGGAGAGUCAUCUUUCAGACCAGCUUUAUCUUUGAAUAAAACCCAUGCUUCAUGUUCAGAUAAAAUGUUCAGCUUAAAUUCCUCUUCACAAUCCAUUUUACAACAAACUUGUUGAUCACGUGUAGUUAAAAGAAUUUUGCAACCCUCGUGUUCACCACCGAAUGGAAUUCCUAUAAUUUGCAAUUCAAGUUCCUUCCAAACAUCAUCGAGAAUUAUGAGAAUCUUAUUCUCGCCUUUUAAUCUUCGCCAUAACUCUUCUGCUUUUCCUUUUUCUGUACUGGCUUCAAAUUUUAAACCAAAGAGUUCUGCAAUCCUUGCCCGAAUUUCGUUGAGGUUUGGAGUUUGGGAUACUGUAACACUCACAACCUUAUCAAAAAGCUUUUGUUCUGUAGCUUGCUUCAGCACUACAUCCGCCAAAGUUGUUUUACCCACUCCUGGCAUGCCGUACAAUCCAAUUAUUGUCACACCAUCACUUUUUAAAGCCUUCAUGAUUCCAUUGAAAGCUAACAUUGAAGAUUCAGAACGCAUGAAAUCCUUGGGUAGUAAGAGCUCUAUUCCUUGAAGAGGAGGACGAUGGCCAACUCGUGGAAAGUUACAAACCUCUAAAAGUUUAGAGAUAGAAAGUGUCUUCUUCGCUACUUUCUUGCUUAAGCAGUAUCGCCAGCCGCAACUAGGACACCAAUUGAAACACUUGUUACGUUCUAUUUCUUCUUCCAAACUCUGAGCUUCAUCCAAUUCUUUCUCUGCCUUUGUUAGCCACUCCUCAACGCCCUUCUUAAUUACCUCAGUUUGCCUUAAAGCCUCAUCGACAGCAUCUUUCACCUCAUCUCUUUUUGAUUUAAGUUCAUUUCGCCGGUUCUUGAAAUCUUCAACAAUUUUGCCAAAACGAAAAAAGUAGCCAACAUAAGGUGAUGCGUAUUCUGUUGCCAGGUUCCCAACGCAAUUGGCAAUAGCAGAGGUAACACAAUCAAGAGCCAUUCUUUGAUGAUCUGAGACUCAAACAAUUUGGAAAAGUAAAAAGUAUUGCAAAUAUCUCUCAAGCUGAUUAAGAUGAAAGAAUUACUUAAUUUGAAAACAGAAAACAAAUAAACCAAAGAAGAAAAAGAUGAAGAUUUACGUACCAAGGAAAUCUACAGAUGAACUUUCAGGAGCCAAGACGGAGCAGCUUCUAUUUUGAUCUAACCAAGCUCACCAACUCGGUGAAGGUUUUUUUUUUUUUUUUUAAAGUUCAAAGAAAACUGAAGCAGAAAUGAACUUUGCACUGCAACAAUCAGAAGAUCAAGGAAUUAAAAAAAAACAGACUUUCACUUAUCAUCUUUUUAGUUCUGCUUCUGUUACAAAUGAACAAAGGAAACCAGAAAAAGCAAAGUAAACAGAGCACUCUUAAGGCAAGAAUUUUUUUUUUUUAAAGUAUCGCCUUUCUUUCCCUAAAGCAAAGAGGUGAGCUUACAAAAAAGAAAUUAAUAGUGGAGAAGGUACUGAAAUCUUUUCUUGGAACUUACCUCUGUAUUCUCAACAAUUGAAUGUGAAAGGGUAAGAGACAAACACAAAGUUUCUAGCUCUCUUCUUCACACAAAUGCCAUGGGUGGAGUGUAACUGUAUAAGAUCAAAAGAGUUAAUUUGGACAUAGAAAAUAAUUAAGUGCCAAUUUUGCAGGUAAAGUUUGCAAAUGUAUACUCAAUUGCAAAAACCAAGACAAAAAUAAGCCAUGGAAGAAAAUGAUGCACAUGUAUACCAAUGAAAGAUGAAGUUUAAGGAGCCAAAGCCAAGCUUUUCUAUAUUGGUCGAAGAAAACUUAAGUAGAAAUUAAGUUUGUACUACAAUAACAAAAGGCCACUCGCAGAGGGAAUUAAGAAACAACAAACAUUUGUCAACCUAAGAUCAAAAGAACAACUUAAUUUGAAAACAGAAAAUAUGUGUCAAUGCAUCUAAACCUGCAAAUAUCUAUUCUCAAAUCUAAAACCACAGAAGAAAAGGAUGAACAUUUACAUACCAAAGGAAAUAUACAUGAACUUUGAGGUGGCAAGACGGAGCUUCUAUUUUGAUCCAGCCAAAAUAUAUCACAGACACUGACAAAGUCGGUGAAGUUUUUUUCCUUUUUUUUUUUUUUGAGUUCAAAGAAAACUGUAGUAGAUAUAAUAAACUUUUGCACUGCAAUGAUCAGAAGGCUAGGAAAUUAAAAAAACAAAAAGACUUUCACUUAUCUUCUUUAGAAUGCAUGCAGAUUAUAAUUCUGCUUCUGAUAAGAAAAGCAGUAGGUGAACAUAGAAAGUAGAAACUCUUAAGGCAAAGACUUGUUUUCUUUGGAAUCUCUUUUUCUUUUUAUUGUUACUAUUUUUUUCUUGUUCAAAUGCUAAGCGAAGACAAGUGCCCAACGUCUUUUGCCUUAUCAUUGACUAAUUCUCUCUCAGACGGAUUAGAAAAGAAAAAGAGAAAAGGACGGAGUCAUGGAGAUGCUCUGCUGGUUGGCUUUCCAGGAAGGGUUAUGGAAAGAGGAUGGGACUUGCGAGGAUGUUAGUGUAUAGAAUAUUUUUGAAUGAAAAACAUGAACUCAGUGUUAUUUAUGAUUAUUUUGUAAUUGAGCAUUACUUGGUAAAUUCUCUUUUUAUAAUGACUAAUGACCUACUUUUCAAAAGCUUAGCCUGCCCAAAUCUUUUAAGUUGGACGUAGCAAAUAAUUUAGUUUUAAUCUUGGGUGUAAAGUUUGCAGAUGUAUACUCAAAUGCAAAAACCAAGAGCCAUAGAAGAAAAUGAUGCACAUAUAUUUUGGAUGAAUUACAAUAAUCAAAGAAACAAGUGGAAAUCAAGUUUGCACUACAAUAAUCAGAAGCCCAAUGGCAGAGGUGAUUAAGCAACAACAGUUUAUUCUUCUUCGGCUAGCGAAAACACUUGAAUACAGGAGAGAAAAUUUUGAAUACAUGAUGUGAUCCUUCUAUUAUUGUCCUUUCUAUUUUUGUCAUUUUGCAAUCAUUUUUCCCUUGAGAUCCAUUUAUUUCUCACCGACUUGCUUCCUCUGUUUAAUGGCUUUCAUGGAAAAAUACUUUACCAUAUAUAGUACAAGGGAAGAGAGCUUCCCGGAGCUUUCAUAUAGAUUUUUGUCCCUUUUAUUUACUCCAAUUCCCCCUUUAAUGGUUACUUACUCCCUAUUGAUGAAAAGACGAGACAGACUCACGGCUUUUUCUCUGUCAUUGAUGCUUAGUUAGAAUGACUAAUGGAUGGCUUCCAAUUAUGUUGCCUAUUUUCGUAAUUUUCUGAUCUACCUGGUUGGUUUAAUGGAUUUCAUGUUAAAACACUUGCACUAUUUAUUUUAUUGUUGAGCUUAACUUUUGUGAUCAAAUUAUGCCCCCAAUGGAUUUAAAAAUAUUAUUUGAUGAAUGUACAAAAAUAGGUAGCGAUGAACAUAUAGCAUGUUACUAUUGACUACUGAGAUUGUAAUCAAUUAUUGUGAUAAAAUAUUAUAACUGAAAACGAACGGACAAUAAUCUGAAAAGCCAGUAGUUUCAACCGAAUGAUAAAAUAUUACAAACAAACAAAUAGCAAAAUAUUACAAACAAAUACAAAAUGUUAUUAAUGCAAUAAUAGCACUUUCAACCGAAUGAUAAAAGUAGCAAGGUAAUGAAAUGAAUAAGAUAACAUAAACUUUUUUAUUUCUUCAUUCUUAAAGCUACUUUUAUACUACGGGUUGCAAUGUUUCAUAAUAAUAGGAGUGACCAAAAGCUCAUGCUAGAUAUAUAUAUGUUUGUGAUAGUCAAAAUCAAAUAAAGUAAAUAAAAAGAAAAAAGAUAAAAUAAAUUAUUUAAAAAUUAAAUACUUAAUUGAAAACAAUAAAAUAAACAGUUUUACCUUGAUAGCAAGUUAAGGGGAAAUAGCUUAACCGCACUCUACUGUAAGAAAUAUAUAGUGAUUUUAGUUUAUGCAAUCCCACUAUUUCUUUUGGUGGCCCAUAAAUAUUAGUCUUCAGCAAUGCCAAAAUCUCAAGGUUUUCCACAUUCCUCAAUGAUGAGAUGUUCUCAAGCUCGCAAUUUAUAAUGCAUAGAGUUCAAAGAUUUGUCAAGAAUUGAAGUGCUUCCAGUGUGAGUACAACAUCUUGAAGAAGUAAAACUCGGAGGGUUGUCAUUCUUUCAAAAAAUCCACACGAAACUCUCAAUGAAAUCUUUAUUUUGAAAAACAAAGUCCUGAGUUUUGAAAAUUUCACUUUAUUAAGAAGAUGAUUGAUUUCAAUGUUCUAUAAGGAGAUUGCUGUAUAACAUCCAAACCUUUCACUCAUAGGCCAUUCCAUCAACCCAUCUUUUACCAUGAAUAUAUUUUCCCCUCUGGAUGUUAUCCAAUGAGCAAAAUCACGAAUCACAUCAUGCAUUUUUACAUGCUCUUUAUCAUUAGCUUCCAAUAAUAAACCAGACUUUUGGAGUUUUGAUAGUGCUAGAUGAAUUUCCCUCCUUAAGUCUUCCAUUAAGUAAUUAUUAUUGAACAAUUCCUGACCAAUUCCACAUAUAGUUAACAACUCAACACUAAUCUCAUAAUCUUCUGGAAAAAGGGAACACAACAAGAAACAUGACUGGAUAUUGUCUUCCUUCAAAUAAUCAUAACUAAGCUUAAGGCAGCUAUAGAUACCUCCGCAAACAUCUUGAUUAUCCAAAUGUCUUGAGCUUUUGAGUCGUCUAUUUGCUGCUAUCCAUCCAUCUAGAUUUUCACCUUUUAGAGCGUUUGCCACAGUUACAAUUGCAAGGGGCAAACCGCCACAUUCAUGAGCAACCUCUUGUGCUACAUUCAAGGUGGAAGAGUCAUCUUUUAGAGCAGCUUUAUCUUUGAAUAAAGCCCAUGCUUCAUCUUCAGAUAGAAUGCUCAGUUUAAAUUCCUUUUAACAAUCCAUUUGACUGCAGACUUGUUGAAGACGUGCAGUGAGAAGAAUUUUGCAACCUUCGUGUUCACCACCAAAUGGAAUUCCUAUAGUCUGCAAUUCAAGUUUUUUCCAAACAUCAUCGAGAAUUAUGAGAAUCUUCUUCUCGCCUUUUAAUCUCCGCCAUAACUCUUCUGCUUUUCCUUUUUCUGUUCUGGCUUCAAAUUUUAAAUCAAAGAGUUCUGCAAUCCUUUCUCUCUCGAAUUUCGUUGAAGUUUGGAGUUUGGGACACUGUAACACUCAAGUAGAAAUCAAGUUUGUACUGCAAUAACCAGAAGCCCACUAGAAGAGGGAAUUAAGAAACAACAAAUAUCUAUUCAAAUAUCCAAGAUGAAAAGAAUAACUUAAUUUGAAAAUAGAAAAUAUGUGUCAAAGCAUCUAAACUUUCAAAUAUCUAUUCAAAUGUAAAACCAAGACAAAUAAACCGCAGAAGAAGAGGAUGAACAUUUACAUAACGAAGGAAAUAUACAUGAACUUUGAGGAGUCAUGGAGAUGACUAAUCAUUGACUAGUUCUCUCUCAGACAGAUUAGAAAAGAAAAAAAGAGAAAAAAGAAAAGGAUGGAGUCAUGGAGAUGCGCUGCUAAGGACCCUGCUGUUUGGCUUUCCAGAAAGUGUUAUGAAAGAGGAUGGAAAUCUAUCUUCUUGGUUUAGUUUCUUUUAUCCUUUGCUUUCAUGAUCUUAUCUUUUACUAUUUUAUAAGCUUUUGAAUAUUAAAAGUUAUGAAUGAAAUAAUUUUUACAAAUAAUUCUAAAUUUGUUAUAAAUAAUUCUAAAUUUGUGGAGAGUAAUUGAUAGAAGUGGCCAUUUUUUAUGGAAUUCAAGGAAAGUGACUUCACAACUUCUAUCAUGACUUUGCAUUGACUUAUGCUAAUGAAGCAUAGUAUUCUCUAAACCAAAUUCACCAUCAUUUUAAAAGCAAGUUCACACCUUCAAUUCAAUUUUUUUUUUGGUCUUACGUCUCCUUUUCUUAAUCAGUAUUUUCCUGGUGUUAUGCAUUCUCGCUGUCAUUUCCUGUCUUCUUUUUGCUUACCCUUCUAUUUUGCUUCAAACAAAUUUUUUUUUUUCAAUUUGUCGUUAAUUAAGAGGAUAAAGAUUGCCAAUGGGACAUAGACAGCAUUGCUAUCAAAGCUUUUCAAUUAUUGAUCUGAUCUCUUUAUUAUUGUCUUUUAGAUUUUUGUCAUUUUGCAAUCAUUUUUCCCUUGGAGGUCCAUUUAUUUCUGAGUUUCUUGCUAGGUCGGUUUAAUGGCUUUCAUGGAAAAAUACUUGCACUUUAUAUUUUAUUUUUUGGACUAAAUUCUGUGUUUAAGGGAUUGAAGCUUUACACUUUGUUUAACACAAGAAAAAAUGCCGAAACACAUUAAAUGAUUCAUAUAGUGCAAGGAUCACGUUUUGCUUGGGGAGAAGUAGAGGUUCAAGGUACAUCUCUACUUUUUGAACAAUCAUUUACGGAUCGUUAGGAAUGUUUUCCUACAUGGCUGAUAAUCUAAUACAAGAAAGAAGAUCAUCUAAGACUAAUUUGUUCUAAUCAAAACUAUUUUGAGUUAAUUUCCACUAGAAAAAUUAAGAGCUUCAAGGAGAAACCUGACCCAUCAAACUUGAUUUGGAUUCAAAAAUGGUUUGGAAUUGAUCAGUGUAUUAAUAUAUUAUAAGCUGUUAUGAAAAUUGUGCAAAAAAUAAUAAAGAUAAAACUCAGAGAAAUCAAGCAAAUAGAAAAACAUAAGAAUUUAUGUGGUUUGCCUUCUUGCUUAUGUCCAUGGAGUAAAACCGUUCUUCUAUUAUUGAGAAAUUAAAGUACAAUAAAUUAACUUCUAUGGUUUCUCAAACCAACCCAAGAUCCCUUGCACACCAUUUUUCAAUAACUUCCUAAGAACACUCACCCAAACCACUUUAGCUCCACCUAGAACAAAAGACAGAGUUACAAGGUGUUUCCUCCCUAGAGCUCUUAAAGCACUACUCACUAUUUUAAAGCCUAGAAAUCCACCUUUAUAAUAUAGAAAUCAAAAGUAUAAUAGGAUUAGGACUCAAUGUGGAAUAAAAAGUUUAAAACCAUACAACUACUCAAUGUUGUACACAAAUAAAAAUCCUAAUCAAAUAAGAUUUAGAAUUCUAGGGAACCUAAAACUCAAAAAAUCUCCACCUUUGACUUGAAUUCAAACUCCUUAAGUCUCUUCCGCUAGUUGCACCCAAUUGUAACUUUCUAACUCCACCUACUUUCCAACACUUUGAACAACUCUCCAAGAACAAGACUUUCCAAACCACCAGCCUUCAAAAUUAUCACAACUACACAUACCAAAUCAAGCAUGGUCCAACACUCGAUUCUAUAGAACGACCAAUGCACCUAUGUAGUCGUCAAGUCAAUGACAGUAAUUGACUUCAGAAAGGAUCUCGACAACCCUUCUAAUUCACUAUUGACAAGAUUUUUCAUCCUUUCACCAUCGUCUACACCAUGGGAAACUUUCAUCACCUCCUCAGCAAAUGAAACUCAUUUUGGUAGCUACCAUCUUCUAUGCACUGUUCUCAUCCCUUCGAGGCCUCAUAUUCUAGACGAUGCAAACCAUUAUGUAAAUUCACCCUCAUCAGGACCAUGUCGUCUUGUGUCACUUUUACCAUCCCAUCAAAAGUAGAAUAUCCAUACCUUUAUGAGUGUAACAAGCUCAAUGAUAUUAGAUUCUUAAACAUCCUUGGGAUAUAGGCCACGCCAUCCAAUGAGUGCAUGACCCUAUCAAACAUUUUGAUAUUCACCACUCCAAGACAAAUGACCUUCACUAUUAACUUAUUGUCCAAAGUCAAAUUCCCAGCUACCCCUUCUUGAAGUAAAUCAAAAUAAUCCUUUUGAUAGCAGAUAUGAGUGCCUAAAGCAAAAUCUAAAUACCAAUAAAAAUUUGCAUCCAUAUUUCUUGAGAUUACAAGGACAUUACAAUCAUCACCUUCAACAACGAAAGCACACUCACCUUUGUUCUCGUCACUUUCAUCCCCUUUUGUAAGAAAAUCCCUUUUAAUAUGUCUAUACCCUUUACAUUGAAAGCACUGAACAUUGCUGGAUCUAGACUUGCCACCUUUAAAUCCCAUGCCAAUUGAUUUACUCCUAUGAACCUCAGUUACCAAUGCCAAGCCACUUGAAUCUCUAUCCCUUUUCUUAUUUUUUUUUCGAGCUUCACAAGACAUUAAUAUUGCUUGUGCUUGUUCUAUCGUUAUUGUAUCUAUCACACAUAUAAAAGAUUCCACAAAUACCUCAUAUGAGUCUGGGAUUGAUACUAGGGACAAUAGUGUGUUUUCCUCUUCCUCCACCUUCACAUUAACCUUAUUCAACUGAUUAAUGAUCCCAUCGAAUUCAUUCAUAUGCUUCAUGAGAUCUCUAUUCUCCUCCAUCUUUAAGCUAUACAACUUUUGCCUAAACUGCAACUUGUUGGAAAUACUUUUCACCAAGAAAAUCUUCUCCAACUUUGGCCACAAUCUUGGAGCAGAAUCCUCAUCAAUAAUAUGGCUAAACACAUUAUCUUCAAUGCAAAGUCGAAUAGUGCUCACACACUUUGCUCCAACUCUGCUUAUUCAACACCUUUCAUGUCAUCUAGUUACCCUUCCUCUUUUCCUAGAAAGGGGUGCAUCAAACCUUGCUGUAUAAGAAGAUCUUUCAUUUUUCUCUGCCACUGUGUGAAACUAGUCUUCCCAUCAAACUCGAUUGAAAAUUUACAGAACUAGUAACUUUUGACAUCCUUAUUGAAUCUUCAAUUUAUUGAACCCAAAGCUCUGAUACCAGUUUGUUAUAAAAAUUGCCCAAAAAAUGAUAAAGAUAAAACCUAGAGAAAUCGAGCAAAUAGAAAAACACAAAAAUUUACUUGGUUCGGCUUCUUGCUUAUGUCCAUGGAGUGAAACUGUUAUUCUAUUAUUGAGAAAUUAAAGUGCAAUCAAUAGACCACUAUGGUUUCCCAAACCAACCCAAGAUCCCUUGCACACUCUUUCUCAAUAACCUCCUAUGAACACUCAUCCAAACCUCUUUAACUCCACCAAAACAAAAGACAAAGUUAUAACGUGUUCCCUCCCUAGAGCUCUUAAAGCACUACUCACUAUUCUAAGGUAUAGAGACCUACUUUUAUAAUAUAAAAGUCCAAAGUAGAAUGAGAAUAUGACUCGAUGUGCAACAAGAAAUUUAAAACCAUACAACUAUUCAAUGAUGUACACAAACAAAAAUUCUAAUCAAAUAAAAUUUGAAAUUCUAGUCAACCUAAAACUCAACAUAAACAACUUUAAUAACCAAGGCUAAUGUGACAAAUUCUAUGCAAUAAUAAAGUUUACACAAUCUCUCCUUAGAAUUUUAUUCUUUUUCUUUAUCAAAAAAUAUGCCUCCUCCUGAUCCUUGUAUCUGUAACAUUAUUUGAUUGGGAGGGUAAAAGAAAAUGAAUCCCCAAUUUUCCCCUUCCUUCUUCUCUUCCCCGUAGAACAUGUGAUAGUGGUUCUACAUUCAGAAAAGCUAAGCUAAAAAUUUUUAAAAAACCAUUUGGAGAUAACACACUUUAUUAUGGAUAUCUCCAUUUUCACUUGUUUCUUUUGAGAAAAGAAAAUUUUUUAGUUGUAUUUAAGAGAGUCUUGUCAGUUGUUUUUCUCCUUGUCAAUUCUUUUGCUUUCAUCUUGAAAGAAUUGAAUCCAACACGAAAGCUCACUUUAACCAAAAAGGGAGAUAUCCGGAGCUUUUUCACAAAUUUUUGAAGAAGUAUUUUGAUUAAUUCUCUCCCGAAAAAAAAAAAGAAGGAAGAUUCUCUGUUAAAGGAAAUUUUAAUUAAUGCAAAAUUAGCUUCAUGUUUGUGAUCUUAAACAUAAUAACAUUUUUUCCAUAAAAUUUAUAAAUCAAUUGAAAACAAAAAAGAAGAAGAAAAGAUCAGCAAGCUUCCUUUGGAUUACUUUAACGAAGCAUAAAUUUCUUUGGGUUUGGGGUAGUUAUGACGUGCUAAAGGUUCUCUGAGAUUUCAUUUUUCUCUGUACAGCACAGAUCUUAGGUUAAGAGUAGAGAGCUUACUUUUGUUUCUUGCUCAGCUUAGGGAAGGAACUGCUACCAUUUUCGCCAGGCAGUUCUCUUGCUAUUUUGUACUUCCCUUAUGCACAAGCCUCUUUAUUAUGCCGACGAAAGUCUUUAGCAAAGUGUCGAAGACUUUGGAUGGUACGAAGACUUGCUGUUAAUAAAACCAUUUUUCAAGAAAAAAAACGAAACAUAAAUUUUCCUUAAACAAAAUUGAUCAUGAAAGAACAGACGUUGAAAAACAUAAUCAUGGGAUGAUCAUGAAUUCCAAAACUGAUGAUGAUUUGUAUUUUUUUUCCUUUCUCUUUUUUAUUAUUUUUAUUUUUUUCCAUCUUUUCCAUUUUUUUAAUUUUAAUUUAUAUAUAUUUUUUUUCUUAAUUUUUUUCUUUGUUUUUCUUUACACAAAAAAACAAAGUUUCUAUUAAAAAAACUUAACACAUCAUACAUCGAGAGACCACGUGAAACGUAAACUUACUCACAACAAGAAAAUCAUUCCUCUCUUUUGUAUAAUUUCUUGAUGCUAUGAACAUCUAAAUUUACCCUUUGUUUGAAUAAACGUGGAAGCCAUCGACACAACUCUGCAAAUCCAGGAGGAAAACACGUUCAUUAGAUUUUCUUAAAUUAAUUCAGGAUUGGGCGGAACACAAUGGAUCAAAAGAGAAUUGAAAAUAAGAGGAAAAAUAAGAAAAGAAAAACUGGAUAUGCAACGCAACACAAAUGAAGAGAAAAAUCAGAACAAAAAAUACUUAUGAAUGGAUGUGGAAACUCAUAAGUGAAAAGAAAGGAAAAUCAAAAUGCUCAGUUAAAUUGAAGUACCAGAAGAUUGGAGCAUUUUCGUCAAUGUUAGUGUUUGGUUAGUACAGUAAUAGUUUAUCCAAAAGGUUAAUCUUCACCUGUGAAAAGCGCAGUAAUUUUAAGCAACUGUUCUUUUUAUGGAAAUUAUUGGUUUUCUAAUAAUGAGCAAUGAUGUACCUCAUUGUUGCCUGGCUAAGUCAUAAUGGACAAACUCUAGUGAACAAAAAAUUCUUCCCGCGGCAGCUUUCUAGUUCAUACACAUGGUGCAGUGAUGGGUGUUGUUUCUUGGGCUGGAAAUGACUUUUAUGUAUGGGAUGAAUAGAAUAUAACACCUCCAACUUUCAUAUUCAAACACUGAACAAAUAAUGGAACAAAAUCAAAAUUCACAUUUUGCUUAAGAAAAAGAAAAAUAAAGGAAAGAAAGAGAAGUCAAUUUGGAUUUGGAUAACUUAUGGUUAUGAUGAUUUAGGGAGUGUCACUAACAAAUCUUUUCUCGAUCCGAUUGAUGGGCCAGAAGAAACCAAAAGAGAGAAAAGGAUGGAGUCAUGGAGAUGCUCUGUUAAGGUCCCUUGGUUGGCUUUCCAGGAAGUGUUAUGGCAAGAGGAUGGGACUUGCGAGGCUGUAAAUGUAUAGGAAAUUUUCCAACUAACCACAAUUGUUCAAAUUCUGCUUCAAAUCUUUUUUAUUUUUAUUAUUUUCUUUUUUGUGCUCCUACCAUUUGAGAAGAAAAUUGAUCCAUUAUUAUGAAGACUUCCUUGUUUAAUCUUGUCAUCACUUAACAAUUUAUUUAAUCUUUUUUAUUGAAGCAUAUUUAUAAUAUAUUGCCCUUGUUUAAAUUACAUAGACAUCAAUAACUUAAAUUAUUCUAGAUAUGAUUGUGUAAGAAAAUUCAUAAUUAAGGAAAGCUUGUAGGAACCUGUUGGAAUGCCUAAUUAAUGAAAUUCAUCAUCAAGUCCUAAAAAGCAUAACUAGCUUUUUGACCACGCUUGUCAUUGGAAAAAUAGGAAAGCCCAAGAAAUGAUGAGUGUACAAAUAAUGAAAUACACAUUUUAUUUAAAUAAAAAAAGAAGAAUCGAAGAAAGGAAGGUCGAUAGACCAAUUUGGAUUUGGAUGACUUAUAGUUAUGAUAACUUUUCUGCAUUGAGAAACACGGUUCAAUAAGUGAUUUAUACUUAUAGUUAUGAUUUGGAUUUGGAUAGGCCAAUAAGUGAGCAACACGGUUCAAUCUCCCUGGGCAUUGAGAAACUUUUCUGCAAUUCACCUUCUCCAUAUAAUCAACGCAAUCUUGGUAGAUAUUUCCUAAAGCACUAGAAAAUUUCUUCUCAUUUAGCUUUUUCACCACUGUUACGUUGUCUAACUCCACCUCUGUUAUUCCCAUAUUUUCUCUACAGAAUAUCAUUAAUGACCGAAGUAGGGACUAUAACUCUACAUCCUCAAUCUUACCACCAAAAUUAAACUUUGCUGUACCUGCCAAAAUCAUUUCACCAUAAGCAUCACGCAGGACAAAUCCUACUCCUAUCAUUGUAACGCCACUAUUGACAAAGAUCGCAACAUCAGUGUUUAAUUUAUUUCUUGCAGCUCUUCUCCAGUGAUCACAAGUUCCUGUUACCAUUUCUUCAUUAAUACCACCCGGCUUGUUGGCACUUCGAAAUUCCCUGCAAAUGUCACACCCCAUCUCCACAACAGUCAUGGGAUCCAAUUUCUACGGUUAGAAAUCCAGCAAAUUCCUAGCCUUUCAUAAAGCCCAUAAUACACAACUUAUUUCUUCUGCAUCCAGUAUUUCAACAAUCAAUACAAACCAAAUUAUCCAAUCAGCAGCCGAAUCAAAAUGGUCUUUGACACCCCGAAAUCCCCACUUAGAAUAAAGCCAAGCAGCUCUUGCAUAUUGACAAUAGCACAAGCAGUGAAAAUCUGUUUCUACUUUCUCCACACAGAAGGGACAUGAUGUUUCCGCAUUAAGAUAGGUGAAAUUCCUUUAAUAGCUUUCCAUGUAAAUAAAAUAUUUUUCCUAAGAAAGGUUCCAUAGCUUCUUCCAGACGGUCACGAAAUUUCCAUAGCUUCAUAGGUAAAAACACUUGAAUAUAGAAAUUUUUGAAUAAUUGAUGUGAUCCCUCAAUUAUUGUCCUUUUCUAUUUUUGUCAUUUUGCAAUCAUUUUCCCUUGAGAUCCAUUUAUUUCUCAGCUACUUGCUUGCUCUGUUUAAAGGCUUUCAUGGAAAAAUACUUUACCAUAUAUAGGACAAGGGAAGGGAGAUUUCCGGAGCUUUCGUAUAGAUUUUUUUCUCUUUUUACUAGUGGGACAUGGAAUCAGGAGCACUUCUUUUAUCAGUUUGUGAAGAAAAAUGAUAAAUUAAUAUGAAGACUAGCUUUGUUUAAUUUAGUCAUCACUUCACAAUUUGUUUAAACUUUUUUACUGAAGCAUAUUUACAGUACAUUGCCCCUGUUAAAUUACAUAACCAUCAGUAACUUAAAUUUUAAACAAAUUUUGCAAUCAUUUUUCCCUUGGAGGUCCACUUGUUUCUUAGCUUCUUGCUUGGUCGGUUUAAUGGCUUCCAUGGAAAAAUACUUGCGCUUUUUAUAUUAAUUUUUUGGAUUAAAUUCUGUGUUUAAGGGAUCGAAGCUUUACACUUUGUUUAACACAAGGAAAAAUGGCGAAACACGUCAAAUGAUUCAUAUAGUGCAAGGAUCAUGUUUUCCUUGGAGAGAAGUAGAGGGUCAAGGUACAUCUCUACUGUUUGAACUAUCAUUUACAGAUCCUUAGGUACGUUUUCCUCCAUGGUUGGUAAUCUAAUACAAGAAAGAAGAUCAUCUAAGCCUAAUUUGUUCUAAUCAAAACUAUUUUGAAUUAAUUUCCACUAAAAAAAGUAAGAGCUUCAAGGAAUAACCUGACCCAUCAAACUUGAUUUGGAUUAAAAAAUGAGACAGAAUUGAUCAGUGUAUUAAUAUAUUAUAAUCAACAUUAAAAACCAAGGCUAAUGUGACAAAUUCUAUGCAAUAAUAAAGUUCACACAAUCUCUCCUUAGAAUUUUACUCUUUUUCUUUAUCAGAAAAUCAUGUCUCCUCCUGGUCCCUGUAUCUAUCUCAUUAUUUGAUUGGGAGGGUAAAAGAAAAUGAAUCCCCAUUUCUCCCGUUCCUUCUCCUCUUCCCCAUAGAACAUGUGAUAGUUGGUCUACACUCUGAAAAAUUAUCUGUAAAUGUGGUUGGUUUUACCUUGUUCCCAAUCCCACCUGAAUUGCAGGGUAGUUAUAGGUAUUAGGACUAUUCUUGACUCUUGUCUUAAUCGAAAUGAGUCUAACGUAGAAAUCAACUUUACUAGAGUAAAAGGGAGAUUCUCCGAGCUUUCUCCGAGUUUUCUGAUUCCUUGAAUCGAACACAUUAUUACUGUCUCCAUUAAUGGAGAGUUUAAUGUCUUUGAAGAAGAAUUAUUGACUUAUUUUCUCUUGAAGAAAAAAAAAAGGGAGAUGCUUUGUUAAAGGAAAUUCUAACUAAUGUAAAAUUGAUUUUAUGUUUGUGACCCUAAAGAUAAUAAUAUCUUCUCUAUGAGAUUUUAAAAAAUCGAAUUACUUUAAUGAAGUAUAAAUUUUCCCUAAACAAAGUUUACCAUUAUUAAGAAGGCAAUUAAGUUUACGCCUUUAUCAAUUUUCUGGGUGCUCCUACACAAAUGAUUGUUAUUAUUAUUCUCACAAAGCAUAAAUGGGACAUAUAUGGAAUCAUUUAUGCACUCUUGAAUUAUUGAUCCCAUUAGAUGACCCAAUUUGUUUUAUCAUCUAUGUAUUUAUAAUAAUUAUAAGCUCCUUUUUAUAGAUAUUUAUGUUUCAAAUCCCUGUGACCAAUUGAAACUACAGAGAAAAAGUUCCAGCAAAAACUUCUUUCCUUUUUUUCUUAUUCAAGUUCAUAUCAUUAGUGGAGGACAAGGGCCCAAACAUCUUUUGCCUUAAGGAACUACUGGCCUCAUUUUUCCUUUCCUUUCUUUUUUGAAAUUGUAAACUUUGUGAUGCGCUGGACAUAUAUAAACACCACUUUCCCUCUGAGUUAAAGAUACUUUAGAACAAAGAAUUGAAUGACGAUGAAAAAAAAAAAUAAGGGUCCAAUCGGCGGUGGCGGAACCGGUGGAGUGCUGCUGCAUCUGACUGGGCGUAGGGACGGGUCGCGGAGCCCAAUCAGAAGGUGGAGGAACCGGCUGACCUAACUGUUGCUGUUGUUGUUGCAUCAUCAUCCACGGCUGCGACUGCGGUUGCUGCUGAUACUGCUGGGUUUGAGACUGAUCAGCUGCCAUGGACUGCGGCGGAGCUACACCUCCUGCUGGUGGUUGUUGCAUCAUACUCUAUAGAUAAGACAGCGGGUAGAGAAUCGAGAGAUCUCAGAGAGAAGGGGAAACCCUAGGUCGAAAUUGAAAUUCUAUAAAGGAAGCAAUUUUUUUUUACGGAGCAGAGGAUGCUUGUCGGGGUGACACGUGGAGAAGAGGAAUUGGGUGGGAGUAAUGGGCUUUUUGAUAUGGUAAAUCGGGUGUUGGUCUUGGAAUGGGCUUAGAUUAGGUUAAAAUUCUGCACUUUUGUUAAUAAAAAAAGUUUUAAAAAGGAAUUUUUAUAGACAAUUGAAAUUUGGUCUUAAUAACAAUAGGAAAAAUUUUAAAAAAUUAAAGUAAUUAAAUAGAAUUGAAAUUUUAAAAUUUAUUAAUAUAAUUUGAUGGUAUAAAAAUUAAUUAUAAUUUUGUUUUUUUUCUCUUAUAAAUUUGAUGACUUAUAAUUAUGAUGAUUUAAAGGAUGCCACUAAUAAAACUUUUCUUAAUCUAUUAGAUGGGAAAAUUUGUUUUAUCAUCCCCUUCUGUCUCAUUAUCUUUGUUCUUUAUUGAUUUUUUGGUUGAAGAAACUCAACUUUGAUCAUUCUUUUAAUAACAUCGUGAAGUUAUAAAUUUUUUUGAAAAUAAGAAUUGCAAAUUUUGAAUUUUAAACUUUUCCAAAAUUUUUUUUGAAUUUUUAAUUUUAUGUAAUAUUUUAAAAUAAUAAUCAAAUUGAGUUCAUUAAUUUGACUAAAAAAAUUAAAUAGAUAUAAACAAAAUGGGAUGGAGAUAGCAUGUAUUUGUAAAGUUCCCUUUUAUGAAUAUUUUUGCUUUUUAGUUUUUGCAAAAAAUGAAUAGAAAAAAAAGGCAAAAUAGAUAGAAAAUAAAAUAUAAAUAGCAAAACAAAAAAAAAAGAGACAAAGAUAAAAGCAUCAAGCUGGUAUGAAAUCUUAAAAAAUAAUCUUGUAAUGUGGAUAAUUAUCAAAAUGAAAUGUAUGAUACAGUUAGAAAUAAUUCUAAGUGCAUGUAGAAAUGAUCCAAUCCCUUCUAAUAAUUCUUAUUGUAAGCAUUAUCUAUUGAGCUUGUAUAUGGAAAUUAAAGUUUAAUUUUCCAUGUCUUAAUUUAAAAUACAAAAAUAAUGAUAAGAAAUAGAAGAAUUUUAGGCUUGUUUUUCUACUUAUUGUACAUAUGGAGAGUAACAUACUAUUGAUUGGAUAAAUGAUUGAAAGCAAGUGAUCCCUGCUCUUGAUAACUCUACAAAGCCAACAUCUAGACCAACAAAAAGCACAAGUGAUUAAUAAAAGUUAGCACAAGUGGACCUCCAAAACUUGAUUAAGACUAGGCGAACAAGCGAAAGAAAUGAAAUAGGAAAGUGGCCUUUGCUUUACCUGUGUUUAGUUGACGGUCCCAACGUACUCAUUGAUGUUUAAACAUGCCUUUGCAACUUCCCCUGCAAUCAUCUCAUAGUUCUUCCUUCCAAGGUGGUAGCACACCAUUAAUGUCCUUCCACCAGAAUAUGGUCCUAGUAUGGACUACAUUUUGAGCAAUGCCUAUCCCUUCAAUGGCGUCUUGCUCAACUAGUUGUGGUGUCUUUUUAAACAAUUGAAAGAGUGAAAUGUAAACCAAAAGUAUGAAUGUCUCAUGUUACGAAGGAAAAAGAAAAAAAAAAGACAUAUUAUAAUUAUAAACAUUUUAGGCCAAAAAUUCAUUAAAAGUAAUGGAAUCAUUCACUAAAAAUGAUAUUUUAGACCAAUCUUUUAGUUGCAGUGUACUACUCAAUUAUUUAAAUAAUUUAAGUAAAAACUUUUAAAAAUUAUGCAAUAUAAUAUUAUUAAAGAUUUCAGUUGUCUUUGCACAUACCAAAUAAAAGCUUGUACUUAAUUCAGUAAUGAAUAAUAAAAGCUCUUAAUCAUCAAUAAUGGUUAUGUUGGGGGGAUAAGGAGAAUGAAGAAGGUAGUUUUAGUUUUUGUGAAUGAUAUUCCUACAAGAGUCCAUGAAGAUGGCUUCAAAGGAUUUGGAUCAAUUUGGAAAGGUUGUCAAUACAUUUGUAGCGAGAAAUAGAAGCAAAUACAGUAAGAGGUAUCGUUUUAUCAUAUUUGAAUAUUUUAAUAAAGCUCGAGGAGCAGUCCAAAAUUUAAAUGGAGUCUGGCUUUUUAACCAAGAGCUAGAGGUCAAUAUAGCUAGCUAUGGAAGCCAUGAUUCAUUCUGAAGGAGGAAGCAAAAAGGAAGCUUCUUAUGCACCUAGUGUUAACCACAUUAGGAACAGAGCCUGUAGUGGGAUUUUGAGACAGAACUUUGCCUUAUUCACUAAGCCAUCUUAUGCUCUGUUAUUGAAAGGUGCUUUUGAAAGAGGUUGAGCUUCAAAUGAAGAGAGAGGAGAUGAUCUUCAAUGUCUUAACAAGCAUGAAAAAACAUGCUUUGGUUGAAGACAAGUGUUGUGGUAACAACAUAAUAUAAUUCAGAUUCAGCAAAUUUAAUGGACUUAUUUAAAAUGGAAGGCAUCUCAGGGCUGCUUAUGAGGAGUUUGUCUCUCAAAGAAUUUCUGCUAACCUUUGAGGAUAAGGAGCUGUUGGAAGAGCUCAAGGAUAAAGGUUGGGAUUGGCUUAACAAAUGGUUUACUAAGGUGGAAACAUAGUUACAGAAUUUUUCAUCAAAACUCCUUAACAAGUGGGUGAUUGCACAGGAUAUCCUUUUAAUGUGUGAAAUAUGCAUAUUAUAAAUUAUAAGCAUUUUAGGCCAAAUUCAUUAAAAGUGAUAUUCUAGACUAAGUUUUUGUUGUAGUGUCAUUCUCAAUCAUUUAAGUAAUUUAAAGACUUUGAAGAUUAUGCCCUAAAAUAGACAAGAUUAAAGUUUUCAGGGUGUAUACCUCUGUUUUGGCGUGCACAUAUUCCUUUGAAUCUAUGAAGAAACCUGUAGUCAUCUUGGGACAUUCUCUUACAUUCAAAUGCCCCAAAGUCGGUAACACAAAGUGAUAUCCCCUUGGGCAAAAGUCAACGAGGCUUGGCAGUUCUCCAAUUGAUAAAUGUUCUAAUUGAUCAAACUUUAUCUCCUUUUCAGUUGUCGCCUCUGCUUCAUCUUCAAGUUCAAAUACUUGCUCCAAUUUAGAGUUACUUCUAACUGUUAAUUGCUUAAGUUUUGGAAGACAACGAGCAGAUCCAAGAGGAAAGAGUCGUUUCAACUUUUUGCAAUAUUGAACAAAAUUUUGGUCAAAUUAGGAAAGCUUAUAGGUUGGAGAUCACCAUCUGAUGAUGAACAAACUUGAUCCUCAGCAAUGAUUUGGUCCAAUUCAUCACAUUUUUCUAUAUAUAGCUCGUCCAACUGUGAUAAACUUCGAACGGUCAUAGGUGAAAAUAUAUAUCUUAGCCUCUUGCAAUCAAUCACCUUCAGAAUUGUAAGGUUUUUAAGAGUUACAACUGAAGCGACAUCCUUCCAUAUAAUUUGCACUUCAAAUAAAUCCUCCAGGUGGAGUUUCUUUAUACGCCCAUGAAUCUGAAAUACCUCUUCAUGACUCCCAACUGCUAUAUAUUCUUGAUUGCAGUUGGCUGAAAUAAGCAAUUGAAAGCUAUUUACCAACUCAGAGAGAUAUAAUUCCUGCAAAUACAGACACCACUAAAUGUCACUAAAUACGUUCCUUUUCUAUUAGAUUGAAAACAGAUGAGCAAAUAUUACUCAUAAUUUUUUAGAUGCCAAUUCACAAAAAAUCCUUACAUUUUUAAUGACAGGACAUAUAUAUGUUUCAAAAUUUAAAUCCAAAAUUUUCAUGAAAUGGUCUGAAAGUGGAAUCCAAAGACAUCUAACCUUUUUUCAAGUUUUUCUCUGUUAAUUUUUAACAUAAAACCAUUUAUGGCUUUCCUUGUCUUGUGUUUUUUUCUUUGUCAUUUUUUCUUUAAGCAUGUUGAUUUGAAAAGUAUAGAUAAAGUGGUAAAGUGUUAAUUUUUUUUAAUUUACCUAAAUUACAUAAAAAAACAUAAAAGAAAUGAACCCCCCUGGAAAGCCUAACUUUCUCAAUCUGUUUCUCUUGUCUGCAACAGAAAGUAGAAACACUUUGAAUAAAAUAAAAAAAAGGGAACUCAUGGCCAAGAAGAAAAAGAAAACUUAAAUUGAAGAAGAAAGAGAAAAUUCGAAUCAGAGAAAGCAAGAGAAACUAGAAUCGAAGAAGAAAAAGGAAGCUCGAACAAGAAAAAAAGCAAGAUUUGUCGUCGUGAAGAAAAUAUAUGAUGAACCUCAAUUCAGAAACAAGGACAAGGAAAACCCAAAGAUCCCCACAAACAAAUUAAUUGUUUGUGAGUGUUGAAAAAAAGAUUUAGCUCAAAGGCAAAAUCCAAAACCAUAAUUGAAGGAAAAGUGUAGAAAGAAAUACCUCUAGCUGAAUUUGCUCAUUAACUUCUUUUUGAAUAGUGAAAUUUCUCAAUUUAGGACAGUUGCAAACUUCCAACUUCUCUAAGGAUGGUGAUGAGAUGAGAAAGUUUUCCGAACUCAAAUUUAUCAAGUUUACAAGUUGAAAAUCUUGUAGGCAAGGGAGUCUAAUGGCACGAUGAGUUGGCCCUUUCCAUAUGCUCUCCAAUGCUGGUAAUGACUGCAGCUUCAACCUUCUUAAAUUUGAGAGUGGUACUACCUAAUUUACCUCACAUAAAAAAAAUAUAAAAUUUAUCCAUUAAUAAAUAAUGAAAAUGAAUUCUUUAUACUUGAUCUUAAUUAUUGAGAAGAAAUACAUUUUUUUAAAAAAAAAGUAGAAAGAAGUAUUAAAAGUUAAUAAUUUAUAAAAAUUAGAUAGUAAUUAUUUAUAUAUUUGAUAAUUCAAAAAAAAAUCAUUAGAAAAACAAUAUACGAGAGCAUUAUUAAAGGAAAAAUGGAGAGAUAUGAGGUACCUUCAGGUCAGCCAUUUCUUUGUCAAAAGCAAAGACUUGCUCUAAUUUUUCGCAUUUAGAUAUCUCAAGUGUUUCUAAAUGCAACAGACUUUGAACAAGGUAAGGUGAGAAGAUAGAUUUCAGUUUAUCACAACCAUCAAUUGUUAAUUCCUUCAGACUUUGUAACCUUACAUGAUGAGUUGGCUCUUUCCAUAUAUUCUCUAAUGCUGGCAAUAACGUCAGCUUCAAACUUCUUAAAUUGGAAAUUGUGCACGUCGGACUUUCUUCCUUUCCAAAAAGCCAAUUCAUUUGAAACACUGAUUGCAACUGCUUACAAUCGACAAUGCUCAAUGUUUCUAACUUUUUUAAGAAGCUAAUCGGUGAUUGACCAUGGCACAACUCUUUCAAAGAAGUCAUGAAUCUAAUGUCUAACUUCACCAAAUUAGAGAAUGCAGUGGUUGGACUUUGUUCUCGUGUUGUAUCGAUCAAGCAUUCCAGAUUUUCACAAUAUAUAAGCUCAAGAGAAGUUAAUUCCUUUAGUCCCUGCUGAUCUACAUUUGGAACAAUAUUUUUGUGUUCCAUGGUGACCUCGGACAGAGUAAGCUUUUUCACAUUGCAAAACAGCUCCUUAAAUGCAUUUAAUGAGGAUGAGAAAUCACUAAUUCUCAAGGUUCUCAAGCUCAGCCCUGCCGAAUCUUCAAUAUCAUCAAAAUUUACAACUAUAUUGUAGUUUUGAAGUUUAGGGAACACAAAGUUUUCUUGAGAACAUUGAUCAGUAGAAACUGACAGUGUUAAUGCAGUCAAACCAGUCAAUGAAUUAAGCUCCAAUAAGUUAGCAUUGUUUCUACUUGUCACGUGUAGCUCUUGGAGUGAGGCCAACCUGUUACAAACAAAUACAAAAUGUUGUUAAUGCAAUAAUAGCACUUUCAACCGAAUGAUAAAAAUAGCAAGGUAAUGAAAUGAAUAAGAUAACAUAAACUUUUUUAUUUCUUCAUUCUUAAAGCUACUUCUGUACUACAGGUUGCAAAGUUUCAUAAUAAUAGGAACGACCAAAAGCUCAUGCUAUAUAUAUAUAUAUAUAUGUUUGUGAUAAUCAAAAUCAAAUAAAGUAAAUAAUAGGGAAAAAAGAUAAAAUAAAUGAUAUAAAAUUAAAUAACUGAAAAUAAUAAGAUAAACAGUUUUACCUUGGUAGCAAGUUGGAGGGGAAAUAGCUGUGUGGCACUCCAUCGUAAGAAAAAUAUAGUGAUUUUAGUUUAUACAAUCCCACUAGUUCUUCUGGUAGCUCAUAAAUAUUAGUCUUCAGCAAUGCAAAAAUCUCAAGGUUUUCAACAUUCCUCAAUGAUGAAAUGUUCUCGAGCUCGCAAUUUAUAAUGCACAGAGUUCGAAGAUUUGUCAAGAAUUGAAGUGCUUCCAGUGUGAGUACAACAUCUUGGAGAAGUAAAACUCGGAGGGUUGUCAUUCUUUCAAAAAAGGCACACGAAACUCUCAAUGAAUUCUUUCCUUUGAGAAACAAAGUCUUGAGUUUUGAAAAUUCCACUUUGUUAGGAAGAUGAUUGAUCUCAAUGUUCCACAAGGAGAUUGCCGUAUAACAUCCAAACCUUUCACUCAUAUGCCAUUCCGUCAACCCAUCUUUUACCAUGAAUAUAUUUUCCCCUCUCGAUGUUAUCCAAUGAGCAAAAUCACGAAUCACAUCAUGCAUUUUUACAUGCUCUUUAUCAUUAGCUUCCAAUAAUAAACCAGACUUUUGGAGUUUUGAUAGUGCCAGAUGAAUUUCCCUCCUUAAGUCUUCCAUUAAGUAAUUAUUAUUGAACAAUCCCUGACCAAUUCCGCAUAUAGUCAACAACUCAAUAGUAAUCUCAUAAUCUUCUGGAAAAAGGGAACAUAACAAGAAACAUUGCUUAAUAUUAUCUUGAUCCAAAUAAUCAUAACUAAGCUCAAGGCAUCUAUAGAUAUGUCCACAAACAUGUUGAUUAUCCAAAUGUCUUGAGCUCUUGAGUCGUUUAUUUGCUGCUAUCCACCCAUCUUCACUUUCACCUUUUAGAGCGUUUGCUACAGUUACGAUUGCAAGGGGCAAACCGCCACAUUCAUGAGCAACCUCCUUUGCCACAUUCAAGGUGGGAGAGUCAUCUUUUAGAGCAGCUUUAUCUUUGAAUAAAGCCCAUGCUUCGUCUUCAGACAGAAUGUUCAGUUUAAAUUCCUCUUGACAAUCCAUUUGACUGCAGACCUGUUGAAGACGUGUAGUGAGGAGAAUUUUGCAACCUUCGUGUUCACCGCCAAAUGGAAUUCCUAUAGUAUGCAAUUCAAGUUUUUCCCAAACAUCAUCGAGAAUUAUGAGAAUCUUCUUCUCGCCUUUUAAUCUCCGCCAUAACUCUUCUGCUUUCCCUUUUUCUGUACUGGCUUUAAAUUUUAAACCAAAGAGUUCUGCAAUCCUUUCUCGCAUUUCGUUGAAAUUUGGAGUUUGGGACAAUGUAACACUCACAACCUUAUCAAAAAGCUUUUGUUCUGUAGCUUGCUUCAGUACUACUUCCGCCAAAGUUGUUUUACCCACUCCUGGCAUUCCGUGCAAUCCAAUCAUGUUCACACCAUCGCCUUUCAAAGCCUUCAUGAUCCCGUUGAAAGCUAACGUUGAAGAUUUGGAACGCAUGAAAUCCUUGGGUAGUAGCAACUCUAUUCCUUGAAGAGGAGGACGCUGGCCGACUCCUUGAAAAUUACAAGCCUCUGCUAAAAGUUGAGAGAUAUAAAGUGUCUUCUUCGCUACUUUCUUACUUAAACAGUAUCGCCAGCCCCAACUAGGACACCAAUUGAAACAAUUGUUACGCUCUAUUUCUUCUUCCAAACCUUGAGCUUCUCCCAAUUCUUUCUCUGCCUUUGUUAGCCACUCCUCAACGUCCUUCUUAAUUACCUCAGUUUGCCUUAAAGCCUCAUCGACAUCACCUUGCACCUGAUCUUUUUUCGAUUGAAGUGCUUGUCGCUGCUUCUUGAAAUCUUCAACAACUUUGGCAAAACGGAAAAAGUAAGUGAGAUAAGGUGAUGCGUAUUCUGUUGCCAGAUUCCCUACGGUAUUGGCAGCAGCAGCAGCAGCAAAUUCAGCAGCCAUUCUUUGGUGAUCUGUGAUUGAAAAACAACUUUGAUGAGUAAAAGGUUUUACAAAGAGACACAACACUGCGGAAGGAGGAAAUAUAAAUAUAAAUCUAAACCUGCAAAUAUCUACUCAAAUAUAACACCAAACAAAUAAAUCAGAGAUGAAAAAGAUGAAGAUUUACAUACCAAGACGAUUUUCAGGAGCCGAAACCUGCAAAUAUCUUCUAUUUUGAUCCACGCAAACUCACAAAGUGGGUUAAGGGUUUUUUUUUUUUUUUUGAAGUUGAAACAAAACGGAAGUAGAAAUGAACUUUGCACUGCAAUGAUAAAAAAUAACAGACUUUCACUUGUAAAGAUAAUUCUGCUUCUGACAGAGCAAAACAUAUUAUGUAUUAAUAUGGAGAAUUUAAUAUGUAUUCUUGAAGCUUAGCUCACCUCGAAUGGAUCUUCUAAAGCUUUGUUUUUUUAGAUAGAAAGCAGAGAAACCAAAAAACUAGAGAUAGCAGCUUUGAUUUUUUUUUUUUUGGCUUUGUGGAGCAAGGAAAGGAAAAGUAGGGAUCAAAGAACAGUUUUUUGUUUUUUUUUUUUUGAGUUAAAAGAAAAUGAGGAUAAUAAGAUAUGAUCAUUGUCUUAAGAUUUUAUUUGAAGGAAAAGAAGCACUUUUUUGUAGUAAUGUAUUUUUCCAACAAUUACUAGUCAUAUUUCAAUAAUGAGAAAUUUUUUAUUAAAAUAUUUCUAUAAUAUAAUGCCCCUUUUUUUGUUAUGUUGACCUCAAUAAGUUAUAUUUUGAACUAAUUGAAGUAUAAAAAAUUAUCCAAUAAACUGUCAUGGAAUUUAAAAACUUCAUCAAUGGAAUUAGAAAGUUGUCACAUAUUCAUUAGGAUAUAUUUGAAAAAAUUAAUAAAUUAAUCUGAUAAAUGAAAGGAUAUUAAUUUGACAAUAUUUUAAUUUUACUAACAAAGUUAAAAUCUCACCGAGGAUGUAUACAAUAAUAGUCCUCAAAAGUCAAAAUAAUCCGUUUGUUUUUACAAUUGAAGGACAUUGAUCAUUACAUGCAUUAGUAGUGAAGAUUUGUUGCUUUUCCUUGAAAGAUCAUUACUUUUUGUGCUUAAUUACAUGCUUUUGUUCGGCUUAUAUAUAUAAAUAUAUAUAUAUAUGCUUUCAUUAGUGCUCGUUGAAUUAUGGCAAUAAAAUGUUUAAUAGAGGUGAUAUGAAUAAAGUGACUAUCCAGAGAUAUUGCAUUGUAUCUUUUCUGCUUAUUGGGUUCCACUGCUUGGAGCAUUUCUGCAGUUUCUGUAUACUUAUUUACUCCAAUGGUUACUUACUCCCCAUUGAUGAAAAGACGAGACAGACUCACAGCUUUUUCUCUGUCAUUGAUGCUUAGUUAGAAUGACUAAUCGAUGGCCUUCAAUUAUGUUGCCUAUUUUCGUAAUUUUCUGAUCUACCUGGUUGGUUUAAUGGAUUUCAUGUUAAAACACUUGCACUAUUUAUUUUAUUGUUGAGAUUAACUUUUGUGAUCAAAUUAUGCCCCCAAUGAAUUCAAAAAUAUUAUUUGAUGAAUGUACAAAAAUAGGUAGCAAUGAACAUAUAGCAUGUUAGUACUGACUAUUGAGAUUGUGAUAAAAUAUUAUGACAAAAACAAACGGACAAUAAUCUGAAAAGCCCGUAGGAACCUGCUGACAUGAUAACUAGCUUUUUGACCACGCUGGUCAUCUGAAAAAUGGGACAGCCCAAGCAAUAAUAUACCUAGUUUCUUCUUUUUCUCUUCCUUGGAGUUAAAAGAGAAGCAAAAAUGAAGAUAAAUACUUCUUGACUUGGAAGUUGCAUGUGAGAACAAUGCCAAAACUCAAAAAAGGAGAAGAAGGAAAUUAUGAAGGAAAGUGUGCACGCACUAUCAGGAAAUCAUGCCUCCCUCCUAGUCCCUGUAUCUAUCCCAUUAUUUCAUUUCAGAGGGUAAAAGAAAAUGAAUUCCCCUUUCUCCCCAAAGAACAUGUGAUAGUGGGUCCACACUCUGAAAAGUUCUGUAUGAAGGAAGAAAUAGUUAUGGUUAGUCGUGACCUGCUUGAUUGUCUGCGUUCCAAAGCUAACAAAGAAACGUCAAUGUGGAACUAAGAAAUUUCUCGACCCUUGUCUUGAGAGAAUUGAGUCGAACGUGGAAAUCAAAUUUAUCAAAGCAAAAGGAAGAUUCUCGGAACUUUCUUGAUAUUUUUGAUUCAUUGUGGAAUCAAACACAAUAUCAAUGCCACCAGUUAUGGAGAGUGUACUGUCAUUAAAGAAGUAUUAUUAACUAAUUCUCUCUCAAAGAAUAAAAAAAAGGAUGAAGAUGCUCUACUAAAGGAAAUUUUAACUAAUGCAAAAUUGGUUUCAUAUUUGUGAUCUUAAACAUAAUAAUAUCUUCUCCAUAAAAUUUAAAACAUUAAAUUAUUUUAAUAAAUAAAAUAUAAAUUCCACUAAACAAAAUUUUAAGCACAAUAUCCACCACCUUGAUCCUUGGAGGCCAAUCCCUGUGAGAACAACAACCAGAGCAGAGCGCGAGUAAGCACCCACCAAGAGAAUAAACAAAAUUGAUUACAUGAAGGACCCCUGUAACAAAAGACAAUGCAGUGUGAACAAUCAACAAACGAUGGCCCCCAGAAGCAAUCAAAAAACUUGUCAAGAGCAGCCGCUAAAGAAAUUAAGUUCACACUUUUAACUUUUUCCUUGUGCUCCUAUAUAUGCAAAUGGGCGGUGGAAUCAUUGAUUCACUUUUGAAUUAUUAAUGCUUUUUUUUUUGUCAUAUUUCCAUUACUUUUCAGUAUUUAUUUUUGACCUAUUUAGUUGAUUUACAUGAAAAACAAUUGACUCUUUUUAUAAGCAAAAAUUAUUAUUAUUAUUUUAUAAAUGUCGUUAAGAGUAAACAUUUGACUCUCUUUAUUUAUGAUUCUUUUGUAAUUAAGCAUUACUUGGUGAAUUCUCCUCUAAUAAUGAGUAAUGACCUACUUUUAAGUUGUUGCCUGCCUAAAUCAUUUAAGUUGGACGUGGAAAAAAAUUUAAUGCCAAUAUUGCAUGUAAAGUUUGCAGAUGCAUACUCAAAUGCAAAAACCAAGAGCCAUAGAAGAAAAUGAUGCACGCAUAUACCAAGGAAAGAUGGAGUUUGAGAAGCCAAGGGUAAGCUUCUAUUUUUAUCAAAGAAAACUGAAAUAGAAAUCAAGUUUGCGCUACAAUAAUCAGAAGCCCGCUAGCAGAGGGAAUUAAGAAGCAACAGUUAAGUCUUCUUCGGCUAGCAAGAACAGUUGAAUACAGGAGAGAAAAUUUUGAAAAGAUGAUGUGAUCCCUCUAAUGUUGUUCAUUCUAUUUUGAAGAAAUUGUGAGAAAAAAACCUCGUGAUAAGGUGAUUUUAGAAAUAACCACUCAUAUAAAAUUAUCUGUUUCUAGCAAAAAAUAUGCAUAAGUAGACGAAAAUGCCCUUAAAAACAUCGUUUCAAAUAAAUGCUUAGCUGUUUGAGCUAUCUGCCUCUAUCUGACUCCCACCAGAGAGAAAAUAAAAAAAAUAUAAAUAAAUGCGCUCAGCUGUUUGAGGUCGGUCAUCUUUCUCUCUCAACUCUGGCAAGUCUCUGUUGAGCACUAUCGUCAUCAGCUCUCUCAAAUCUCUGAACUGUAUUAGCUCUGUCAACUCUCUAUUGAGCACCAUCGUCAUCGGGUUGUGGUCUAUCUCUCGGCAUCUAGCCACAUUGUCAUAGAUUAACAGACCCUAUAGCAGAAAUUACAUCAAGGUACUUGUUAUUAGGUUUAUUUUUGCAACACACUUAAAUUUCUGAAACAUUUGGUGUAAAUUAGAAGAUGAAUUAGAAACAUUGCCCAGAGUUACGCGCCAUGCAUCUAUAACAUGUGUUAGCGUUAUUAUUUUAGCGUGUCAAGGUUGUUCCUAGCGUGUCACGGGUUAACUAGUUUUUUGGGUUUUGGGCGUGUCACAGCUGUUCUUGACCUAUCAUGGGUUAAUUGGUUUUUUGGUUUUCGGGCGUGUCACGGCUGUUCCUAGCGUGUCAUGAGUUAACUGGAUUUAUGGGUUUGGGGCGUGUCAUAGCUGUUCUUGGCAUGUCGUGGGUUAACUGAAUUUUAGGUUUUGGGCAUGUCAUGGCUAUUCCUGGCGUGUCGUGGGUAAAUUGGUUUUUUGAGUUUUUAUAGUGUCACGGCUGUUGGUGUAACGAGUCAGUAAUUACAAUGAUUAGCGCGUCACGACAGUGAUGCAUGGCGUGUCACGAUACUGAUGCAUGGCGUAUUACGACAUUUGACUUGAUAUGCAUGGCGUGUUACAAUAUUUAACGUUAUAUGCAUGACGUGUAACAACAUGACUGACAAAUUUUUGAUCACGGCAUGUAUUGUGUAAAAUUAUUGUCAAUAAUUUUGUUUUCAAAUUUUCAGUGGGUUCUAAUUGUGUGACUUGUGAUAAGACAUGGUGGUCAGUGGGUGGAUGGCAUUUACAAAGGUGGUGAGUCACGAAUAUAGGGGGUUAGGAGUGAUUUGUCAUUUGCGGGCUUGAUGAAGCUGGUUGAAGAUGUUGGGGUAAACUAAACAAUUGACGAGAUUGAGUUACAUGCAUUGAUCAGUACACCCGGAGAGCUAUCACGGCCAAUUAUCAAAGACGAUGAGGAUGUUGCAUUAAUUCUGCUAGAACAGAGGAAUGUUCCGGUUGUGUAUGUCAGCAUUAAGGGACGUCAACCAAAUGUUAUGUCACAUGAAAAAGUUAGACAAUAUGGUAAUCAGCUCAAUCAAAAUGAGAUUUAUAAUACUUCACAUAUACCACAGUAUUCGGUCCGUAACCCACAACAAUGGCAAUUGAGGUAUACACAAGAGUUUGUGCAGCUUGGUAGACAAACAACAUUCACAGAACAGUUGGCUGCACAAUUUCGAUCAGGAUGUGCAUCAAACCAAUUUCUUGCUUCUUUCGAACAAAUGCAACGAUCGGGUGAAACUGUAGAGUCUGUAAUACCAUUGUCGAAUGAGAAUACGACACUUGAGGACAAUAAUGUGAGGUUGGAGGGUGACACUGCGACGCUAGAGGAUAAUACUGCAUUUGAUGAGGGAAAUGAGGAUUUGUUAGCUGCCGGUGAAGAUAAAUUGGAUGACACUUCAGAUGAUGGGCUUGAACAAUUGCAAGAUGAUAGUUUAGACAAUGACUGCCUUUAUGACAGUGGCAUUCCAAUUUGGAAUAAUGUUGAAGGCGAAACGAAACCUGUUGGAGGUGUUGAUGUAGGGGAUGUUCAGUGUGAUGACCCCAUAUACAAUAACCCCAUUGCUGGUGUGUAAAACCCGACCCUAUAAACACAUGUCAUGACAUACAUGCAUUGAAUAACAUGUUAUUACGCUAAGAAAGCCCCUAAGAAUAGACGAAACCCAGUAUUGUACCUAACGGUACACUUGAGUUGAUUUAACCUCGAACUAGUUUAAAUAGAAAUCGUAGGAUGAAAUUUAAUAUUUUACAGUCCAAGAAUGACUAAAAAUGAUUAUUCGGAGUUCAAGGGUUCAUUUGGAAAAAUUGGAAAUUUUGAUGUUUAGGGGUAAAAUCGUUAUUUUGCCACCUAAGAUAAUAAUUUGAUCAUAGAGUGAAAUUUUUGACCAAGAUUAACUAUUUGGAGUAUAAUUUAAUGAUAGGAAGUGAAAAAUUUCAAUUCCGAUAAUUUUUGAAACAUAGGGAUAAAACGAUAAUUUUAUCGUCUCGGGGUAAAAUCAAAAUUUUUACCACCCAAAACUUGUCAAAAUCAUAGGAUUUAUUUAUCUUUGGUAUGAAUAACUAUGGUAUUUUAAGUGGUGAAAAAUUAAAGUUUAAAGGAUAAAAUUUUAAAAAUGGGCCAAUGGGAAAGUGACACAUGACACUUUUUAAUGAUGUAAUAUUAUUUUAAUGAAAAGUCAGCCCAUUUAAACCCCAUAUUAAGUGAUGGCCAACCAUAAGGAGAGAACAAGAGAGAAAAUAGAGAGGAAAGGAAGAAAAGGGAAAAACCAAAGGAAAACUAGAAAAUUCAAAGGGGAAAUCGCAUUUUUCAUCUGUUUACGAGUCUAACGGUAAGAUUUUUCGACUUUAGCUUGAUUUCUACCUUUCUUAUGCCUUUAUUUCCAUUUAGCAUGCUUGAGGAGAGAGAUUAAAAAGUGAAACCAAGGGCUGGCCGAAUUUCGAGGGGAGAGAUUUUGAAAUUUUUAGGUUUUGAUUCUUAGUUAAAUUAGUAGUUUUAGUUAGUUAAAUGUGUAUAGAAAUCAAAUUGGGCAAGAAAGCAUGAAAUUCUCACAAUACCCACCCUUGGCCGAAUAUGCAUUGAUGUNAAUGAUGAUGAUCUGAUUUUUUAUUCUAAGAGAAAUGAAGAGAAAAUGAUGAAAAAUAGUUAAAUGUGAUAGAAAAACAAAGUGAAAAAUUAAUCGAGUAAAUGUCCCAUUUUUGACCGAAUUUUUCAAGGAGGAAAGUGAGCUGAUUUUGGUGAUUUUAGAAGGUUAUUGGCUGAUAUUUAAUGGUUAGAAAUGUUGGAGAGAAAAUGGAACAAUUUAGAGCUAAAAUGGAGCGCGUUAGCAAUUUAACGGGUAAAGUGUCAAAAAUAGGUUAAUACCGUGUUUAAGCCGUUUUAGGCUAUUGCAUUUCAUACCAUGCAUUAGUAUAGGAUCUAAGUCAAUUAUAUAGUGAUUUAACAUCAAUGUGGUGAAUUGUGUAAUUUUUGCAAUGUGUCUAGGAGGAGAGCCUUCCGGUAAGGGCAAGAAAGUUGUACCCGACAAACAGUGAUCGGGGCACCUAAAAAGCAUUUAAUUUGUACAAACGGUGAGUAAACCUAUUAUUAUUGUAAAUUAUCUAGAGUUUAUUUUUAAAUGCUCAUUAUUUAUUUUAUGAAAUGAAAAUGAGAUUAAAAUGAGACUUUUGAUGUUUUAGAAACAAAUGUGCCAAAUAAAUAUAUUGUGUUGAUUAUCUGAAAUAAGAAACUUUUAAUCAUGAAAUUGAGUAAUUGGAGGCUGCCAAUUGUCUUGAAAAAUAUAUUUUCCUAUGAAUGGCUUAUGAUAUAUGAGUAUAUGUGGCUAUAUUUUAUAAUUGUAUUGAAAAUUUAUUUAAGCUGUCUUUUACUAUGCAGGCUGGGUAAAUAAAUAAAAGCUACAUUAUAUUGUCGAAAUUUUAUUAAAAUUGAUGGGUUUAGUCACUGCAAUGGCGGGUUUUCGUGGACUGCCUAUUAGAAGGGUAUGGUAAACUCGGUUAUAUAGUUACUCCAGAUGUAGAGGCGAGGAGGGUAACUCCCGGGGUAGUGUUAGAGCUCACUUCACGUCGAACCCCCAUGUGAAUAUGUAACUCAGUCAACCCCAAGGAACGGCUUGUUUUCAAAACUAACAUGUGUUUAACAUGUAAAUAUCUUAACAACCUUGGCGGACUCGGUUAGAUGCCUCGACCAAGGUAUCCUCGAUGAUUAGUUUUUGGCUUGAGCCCUAUUUUUAAUAAAAGUCAUAAGCUUUAACAACUGUUUUGGUAAAUUACAAAUAUUUUAUGGUUUAAAAAAUAAAUUGAAAACCGUAUGAAAUGGUUUGUGAUUUGUUGUUUAAAUUUACCUCCAUUUUACUCGCCUUUAGAUAUUUAUGAUAAUGUUUGUUUACUCAUUGGAAUUGUAAAAUCUCACCCACCUCCUUUCCAAAUAUUUCAAGCCUGUGGUAGCUUGUAGAUACCCGAUUUUGUCGAGGAUUCUAGUUGACCCCUCUAUCCCACAGACAGUAGGUUACUACCACCAACACUUGGUGUAUUUAUGGGCCAUUUGUUAUUGUAAUUAUUAUUAUACAUUAUAACUCUGUAAAUUAUUAUAUGUAUGAAUUUGUUUUACUUAUACGUGUUUCUAUAAAUAUUGUUUUAUAUAAAAAUGUUAUAUUUUAAUCAAUAUUUUAAAUAGUAAUAUUUGUCUAUAAAUCUUUUUAAAAUAAUUUUAUCUUUUGAUUUACUUGAGCCGAAAAUGAUUGGUAAUUGUUUAAAACAGAAUGUUUAACAACGAUUGCUCACAGGAAAGGCAAGAAACUGAUACGUAAGCCUUGAGGGGUUCCGAUUGGCAUUCCGGGUAAUGAGUGUAAAUCGAGACGUCGCGGUGGUUGUCAUGGGCCCAAGGGAGGUUUCGGAUCAUGACAUGGUGAGAACGAGGUUCGUUCCCUUAAUACAUUGGUCGUUGAUAGUGAUCAGGAAAAGGGAAAUGCAGGGAUAUCUCGUAUGUGGGUAAUUGCAGGUGCAGAAAAGUUCUCUUUCCAAACAAUUACCACGAGGAGUCGACAUGUGCCGAAGAUUGCUUAUACAAAGGAAGAAUGUUUUCGUCGAAGGCCGAGUUGAAACGAGCUUUGAACAUGUUAAUUGUAAAAGAGAAGUUUGCGAUAAGAGUAAAAAGGUCAUGUAAAGCUCGUUAUGAGGUUGGUUGCAAGGACAAGGCAUGCAAGUUCAGUGUGUGUGCAACGAAGUUACCUAAUAGAGGAGAAUAUUGGCAAGUUCGGACAUUUCACAAUGUACACACUUGUACCAUUGAUGGUUUGUAAGGGAAGUUUCCAACUACGAGUGCGAAGAUGAUUGGUGAACUUAUGUCACACAAGCUUCGGGCUAAUGGAGUAGCAUUGAGACCUAAGGACAUAAUUUGUGAGAUGAGGGUUAAGUGGGGAUUGGAAUGCUUGUAUGGUAAGGCUUGGCAAGCGAAGGAGUACGCGGAGAGGCUUGUUUUCGGUCCACCAGAGGCGUCAUUUCAACUACUACCCUCGUAUUUUUUUAUGUUGGAACAAGAAAAUCCUGGCACAGUGACUGCAGUGGCUACUGAUGAGACCGAAAGAUUCAAAUAUUGUUUCUAGUCAUACAAGGCUUGUAUUCAGGGGUUUACGGAUGUAAUGCGUCCUACGAUUGCAAUUGACGUGACACAUCUCAAAGGUAAGUUCAAGGGUGUUCUGUUUGUCGUUGUAUGCAAAGAUGUGAAUGAGUGCGUAUAUCCAGUUGCGUUUGGCAUCGGCCAUGUUGAGGACGAAGACUCAUGAACGUGGUUUCUUAGCAAGCUGCAUGAUGCGGUUGGUUGUCCUAAAAACACUAUGUUCAUUUUUUAUCAGCAUCUUGGCAUUAAGAAAGCAAUCCAAAAUGUAUACCCAGAAGCGCACCAUGGUUUAUGUGGUUGCAACUUGAAAAAAAAACUUUAAAAACAAGUUCAAGCGUGACGAUGUUUGUAUGCUUUUCACCCUUGCUCAAGAUUACUAUAAGGUGGCCGAUUUCAAUAGACAUAUGAACCAACUACAGUAGAUUCACCCGGGAGCCCACGUUGACCUUAUGAGAAUAGGGCCUGAGAGAUGGGCAUGUGCAUGUUCACCGACAAGGCGAUACCAAAUGAUGACAUCCAACAUUGCGAAAUAUGUUAACUCAUGCUUGAAGCAUGCAAGACAAAUACCGAUCACUGUUUUGAUCAAGUUCAUCAGAGACAUGUUCCAGUGUUGGUUCCAUGACCUGUACUAGGAGGCCGUCAAAGUGACAACACCCCUCAGCCCUUGGGUUGCUAGGUAGUUGAGCAAACGGUUCAAUGAUGCACAUCGCUUUGUAGUUAAGCCUAUCAAUCGAGCGAAGUUUGAAGUUAAAGACGGGAAGAUAAACGGACUUGUAAACCUGUUUAGGAAGACAUGUUCAUAUUGUGAGUUCCAAACAGAUUUGCUGCCAUGCAGCCAUGCCAUUGCAACAAAAAAGUUAGAAUAUCAUUAUUUCUUAUUUGAAUCGUAAUUGACAUAACAUUAACAUUGUGCUUGAAGAUUGAGUUUAUUGUAUUUUUUAGUCAAUGCAAUCGUGAAACCAUUGCAUUCUACGCUGACUACUACAAGACAACCGUUUUGGUGGAGGGUUAUUCAGGAUCCAUUAGGCAGGUAGGGCAUCUUAAUGAGUGGGACAUCCUCCCUUAUGUGACACAAAUUGUCGUCUUGCCCCCACUUUGGCGAGGCCAAGCGGGAAGACCUAGGAGGAGAAGGAUUCCAUCAACUGGUGAAAAUAGUCAAGCACAGAGAUGUUCGCAAUACAAAAGGUAUGGGCAUAACAAACAUAAUUGCCCAUCCCCAUUUACAAUUCCAUCCACAAAUCCGGCACCAUCUCUAAGUCAAUCGACUCCUCCACGAGUGCGCUGACCCAAAGCAUGUUCAAUUUGUAGACAAACCGAUCACACCCGCAAGACCUGUCCAAUACAGAGUACAAUGUCUGAAAAUGUAAGGUGUGUUAUGGAUGAAGACAACUUGUCUGCCUAACUCAAUGUGUAACCCAUGUGCAGUACCUUGCUCACAUACAUUCGAUCACAAUUUCCUGUGGUAUUAUCAUAGUCUUUGGCCCACUGAAAUGGGUUUAUCUUUUAAUAUUGGUAGCCAUUCCAUGCUUAUUGUUGCUUCAUAAGAUUUGUGUAGCCACUUGUACUUAAUGUUGUAAUUGUAGUUGAACUAGUUUUGCUUUACGAAUUUGUCUGCUUGGUCAUUUUAUGAGCCACUUUUAAUUAUGGACUUUGUUGCCAAACAUUUCAAGCAAAUAAGCUUGCCAAGGCCUCUAUCUGAUCAAGAUAGUGUUAAAGUACAUUUUUACAUUGCUUGUAAGAAUAUUUUCGAUUACAAUCUCCAUCAGAUAGAGGCCUUGACAAGCUUAUUUGCCUGAAAUGUUCGACAAUAAAUUUCGUAACUAAAAGUGGCUCAUAGAAUGACCGAGCAGACAAAUCCUUAAAGCAAAACCAGUUCAAUUACAAUUACAACAUUAAGUACAAGUGGCUACACAAAUCUUAUAAAGCAACAACAAGCAUGGAAUGGCUACCAAUAUUAAGAGAUAAACCCAUUAACUGUUACCCCAUUUGUCACAUUUUAUUACCACUUGUAUUAAACAAUUAAUGAUUUGAUUUAAUUCCUUUCUAUUUCAUUUGAUUUAACCAUUUAUGUUCUUAUAAUGAAAUUCCUUUCUAUUUCAUGAGUAAUUAAAUUUUGCCAAUAUCGGUUAGUCAACUAAGAGCAUUAUGCCUGCAAGUUUUGUGGUGACACGCUGACUUUUUACAGUCUUGGCUAGUGACAUGGCACGGGCCAAUUGUGGUGACACCCUGAGUGCAAGCAAACUUAUGGUGUGACACGCUGACUUGUUGCAGUCUUGACGGGUAACACUACACAAGCCAAUUGUGGUGACACGCUGAGUGCAAGUAAACUUAUGGCGUGACACAUUGACUUCUUGCAGUCUCGAAAGGUGACACGGCAGGGGCCAAUUGUGGUGACACGCUGAGUGCAUGCAGACUUGGCGUGACACGCCAAAUUGUUGCAGUCUUGUUGGUGACACGACACAAAAUGUUUAAAAUUAAGGAAAGUUUUAAAAAAGUAACACCUAUUAUAAGAAAAAUCAACUAACCUGAUAUUUUAAUUGUUAUUUGGGGGAUUUCGGCUCUUAGAUGCUUAUCCACACUCAAUAUUAAAACCCACUAUAAGUGGUCGCAGCUGCAUUACAUCACAAAGACUCUUGAAGAGAUUAAGGAGUUCAAUGCACUGAAGCCUACGUGCUUUGAGAUGCUACUGGAUGUCAAUCCACAAGCUUCGUCUACCAAACUUUGGUGCUCCUGUCUUUCCAAAAUCAACAGCCAUAUAAUGAAGAGUUGCCAAUUCUAGGUCCAUCAUUCGAGGUAUCGAUCCAGCCUAGAAUUGGCAACUCUUCACUCUAUAGUUGUUGAUUUUGUAAAGACAGGAGCACCAAAGUUUGAUAGACGAAGCUUGUGGAUAGACCUCUAGGAGCAUCCCAAACACGUACGCUUCACUGCAUGAAAUCCCCCAUCUCUUGGAGAGGCAAAAUGUCAAGAUCCUUAUACCGUCUACGUUGGAUCUGCAAAACAUGGCACACAUGCACCAGUGAGUUAAGCCAUAAUGUCAAACAAGGUAUACUGAAGAAAUAAAUAAAGAAUAAAUGUUGUGACACACCAUUCAUAACAAGCUAAAUGUUCUGACACGCCAUGCAUAACAAGUAAAUCAUUUGUGACACGCCAUACAUAACAACUAAAAUGUUAUGACACGCCAUGCAUAUCAAGUAAAACGUUGUGACACGCCAUGCAUAUCAAGUCAAAUGUUGUCACACGCCAUGCAUAUCGAGUCAAAUGUUGUCACACACCAUGCAUAACAAGUAAAUCAUUUGUGACACGCCAUAGUAAACAAGCAAAAUGUUGUGACACACCAUGCAUAUUAAGUAAAACGUUGUGACACGCCAUGCAUAUCAAGCAAAAUGUUGUGACACACCAUGCAUAUCAAGUCAUUUGUUGUCACACGCCUUGCAUAUCGAGUCAAAUGUUGUGACACACCAUGCAUGUCGAGUCAAAUGUUUUCACACAAGAAAACCAAUAAAACCACAAUGACUUAACCUCAAAAACCAUCCAUCGAACCAGCGAGAAAACCCAGUCUAAAAUCUAAACAUUUGCAAAACAAAACAUACAAAAAACACGAACAUAUCAAACAAACCCAGCGAAAAAGUAAAAAAUUAACAUAAGAAUGUUUUCUCUUGAGACUCACUUACCUCUUCACUCAUAGCCGACAUUGUCGCUAUUGCUGUGGUGUCGUUACGCUUGCAAAGAGCCUUCUCGAACACUCCGGUAUCAACAGGAAUGAGAAAUGAAUCAAACAGACGUUAGGAAUUCUGACAAAUAAAUGUUUAAAAUGAAAAAUGGCUUUAGAAUAUUCUCAUUUAUUCGUUUCAUUUAUAAAUUACUUCAGUGGAAGUCCAAACGGUUACUACGUUAACUGCCGAUUUUAAUUUUUUUAAAAAAAUUUAAUGGAAGUCCAAACGUUUACCAUAGCGGGUCAGUUGUUCAAACAAUGGCGUGUCACAGUAGUUUCACGUAUUCUAACCGUGGCAUGUCAUAAAUUUUGAACCCGACCAUUUCACAGUCGUGACACGCUGAGUGCAAGCAGAUUUAUGGCGUCAUACUGCUAACUUGGUGCAAUAUCGUGGGGUCACACGCGACGGCUCAAUUGUUAUGACACGCCGAGUGGAAGUAAAUUUUUGGCAUCACACGCUGAGUAUCUGCAAAUUUAUGGCGUGACACGGCACGGCCUAACUGUUCUGGCACGCUGAGUGGAAGCAGAUUUAUGGGCUGACACAUUGAGUGUUAGUGGAUUUACGGCGUGACACGUUGACUUCUUGCAGAUUUAUGGGGUGACACGCUAAGUGCAAAUAGAUGUUUGUGGGGACACGCUGACUAGUAGCAGCUUUAUGGCGUCACACGCUGACUACCUGCGACUAUGUAUCAAAUUAAAUAUAUUGUGUAUACAAAGGAAAACAAAUUCUUAGUAUAAAAUGAAUUGUGUAUAUGCAAAAAAAUUAAUUGUGUAUAAAUUUAAUUAUAUAAAAUAUAUUCCCAAUACAAAAAGAAUUAAUUAUAUAUACAAUAAAUUGUAUAAAAUAAAUUGUGCAUACAAAAAAAUUGUGUACAAAAUUAAUUGUAUAAAAAUAAUUCUAUAUACAAAAAAAUGUACAGACAAAGGCCGAUAUGUUCAGGGUUCGCUCUCACAACUGUUGGAAAAAAUUUCUAGAGCAUAUUGCAGACGCAUUUUUGCAAUCAUAUUCUACUUGACUUUGAUAUUUUUCGAUUGGAAAAUAUCAUCCAUGUACCCUAUCAUGAACAUACUGCAGCUGACACUAUCAUUCUGUCGAUGUACUUUAGCUUUUGGCAAAUGAAUAUCCAAUGGCAUCGGCGUCAAAUCCUGUCUCUUUCAACGUGUGUUGUUGAAAUAACCGGCUUUGUGGCAGAUGAUCAGCAUCAUUGUCGUCAAGGGUGUCAUUUGAGCCACACGAACUCCGUUAUCCUUAGCAUUCGAAGUUCUUGUGGAGUCAAACACCUUGAUCUUUGCAACCACCCAAUUCCCACCAACGUUGCAAGGCGCGAGGAUGAAAUCCACAUUUUUCCAUUUUUUACCGUAUAUCGGCUUUUCACCCUUCACGUACCCCCAUAACUCAUCUAGAAUUUGCAUUAUGACCUGGGCAUCUUCUGUUGGGAAUUCCGUGUGUAUCAUACGGAUGACGUCCUAUGAAACAUGUAAACAUUAGCUUACACUUCAUGCGAUCAAAAACUUAGUAUUUAUAGAAUUGAACAAUUUCAAAUAAACUUACAAAGAAUGUCGUGUCAACCACGCAUGCACGGGUAGUGUACAGCUUCAACUUCGACACUGUCAUACGCUUGCAGAAUACGCUGAGGCAUGCGUCGAUAUGUUCACUUGUCAUUUCCUCAUUGGGAUCCUCUAAGGUUAUGAAAAAGUUAGCCCCUUGAUCCCCUAAGAUGCCGACGUCACGCCUGCAUAUGUAACAUAAUGAAUUUCAUAAGUCUUGGUGGCUUAAUGUUUCAUUAAAAAAUAAUAUUUGCAAUGUUAUUUAUGAGCUUACCUCGCAAACUCAUCAUUCUUGAAAGCUUCGUAGGCUUCUACGAUUGUAUCCUUCGUCUCUCGAUGGCUAACUAAGGGGUCGACAUAUGAGCUUGCCAGGUAUUGCUCGCCAGUUUCAACCGUGCCCGUUCAGUUUGGUCUGAAAUUUUUGCUACACUGUGAUGGACAGCACAUUACUCUGGUGAUGCUGAUUGUGUCUCAACUGCAUCAGGAGUGCUUUGAUAAAGCACCAUAGCUCCUGCUGCUGCCUCGACGAAUGCAUCGGCUGGAGGAAGAUGCUCUCUUUCAGCCACGACUAAGUCAAGGUCCCCCUCCCCUCCAGUAGAUGCAUCGAUAAUGGACUCAAGCAGAGGAACAUGCUCUUCUUCAGUAUCAUCUGAUUCAAGGGUGACAUCCCCUGCCACAGCUUCAUCAAUGACGUCAUCGACAUGAGUUACGUACUCUCCGUCAGCACCAAGAACGUCAUCGUGAAUGUGAACACCAAGUUCAUGAUGCUACCCAUCAUCAGCAUCAUCGUGCUCCAGACCAGCACCGUGAGAUGAAAGAUCGCCCUACAAAAUGGAAAAAAACUGUUAGUUAGCUCAUAAAAUACCACAAACCAUAACAAGUAAAAAGUUGUGACACGCCAUGCAUAACAAGUAAAACGUUGUGACAUGCCAUUCAUAAAGAGUAAAAUGUUGUGACACGCCAUGUAUAACAAGCAUAAUGUUCUGACACGUCAUGCAUAACAAGUGAAAUGUUGUGACACGCCAUGCAUAACAAGUAAAAUGUUGUCACACAUUAACGCUGACACGUCGAUACCUUACUAAAAUACAAAUGUCCUGACCCACUAAUCUGAAUUGAACCAAUUAAACCACUACCACUUAACCCCACAAACCAUCAAACCAAUAAGAAAACGCAGUCUAAACAUUUGCUAAACGUAAACCACAAAAAUACAAGUGAAGAUAGAAUAACGUACUUGUGAUUUAAGGCCGUCAAGAAUCCGAGCAACGAUACGAUCCUCAAGCGUCUGCAUUGCUAGAGUCAAUGACUGAAUUGAAGCCUUCAGCUCCAACAUCUCUUUGACAUGCUUGCGCAUGAUCCCUCGAAAGCUGGCGAGUAGUGACUGCUCCGUCAUUGACUCUUCUUGACUAGGUUAACUGCAAUAACAUAUAUCACUGUGUUAUUCAAUAAUCAUAUAUGGAAUUGUUGAACAUUAACCGUUACAACUUUAAUAUCCUUACCGGUGACUCGUAAGCAAUUUAUGGUGGAGCUGGACCCAUCGGUGCUUGACGACCUGUUGUCACCUCCAUAAACUGCAAUAACAGAAACUACUGUGUUACUCGAUAAACAUAUGUGAAAAUGUUGAACACAAAUUGUUAGAACCCAUUUUACCUACGAGUCGUUUCCACUGUGCAUUUGAGGAGGACCGGUGGGUGGUUCUGAAGCUACCGAUGCAUGGACCAACUGUAAACACAGAUAUGUUAUUCGAUAAUCAUAUAUGGAAUUGGAGAACACAAAACCGUUAAACUGUCUUUACCGGCUGUUCACUGCCUUGAUCAUGGUCGUCCCGUUCGUCCAUCAACUCAGGGCCCAACAUCUCAUCAUUAAAACCAACGGUGGUGCGCGUCCGCUUCGUGCCACCAGAGGCUCUUUUCUCUUUCAAGCUUCUCUUUUUUUGCCUCGCACCUAAGCCCCAAUCCGACCGAUCCUCUAUGUGCCCUAUUAGCACGUACUCAUGGCCCUCCGAUAACGGGACAUCAAGGUCCAUAAAAUACUCCCAAUUGGCCUCAUCCGCGAAGAGUUUUAACUUCUCUAGUGCCCACAACUGCAAAUAAACAAAUAAAAUAUUGUGAUUAUCGAAUACGAAAAAUUAUUAUACAAAUAUAAGGCAAAAAUUAGUAGUUGUUCACUCACAUGGUCAAAUGACUUUAACUUCUGAAAUUCCAUGUAGAUGUCUUUUGGCUUCUGAUUGUAAUCCUAUUUGCACAUUUGUGGGUAAACGUUGUCCUUCAAACCAAAGGGGGCAAUUAUUUUUUACAGGGCCGAAAUUACCUCCAUUGCCUAGAACUGCAAGUCAAAUGUAACCAUUAUCAGACCGUAAAUCAUAAACGAGUGCAACUAUAAAUUAUUAAAGUAAAAAGGAAACUGGAAAAUGUUUCGUGAUAGUACCUAUAUCACCCAUGCGAAUCCGUAAAUGUUGUAGCGUAACCGAGUUUCCUUUGUCAUGCUUGAGUCAGGCACUUCGAACCCUUUCAAAAGGUAGUCCAAGGUCAGCUUCCAAACAUAGUGCCCCAAUGGGAAGACAUUCCAAGCGUCAAUGUCCUCCACCAAUGACAGCAACCAAGGCAUCACCCAUCUACGGUAGCCUUGACCAAAUAAAAUGUUAUUCGUGAUUAAGAAGAGUGCCAUCUUAGUCGCGUCUCCUGGUUGCUGGAAGUUGCCCUCACAGAACGUAUCAAGCAAAGCCUGCAGCUUAACGCUCUCUUGCCUGUUCCAGUAUCUGGCAUGAAUUCCGUCCGUAGCAACCUCGUACGAUCGUCUAAACACAUAGGGCAUUGGACCAAACUUCAUCUCGGUGAUGAGGCAAGACUCUUGAUUUGAUAGUCACGCCUUGCUCUUGCCAAUGGCAAACCAUAGCUCGUGGUCCAUUGACUGGCUCUCAUUGAUCCGACAAAGCAUGAUGCUGUGUAGGAGACCAACGCAAAAGUACCUUUGUGGAUAGACGUCCAAGAUCCUUCCGAAGCAUGUACGCUUCACUGCAUCGUAUUCCCCCUUCUGUUGGAGAGUCUUUGUGAUGUAAUGCAGCUGCGACCACUUACAGUGGGUGUUAAUUGCGAUGUUGAACGCCCACUUCUACCUCGGCAUGAUCAGUAAACUGUCAAGAUCCUCAUACUGUCUGCGCUGGAUCUGUAAAACAUGGCACACAUGCACCAGUGAGUUAAGCCGUAAUGUACAACAAGGUAUACUGAAGACAUAAAUAAGGAAUAAAUGUUGUGAAACAUCAUUCAUAACAAGCAAAAUGUUGUGACACGCCAUGCAUAGCAUUCAAAAUGUUGUGACACACCAUACAUAACAAGUAAAAUGUUGUGACACGCCAUGCAUAUUAAGUAUAAUGUUGUGACACGCCAUGCAUAUCAAGUCAAAUGUUGUCACAUGCCAUCUACAUCGAGUCAAAUGUUUUCACACGCCAUGCAUAUCGAGUCAAAUAUUGUCACAUGUUAACACUGACUAUAAUAACAAUGUCGUGACACGACAAACACCAAAACCCCUAAAACCACUACGACUUAACCCCAAAAACCAUCAAACCAACAAGAAAACACAGUGUACACAUUUGCAAAACAAAACAAAAAACACGAAAAUAUCAAACAAACCCAGAAAAAAAUUAACAAACACAAGAAUGUUUUAAUUUGAGACUCACUGACCUCUUCACUCAUAGCCGACAUUGUUGUUGGUGUUGUGCUGUCGUUACACUUGCAAAGUGCCUUCUCGAACACUCCGGUACCGGCGAGAAUGAGAAUUGAAUCACACAAACUUUAGGAAUUCUGAAAAUAACUAUUUAAAAUGAGUUAUUUUUUUUAUUUCACUAAAGGGAAUUAAUUGAGUGGAAGUUCAAACGAUUACCACGUUAACUCUCUGCUUUUUUUUUUCCUUUCUCUAUUUCAAACCAUGACGUGUCAGCUAUUCAAGCAAUACCGUGUCACACACUUUAAACCAUGGCGUGUCAGCUUUUCAAGCAAUGCCGUGUCACACACUCUAAACCAUGCCGUGUCAGCUUAAUAAGCAAUGCCAUGUCACACACUCUAAACAUGGUGUGUCACCAACUCUGAACUCUGACUUGUCACAAUUUCCCUCCAUGGCGUGUCACCAACUCUGAACUUUGGCAUGUCACAGAUUCCCUCCAUGGCGUCUCACCAACUUUGAACGCUGGCAUGUCACAGGUUCCCUCCAUGUUCUGUCACCAACUCUGAACUCUAACGUGUCACAGAUUCCCUCAAUGGCGUCUCACCAACUCUGAACGUUGACGUGUUAUAGAUUUCCACCAUGGCGUGUCACCAACUCUUAACUCUGGCGUGUCACAGAUUCCCUCCAUAGCGUCUCACCAACUCUAAACGCUGACGUGUCACACAUUCCCAACAUGACGUUUCACGUACUCUAAAUCCUGCCCUGCCACAACUGUCUCACAUAUGGCCUGCUAUAACAGGACCAUUUCCUGCUUUGGAUUCACAUCUUUCUCCUUUCAAUUCACCACCGUAUCAAGGAUUUCUAGUUUCACAUCAUUAGCCAAGCUUUCCAUUCAUCAUGACCGAGUCUUCGUUUGGUUUAAUAUCACUAUUUUCCUAUUAUCUGAAUGCCAUGACCCAAAUCUCUAAAAAACUAUCUCAUGCAAUAUUAUUUUGUUUUGUACAACCUUCGCAAAAAAAAAGGAUGUUUUGUACAAAAUUAGAUGUUCGCAAAAUUCUUUGCAUAUUUAUUUUUUUUUCCAUUUUUCGCCUGUUUGAGAGCGCACACUAAAGAAGAUGGCACAUUAAGGGCUUUUUUGUCUCAAAAUCUAUUCUGGUGGCUAAAAAUAGUUAAAUUUAUCCCGAUGGUUAUUUACAAAAAACGUUAUUUUUAAAGGCUAAAAAAAAAUUCCCCUUCUAUUUUUGUCAUUUUACAAUAAUUUUUUCCUUAAGAUCCAUUUAUUUCUCACCUACUUGCUUAAUGGCUUUCAUGGAAAAAUACUUUACCAUAUACAGUACAAGGGAAGGGAGAUUUCCGGAGCUUUCGUAUAGAUAUUUAUCUCUUUUUACUAGUGGGACAUGGAAUCAUGAGCAUUUGUUGUAUCAGUUUGAGAAGAAAACUGAUACACUGUUAUGAAGACUUGCUUGUUUAAACUCUUUGACUAAAGCAUGUUUAUAGUAUAUUGCCUCUGUUUAAAUUACAUAAACAUCAGUAACUUAAAUUUUAAACAAAUUAAAUUAGUCUAAAUAUACUUGUGUAUGAAUUUGUAUAAUUUAUGAAAGAGCCUUUUUUUCCCAGAACAUCCUUUUUUUUUGUUUUUUAAACUCAUUCAUUACUUGGUGAUAAGCUUUUUCUCUGUCAUUCUUGCCUUAUUUUUGCUGAGCCUUUUACUUUGCUUCAAACAGUUUUUAUUUACUCAUUAAGAAGGUGGAUUUCAUCAUCUUAUUAUUCCACUUCCCCCUUUAAUAAUUACUUACUCACUAUUGAUGACUUCACAACUUCUAUAUUGACUUUGCAUUGAGUUAUGCUAAUGAAGCAUAGUUUUCUCUAAACCAAAUUUGGCAUGAUUUCAAAAGCAAGUUCACACCUUCAAUUCACUUUUUCUUUUUGGUCUCACGUAUUUGAGAAGAAAAAUCUAUCAGGAUUCGUCUCUUUCUCUUUAUCAGUAUUUUCUUGGUGAUAUGCUUUUUCACUGUCAUUUCCCGUCUUCUUUUUGCUCACCCCUUCUAUUUUGCUUCCAACAUAUUUUUUUUUUUAAUUUUCUCAAUAAUUAACGAGACAAAGAUUACCAAUGGGACAUAGGCAUCAUUGCUAUCAAAGCUUUUGAAUUAUUGACCUGAUCCCUUUAUUGUUCUCUUUCAUAUUUUUGACAUUUUGCAAUCAUUUCAAAAUGGAAAUUAAGAUCACACUUUUCAUUUUCUCUUUGUACUGUUACGUAAAUAAGACCUAGAAUCAUUGACGUACUUUUGAAUUAUUGAUUUUUUUAUUAUUUUAUUUUAUUUUUAAUUAUUAUUCAAUAUUUUUUUCUUUUCCCCUCUGAGUUUAAAACAACUUAAAAUAUAAGAAAACGAAUGUUUACUGAGGUAUUGCUCCUUUUUAAUUUCUUCUUCUUCUCACGUUCUUGGGUUUUAGCUGAAAGUGGAAGACCCUUGGCCUCAAAUGCCUCUGGUAUUCCACAUCUUUUGAUAAUGGACAUGGAAUCAUUGUUAUUUUAGUUUCUUAUUCAACAAAAGUUGCAGCAUGGACUUGGUUUUCUUCUUAGUCUCUUUUUUUUUUAUUGUUAUUUUCUUUUAUUUAAACAACAAUGGGUUCAAACAUCUUUUGAUUUAUCGAAUUAUUGCCCUCACUUUUUCUUUUCUUUUUUUAUUAAAAAAUUAUUUAACAACUAAUAAUAUCUCACUCCAAAAUCUUAACUUAUGAAAACAUGCUAUAUGUGUUGAUCAUUAGAUUAUUAAUUUUAGCUACUAAAAAAGGUGAUUAUUAAAGAUAGAUAGAUCUUUAAAAAAAAAAGUAGAUAGAUAAAGAAAUCCAUCAUCUCUAGGAGAAAUUUCAAUUAAAAAAAAAUGAUCAGCAGUGAGGAAAGUUAAGCUAAAAAAUGUUUAAGAAAGUUUCAUCAAUUGUUUUUCUCCUUGCGAUGGGGAAAACUUUGGUCAUUCAUUUCCUAAUUGACUAUCUUUGCUUCAAAGUUAACAAAGAAAUAUCAAUGUGGAAUUAGGAUUCUUCUUAAUUCUUAUCUUAAUAGAAUUAAGUCUAACUUGAAAACCAACUUUUGAAUUAUUGAUCCCGUUAGAUGGAUCAAUUUGUUUUAUCAUCUAUGUAUUUUUAAUAAUUUUAAGCUCCUUUUUACACAUACGUUUAUUUCAAAUCUACUUCAAAUCCAGAUUACUGUUAGGAUAGUCUUGAAUUAUAUUAUGAUUAGAAUUGUUUAAUUUUAAUUAAACUAAUAUACCUUCUUUGAGAUAGUCUUUAAAUUUAGUUAGACUAUAAUAACAUAUAUUAAUUAUAUUAGGAUAAGAUUAUUGUACUUGACCCCUAUAAAAGGAUUUUAUGGGGUUAAAGAAAUCUAAUCAUUUAGAUUUAGAGAUAGUAAUUUGGGUGUACGUGAGAUAAGAGUUUUGAGUUUGAGACUGUUUUUGUAAUCUUUUGAUUUUUCUCUUAGUGAAUCUUUCCCCAUUGCUGUAUCCGUUGACGUAAGUCAUCUAAAGACUAAACCACGUAAAUUUUUGUGUUCUUGUGAAUGUGCUUGAUUUUCUUCUUUCUUUAUUCAAUUGAUUGAGUAAGAUCUAGAGUAACUGUUUAGAGAUAAUUUCAUAAUUUUCACAAUAAAUUGGUAUUAGAGCUUCAAGGUCUUAAGUCAAUAUGAAUAAUCGAUGUAAUCCUUCUAUUAUUGUCCGUUAAUUUUUGUUAUUUUGGAAUAUUUUUUCCAUUGAGAUCCAUUUAUUCUCACCUACUUGCUUGCUCUGUUUAAUGACUUUCAUGGAAAAAUACUUUAUCAUAUAUAAUUACGAGGGAGAUUCUCGAAAUUUUCGUGGUUUAGAAAUUAAUAUGAUAAAUAAAAGAAUAUGGGACAAUAUUUUAACUAGUUUGUGGUUUAGAAACUAAACUGAAAAUGUAUAAAAUAAUAUUCUCAAAAUUAUUCUGAAAAUGCACUCUGUAGGUCAAGGUAUCAUUACAGAUCGUGUUUUUAUGUCCCCACAUUUGAUUCCUUGUUCUUUAUCAGAAAAUCAUGCCUGCACCUGGUCUCUGUAUCUAUCUCAUUAUUUCAUUAGGAGGGUAAAAGAAAAUGAAUUCCCCUUUCUCCUUAAAGAACAUGUGAUAGUGGGUCCACACGCUGCAAAAUUGUCUGUAAAUGAAGGAAGAAAUAGUUGCGGUUAGUCGUCGCCGAAUUGAUUAUCUCUGUUCCAAAGUUAACAAACAAAUGCUAAUGUGAAAUUAAGAAAUUGCUCAACUCUUGCCUUGAGAGAAUUGAGUCUAAUGCGGAAACCGAAUUUACCAAAGUAAAAGAGAGAUUCUAGGAACUUUCUUGAUAUUUUUAGUUCAUUGUGAAAUCAAACACAAGAUUAAUGCCACCAUUUAUUGAGAGUGUAUUGUCAUUAAAUAAGUAUUAUUGACUAAUCCUCUCUUAAAGAAAAAAAAAUGAAGAUGCUUUGUUAAAGGAAAUUCUAAUUAAUGUAAAAUUGACUUCAUGUUUGUGAUCCUAAACAUAAUAAUGUCUUCUCCAUAAAAUUUAAAAAAUUAAAUUAUUUCAAUAAAUAAAGUAUAAAUUUCCACUAAACAAAAUUUUGUCAUUAUUAAAAAAGCAAUUAAAUUCAGAACCAGUAACAGGGGUUAACCGUUAACCCCUUGCUAUACAAGAGCUGGUGGUGUCCCCAAAAAACUGUAGCCAAAACCCAAACUCAAAGGAGUCCCAGGAAUCAUAAUUACAUAAAUGGUGGUACGCACAGCCUCCACUACCUUUAUCCUUGGAGGCCAAUCCCUGUCAGAACAAGAACCAGAGCAGAGAGCGAGUAAGCACCCACUAAGAGAAUAAACAAAAUUAAUUACAUGAAAGACCCCUGUAACAAAAGACAAAUUCAGUGUGAAAAAUCAACAAAACAUGGCCCCCAGAAGCAAUCGAAAAACUUCUCAAGAGCAGCUGAAAAAGAAAUUAAGUUUACACUUUUAAUUCUUUCAUUGUGCUUCUAUGCAAAUGGACGUUGGAAUCAUCGAUACACUUUUAAAUUAUUAAUUAUUUUUUAUCAUUUUUAAUUACUUUUUAAUAUUUAUUUUUUAUCUAUUUAGUUAGUUUAUAUGAAAAACACUUUAUUCUCUUUGUAAGUAGAAACUACUAUCAUUAUUUCGUAAAUAUCAUCAAGAGUAAACACUAAACUUGAUUAUCUUUAUUUAUGAUUUUUUUGUAAUUAAGCAUUACUUGGUGAAUUCUUUUCUAAUAAUGAGCAAUGGCCUACUUUUACAAGCCUUUUGUGAACUUGUUGCCUGCCUAAAUCAUUUAAGUUGGACAUGGAAAAAAAUUUAGUGUCAAUUUUGCUUGUAAAGUUUGCGGAUGUAUGCUCAAAUGCAAAAACCAAGAGCAAUAGAAGAAAAUGCUGCAGGUAUACACCAAGGAAAAACGGAAGUUGCAGGUAAGCUUCUAUUUUUAUCAAAGAAAACUGAAAUAGAAAUCAAAGAAAACUCAAAAUAUAUAAAAUAAUAUUCUUAAAUUAUUCAGAAAAUCUACUUUAUAGGUCAAGGUACAUGUAUACUUUUUGAAACAUCAUUUAGAGAUCAUGUUUUUUUCCCCGCAUUUGAUUCCUUGUUCUUUAUCAGAAAAUCAUGCCUCCUCCUAGACCCUGUAUCUGUCUCAUUAUUUCAUUGGGAGGGUAAAAGAAAAUGAAUCCACUUUCUCCCCAAAGAACAUGUGAUAAUGGGUCCACACUUUGAAAAAUUGUCUGUAAAUGAAGGAAGAAAUUGUUUUGGUUAGUCGUCGCCUAAUUGAUUAUCUCUGUUCCAAAGUUAACAAAGAAACGUCAAUGUGGAAUUAAGAAAUUGCUGGACUCUUGUCUUGAGAGAAUUAAGUCUAACGCGGAAAUCGAAUUAUCAAAAUAAAAGAGAGAUUCUUGAAACUUUCUUGAUAUUUUGGGUUCAUUGUGGAAUCAAAUACAAUAUUAAGGCCACCAUUUAUGGAAAGUGUAUUGCCAUUAAAGAAGUGUUAUUCAUUCAUUCUCUUUCAAAGAACAAAAAAAGAAUGGAGAUGCUCUGUUAAAGGAAAUUUUAAUUAAUGUAAAAUUGGUUUCAUAUUUGUGAUCUUAAACAUAAUAAUGUCUUCUCCAUAAGAUUUAAAAACUUAAAUUAUUUUAAUAAAUGAAGUAUAAAUUUCCACUAAACAAAAUUUUAUGAUUAUUCAAAAGACAAUUAAAUUCACAAUGGUUUUCUUUUGAAAAGCUGCAAUUUUAUUCCCUAUUCAGAACCAGUAGCAGUGGUUAACCCCUUGCUAUACAAGAGCUGCUGGUGUCCCCAAAAAACGGUAGCCAAAACCCAAACUCAAAGCAGUCCCAGGAAUCAUAAAUACAUCGACGGAGGUAAGCACAGCCUCCACUACCUUUAUCCUUGGAGGCCAAUCCCUGUAAGAACAACAACCAGAGCAGAGCGCGAGUAAGCACCCACUACGAGAAUAAACAAAAUUAAUUACAUGAAGGACCCCUGCAACAAAAGACAAAUUCAGUGUGAACAAUCAACAAAAGAUGGCCCCCAGAAGCAAUCAAAAAACUUGUCAAGAGCAGCUGCUAAAGAAAUUAAGUUCACACUUUCAAUUUUUUCUUUGUGCUCCUAUAUAUGCAAAUGGGCGGUGGGAUCAUCUAUUCACUUUUGAAUUAUUAAUGCUUUUUUUUGGUCGUUUUUCAGUUACUUUUAAGUAUUUAUUUUUAAUCUACUUGGUUGGUUUACAUGGAAAAUAAUUGACUCUCUUUGUAAGCAAAAACUACAAUUAUUAUUUCGUAAAUGUCUUUAAGAGUAAACAUUUGAUUAUAUCUAUUUAUGAUUCUUUUAUAAUUAGGCAUUACUUGGUGAAUUCUCCUCUAAUAAUGAGAAAUGACCUACUUUUAAAAGCUUUUUGUGAACUUGUUGCCUGCGUAAAUCAUUUAAGUUGGACAUGGAAAAAAAAUUUAGUGCCAAUUUCGCAUGUAAAGUUUGCAGAUGAAUUCUCAAAUGCAAAAACCAAGAGCCAUAGAAGAAAAUGAUGCACAAUAAUCAGAAAUCAAGGCUAAGCUUCUAUUUUGAUCAAAGUACUGAAAUAGAAAUCAAGUUUGCGCUACAAUAAUCAGAAGCCCACAAGCAGAGGGAAUUAAGAAACAACAGUUGAUUCUUCUUCGGGUAGCAAAAACACUUGAAUACAGGAGAGAAAAUUUCGAAUAAUUGAUGUGAUCUCUCUAUUAUUGUCCUUUAUAUUUUUGUCAUUUUUUCAAUUUCUGAGAUGAAUAGAAUAUUACAUCUCCAAUUUUCGCUUUCAAACACUGUACAAAUAAUGGAACAAAGUCAACAUCCACAUUUUGCUUAAGGAAAAAGAAAAAUCAAGGAAAGGAAGACAGAUAGGCCAAUUUGGAUUUGGAUAACUUAUAGUUAUGAUGAUUUUGGGGGUGCCACUAACAAAUCUUUUCUGGAUCCAAUUGAUGGGCCAGAAGAAACCAAAAAGAGAAAAGGAUGGAGUCAUGAAGAUGCUCUGUUAAGGUCCCUUGGUUGGCUUUCUAGGAAGUGUUAUGGCAAAAGCAUGGGACUUGCGAGGAUGUAAAUGAUAGAAAAUUUUCCAGCCAACCACAAUUGCUCAAGUUCAGCUUCAAAUCUUUUUAUUUUUAUUGUUUUCUUUUUUGUGCUCCUACCAUUUGAGAAGAAAAUCGAUCCAUUAUUAUGAAGACUUCCUUGUUUAAUCUUGUCAUCAGUUAACAAUUUAUUUAAUCUUUUUUAUUGAAGCAUAUUUAUAGUUUAUUGCCCCUGUUUAAAUUACAUAGACAUCAAUAACUUGAAUUUUAAAUAAAUUAAAUUAUUCUAGAUAUGAUUGUGUAAGAAAAAUCAUAAUUAAGAAAAGCUUGUAGGAACCUGAUGAAAUGCAUAAUUAACAAAAUUCAUCACCAAGUCCUUAAAAGCAUAACUAGCUUUUUGACCAUGCUUGUCAUUGGAAAAAUAGGAAAGCCCAAGCAAUGAUGAGUGAUGUUUCUUGGGCUGGAAAUGACUUUAUUUACGGAUAUGAAUAGACAAUAACACCUUCAACUUUUCUAUUCAAACACUGUAUAAUUAAUGAAAUACGCCUUUUAUUUAAAUAAAAAAAAGAAGAAUCGAAGAAAGGAAGGUAGAUAGACCAAUUUGGAUUUGGAUGACCUAUAAUUAUGAUGACUUUCGUAUUCAUAUUCACUUUUGUUAAUAAAAACAGUUUUUUUUUAAAACAAUUUAUACUGUAGAAAUUUGGUGUUAAUAAGCAUAGGAAAAAUAAACAAAAAUAAGUAACUAAUAGAAUCGAAAUUUAGAAAUUAUUAAUAUAUUUUCAUGGCACUGCACAAUAUAUAUAUUCAUGGUAUAAAAAUUAAUUAUAAUUUUAUUUUAUUUUGUUAUAAAUUUUAUGACUUAUAACUAUGAUGAUUUAAGAUAUGUCACUGUUAAAUUUUUUCUUAAUCUAUUAGAUAGGACAAUUUGUUUUAUCAUAUCCCUCCAUUCGCUUAUCUUUGUUCUUUAUUUAUUUAUUUAUUUUUUGUUAAAUAAACUUGAUUCUGAUCAUUAAUUUUUUUUUGAAAAUAUGGUGCAUUUAAUUAAUCAUCAAUCACAUAUUACAAUGUGAGUUAUUAACAAAAUUUAAUGAACAUUAAACCGCUAUAUCCCACUUUCAUUCCCUGUGCAUAGAAAGUAAGUCUUGUUGAAAACCUUCCCUUGGAAAAACCCAUUUGGAUAAAACCAAGGGUAAAGAAAAAUAGUACUUCUUUAACCAUACAAAUCCCUAGGAUCUUUCUGAACACCCUUCCCCGUUUGUAACGUACGAAGCUUCCUUGUCUUUUAGUAGGCACUCUUUGAUUUUGCAAAUCGUCAAUCCUGAAAUACCCUUACUCUCCUUAGCCAUUGAUAACAUUCCCGAUAAUGCUUCGGUGAUAAUCACAAACAAGAAAGUAUUACUUGAAAUUGCUACAAAAUCUUAAAAAAUAGUCUUGUAAUAUGGAUAAUUAUUGAAACAAAAUGUAUGAUAUUGUAAGAAAAGGAAAUUAAAUUGAAUUUGCUAAUUCUAAGUGCAUGUAGAAAUGAUCCAAUCCCUUCAUAUAAUUCUUAUUGUAAGCAUUACUUGGUAAAAUUUUCUUCUAUCAACGAGUAAUUACUUCAUUUUAAAUGCUUUUUGUGAACUUGUUGCCUGGCUAUACUACCAUGGCCAAAUGUUUUAUACGUUGGAGUAACAAUCAAACUCUCAAUAUUUCAAUAAAUCACUUUAAAAUAAAAAAUUAAAGUUUAAUUUCCCUGUCUUGAUUGCUGCAUAACAUAUUUGUACAACUUAUUGACUAAAGACAUAAAAUACAAAAAUAAGGACAAGAAACAGAAGAAUUUUAGGCUUGUUCUUUUGACUUAUUGUAGAUAUAGAGAGCAACAUAACAUUGAUUAGGUAAAAGCAAGUGAUCCCUUCACUUGACAACUCUACGAAGCCAACAUCUCGACCAACGAAAAGUACAAUAAUUUCAACUAACUGUUUUUCUGGUUUUUUUUAUGUAAAUAAUAAAAGUUAGUACAAGUAAACCAUCCAAAACUUGAUUAGGACCAGGCACACAAGUGAAAGAAAAGAAAAUGGAAAGCAGCUUUGCUUUUCCUGUGUUUAGUUGACAGCCUCAACCACUAUAUUUAUGUUUAAACAUGCCUUUGCAACUUCCCCUGCAAUCACCUCAUCAUUCUUCCAUGUAAGGUGGUAGCUGAUCAACCCGACGUGGCUGCCACCUGUUCCAAGCUAUGGUCUUGGUGUGGACUACAUUUUGAGCAGUGACAGACCCUUCAGUGUCAUCUUGCUCAACCAGUCGUGGUAUCUUUUUAAACCAUUGAAGCAGCAAAAUGUAAAACAAAGUAUUAAUGUCUCAUGUUAUAAAGGAAAAAGAAAAAAUAGACAUAUUAUAAUAUAUAAGUAUUUUAUGUCAAAAAUUUAUUAAAAGUAAUGGAAUCAUUCACUAAAAGUGAUAUUCUAGACAUAGACUAAUCUUUUUGUUGCAGCAUACUACUUAGUCAUUUAAGUAAUUUAAGUAAAGACUUUGAAAAAUUAUGUAGUAUAAUAUUAUUAAAGACUCUAAUUGCCUUUGCACAUAACAAAUAAAAGCUUGUACUUAAUUUACUAAUCAAUAAUAAAAGCUCUUAAUAAUUAAUAAUGAUUGUUUUGGGAGGAUAAGGAGAAUGAAGAAGGUAUUUUCAUUUUUUUUUAAUAAUAUUCCGGCAAGAGUACAUGAAGAUGGCUUCAAAGGAUUUUUGAUCAAUUUGGAAAGGUUGUCAAUACAUUUAUAGAGAGAAAUAGAUGCAAAUAUAGUAAGAGGUAUCGCUUGAUCAUAUUUGAAUAUUUUAAUAAAGCUAGAAGAGCACUCCAGAAUUUAAAUGGAGUCUGGCUUCUUAAUCAAAGGCUAGUGGUCAACAUAGCUAGCUAUGGAAGCCAUGAUUCAUUCUAAAGGAGGAACCAAAAAGGAAGCUUCUUAUGCACCUGGUGUUAACCACAUUAGGAAUGGAACCUGCAGUGGGAUUUUAAGACACAACUCGACCUUAUUUACUAAGCCAUCUUAUGCUCUGGAAUUGAAUGGCACUUUUGAAAGAGGUGGAGUUUCAAAUAAAGAUAGAGAAGAUGAUCUUCAAUGUCUCAAAAAGCAUGGAAAACAUGCUUUGGUUGAAGAGAAGUGUUGUGGUAACAACAUAAUGUAAUUCAGAUUCAGCAAAGUGGAUGGAAUUAUUUAAAAUGUGAGGCAUUUCGGGGCUGCUUAUGAGGAGUUUGUCUCCCAAAGAAUUUCUGCUAACCUUUGAGGAUAAGAAGCUAUUUGAAGAACUCAAAGAUAAAGGUUGGGAUUGGCUUAACAAAUGGUUUACUAAGGUGGAAACAUGGCUAGAGAAUUUUUCAUCAAAACUCCUUAGCAAGUGGGUGAUUGUCAAAUUGAUUGUACAGGGUAUCCUUUAGAUGUGUGAAAUAGGCAUAUUAUAAUUUAUAAGCAUUUUAGGCCAAAUUCAUUAAAAGUGAUAUUCUAAACUAAGUUUUGGUUGUAGAGACUUACUCAAUCAUUUAAGUAAUUUAAGUAAAGAUUUUGAAGAUUAUGCCUUAAAAUAGACAAGAUUAAAGUUUUCAAGGUGUAUACCUCUGUUUUGGCGUGCACAUAUUUCUUUGAAUCUAUGAAGAAACCUGUAGUCAUCUUGGGACAUCCUUCUACUCUUAAAGAUGACAAAGCCGGUAGUACAAAGUGAUAUCCCCUUGGACAGAAGUCAACGAGGCUUCGCACUUUUACAAGUGAUAAUACUUUUAAUUGAUCAAACUUUAUCUCCUUUUCAGCUAUUGCUUCUGCUUCAAAUACUUGCUCCAAUUUAGAGUUCCCUUUGACCCAUAAUUUUUCAAGUUUUUGAAGACAACAAGCAAAUCCAAGAGGAAAGAGACAUCUUAGCCUCUUGCAAUCUAUCACCUUUAGAACUGUAAGGUUUUCAAGAGUUGCAACUUGAGCCACAUCCUUCCAUAUCAUCUGCACUUCAGAUAAAUCCUCCAGAUGGAGUUCCUUUAUACGCCCAUGAAUCUGAAAUACCCCCUUCGUGACUCCCAACUGGUUUAUUUUCUUGAUUGUAAUUGGCUAAAAUAUGCAACUGAAAGCUAUUCCCAACUUAGAGAGAGAUAAUUCCUGCAAAUACAGACACCACUAAAUGUCACUAAAUACAUUCAUUUUCUACUAGAUUGGGAAGAGUUAAGCAAAUGUUACUCAUAAUUCUUCAUAUUUUUAGAUGCCAAUUCACAAAAAAUCCUUACAUUUCAAAGAUAGCACAUAUAUAUGUUUCAAAAUUUAAAUCCAAAAUUUUCAUGAAAUUGUUUGAAAGUGGAACCCAAAAACACCAAACCUUUUUAGGUUUUUCUUUGUUAAAUUUGAACAUAAAACCUUUUGUGAUUUUCCUUUUCUUUUGUUUUUUUCUUUGUCAUUUUUAUGCUGCAAUUUUAAAAUAUAGUUGGAUAAGUUUGUGAGUGUUGAAAAGAUUUGGCUCGAAGGCAAAAUCCAAAACCAUAAUUGAAGAAAAAGUAUAUAAAAGAAAUACCUUUAGUUGAACUUGCUCCUUAGCUUCUUUUUGAAUGGUAAAAUUUAUCAAUUUAGGACAGUUGUAAAUGUCCAACUUCUUCAAAGACGGUGAUGAGAUGAGAAAGUUUUCCGACCAAAAGCAACCCAAAUUUGUCAAGUUUACAAGUCCUAAAUGUUGUAGGGAAGGGAGUGCAAUGGCACAAUCAACUCCAAUCUUUUCUUUUGCCACACGGAAGACUUGCUGUAACUGAGGCGAAUCGGUUAUCCAAAAUGAUUUCAAUCGUGGAAGAACUUGAGCCAGAGCAAUUUGAAAAACAUAUUCCAAUCUUGGACAAUCAGUUAUUUCUAAAGUUUCCAACUUUGGCAAGAACGGAGAAAAGGCAUUUGGUUCCAUUUCAUCAUCACAGACCAACUCGGUGAUAAUGUGUUGCAGUCCAUCACAGUGAUCUAUCGUGAGUUCUUCUAGUAGCACCAAGCUUUGAGCAAGGGAUGGUGAGAAGAGAUGUUUCAAUCUAUUGCAGUAACUAAUUUCUACAAACUUCAAGCUUUGGAGGCUGACAAAACGGGUGGAUCCUUUCCAUAUCCAAUUCAAUUCAGGUAAUGAGUUUAGCUCCAUUAGUGUUAAAUUUGACAACAGCAAUCCUUGAUUUUCUUUUGUAUCAUGAAGAAGCUCAUCUAUUUGAAAUACUUCUUGCAACUGGCCACAAUUAAUAACUUUCACUUCCUUUUUGUCGCGCAGGAGAUAAAGAGACCAUUUCCAUGCAAUUCCUUGUUGUCAACUUCUCUAGUUUCUGUAGAAAGCCCUUUGGAAACUGACCUUUGCACAACAUUUUGAAACCAGUCAUUUCUUUUAUGACUAAUUCCACUAAAUUGAGCAAGGCAUUGGUUGAGACAUGGCCUUCUGUCGUAUCAAUCAAGCAUUCAAGCUCCUUGCCACCUUUAAGUGCAAGAAAAGUUAAUUCAUUAAGCCACUUUGGAUCUACAUUUGGAAUGAGAUUUUUUUGAUACAUGACACUAUCCAGGGUUAGACUUUUGGCAUUGUAUAAUACUUCCUUCAAUGCAUGCAAUUGAACAUCCUGAUAAAUCACAACAAAAUGAAAGAUAUUAGAAAAAUAGAAAGGUAGAUAAUACUCUUUAAAUCAGAAUUGAAUUUCUUUCUAUGCAUAAAAUUUAAAACAUACCAAAGCUCAUUAAAGUUGAAAAACAUACCAAAGCUCAUUAAAGUUGAAAAACAUACCAAAGCUGUACAUGCUGAAAUUUAUCAGACACAUGGAAAUAUGAUUUAGCAAUAAAGUACAUGUGGGAUGCACGCAAGGAAGGAAAAGAAAUAAAAUUUUGUUAUUGCCACGUGCUUGUUUGCUUUUUUUAUUAAAUUCAUUAAAUUUUUUAUUUUAUCAUGCCACGUACAUGUCUUCUAUUGCCACAUCAUGUUUUCACAUGUCCUAUAAAUGCUAGCGUGGCUUGGAGUUAAAACAUCCAUGGAUUCUAUCCAAAUAAGGGUGCUUGGAUAAUGAAAAUAACACUUUAAGAGCUUAAUUAGAUGCAAUUAUAUGCAAAAUAAUCAUGCAGCACUCUCAUUCUUAUAAUAUGAAUGGGUUCUUUUUUUAUUAUUAUUAAAUGACGAGUACUUUGAGUAAUUAUUGAAGGAAUUGAAGACAAAGUUGCUGAUGAUCAAUGAGAGUUUGAAUUUCUCCAGGAUACAAGUGUGACUUUCCCUAAUUUUUAUAAUGUAAAACCCCGUAAAAACCUUUCUUGAAGAAAAGUUUUCAUCUUUUUCCUAUUUUGUUGUUCAAAUCUUUUUCCCAUUCCAAGAAAGAAUCAGAAUCACCUAGCUAAUUAUUGUAUGAAUAUGCCGUUCUUUCUUUUUAAUUUAUGAGUAUUGGCCUUUUAUAUCGGUCAAAAUAAAGAGUCUAAAAUUUUUGAACAACAAUUUUAAAAUACAGUUGGAUUAGUUUAUGAGUGUUGAAAAGAUUUGGUUCGAAGGCAAAAUCCAAAAUUGUAAUUGAAGGAAAAGUAUGUAAAAGAAAUACCUUUAGUUGAACUCGCUUCUUAACUUCUUUUUGAAUGGUAAAAUUUAUCAAUUUAGGACAGUUUUAAACUUCCAACUCCUCCAAAGAUGAUGAUGAGAUGAGAAAGUUUUCCGAGCAAAACCAACCCAAAUUUGUCAAGUUUACAAGUCGUAAAUCUUGUAGGCAAGGGAGUUCAAUGGCACAAUAAACUCCAUUAUUUUCUUUUGCCACAAUGAAGACUUGUUGUAGCUGAGGAGAAUCAGUUAUCCAAAAUGAUUUUAACCGUGGAAGAACUUGAGCCAGAGGGAUUUGAAAAACAUAUUCCAGUCUUGGACAAUAACUUAUUCUUAGAGUUUCCAAUUUUGGCAAGAACGGAGAAAAGGCAUUUGGUUUUAUCUCAUCAGCACGGCCCAACUCAGUGAUAAUGUGUUGCAGUCCAUCACAGUGAUCUAUCAUGAGUUGUUGUAGCAGCACCAAGCUUUGAGCAAGGGAUGGUGAGAAGAGAUGUUUCAAUCUAUGGCAGUAACUAAUUUCUACAAACUUCAAACUUUGUGGCGUGGGAGAUAAAGAGACAAUUUCCAUGCAAUUCCUUGCUGUCAACUUCUCUAGUUUUUGUAGAAAUCCCUUUGGAAUCAGACCGUUGCACAACAUUUUCAAACCAGUCAUUUCUUCUAUGACUAAUUCCACCAAAUUGAUCAAGGCAUCGUUUGAGACGUGGCCUUCUGUUGCAUCAAUCAAGCAUUCCAGCUCCUUGCCAUUUUUAAGUGCAAGAAAAGUUAAUUCAUUAAGCCCCUUUGGAUCUACAUUUGGAAUGAGAUUUUUCUGAUACAUGACUCUUUCUAGGGUAACAUUUUUGGCAUUGUAUAAGAACUCCUUCACUCCAUGCAAUCCAACAUCCUAAUAAAUUCACAACAAAAAUGGAAAACACUAGAAAAAUUAGAAUGCUAAAUAACACGUCUUAAAUCAAAAUUGAAAUUAUUUUUUAUGCAUAAAAUUUAAAGAUUUGAGCCAAAAGAAAAGCAAACCAAUGCUUGAAGUACAAAUAUUGUACAGUAUACUUAUUGGUAGAUGUGAAUGUACUAAAAUGCGCUUAUAUAAACCCCAAAACAUAGUAAAUUAUUUUCCAGAUUCAUCAAUCAUUUCUUACAUAAGUAUUCUUUCCUUUUCAUUUUUUCUCGAUUUAAUUUAAUUUCUUUCCUUGAUGUACCAAAGUUAGUGCAAGGGUAGGUGAAAAGAGAUAUACCAGUUUAGAACACAAUCCAAUUCUCAUAGUCUUAAGACUCUGGAGAUUAAAAAAAUGGGUGGAUCCUCUCCAUAUGCAGCUUAAUUCUGGUAAUGACGUAAGCUCCAAACAAGUUAAAUUUGACAAUGGUUGUACCUGAUUUUCCUGACAUAAAGAAAAAUAUAUAAAUUUUUAAUUAAUAAAUAUUGAAAUAUGAAUUCGUUAUACUUAAAUAUAGAGAAGGCAUAUAUUUUUUAGACAAAUGUAGAAGGAAGGGUUGAAAGCCAAUAAUUUAGAAAGAUUAGAUAGUAAUUAUUUAUAAUUCAAUAAUUCAAAGAAAGGUAAUUAGAAAAAGAAUAUAUGAGAGCAUUAUUAAAGGAAAAAUGAAGAGAUAAGAGGUACCUCUAGCUCAACCAUUUCUUUGUCAAAAGCAAAGACUUGCUCUAAUUUUUUGCAUUCAGAUAUCUCAAGUUUCUCUAGAUGCAACAGACUUUGAGCAAGGCAAGGUGAGAAGAUAGAUUUCAAUUUAUGACAACGACAAAUUAUUACUUCCUUCAGACUUUGUAGGCUUACAUGAUGAGUUGGCUCUUUCCAUAGACUCUCCAACGUUGGUAAUGACCGUAGCUCCAAGUUUCUUAAAUUUGAGAUCGAUUGCAUUUGACUUUCUUUCCCAUUCAUUUGAAACACUGAUUGCAACUCCUUACAAUCCGAAAUACUCAAUGUUUCUAACUUUUGUAAGAAGCUAAUCGGGGAUUGACCACGACAUAACUUUUUCAAAGAAGUCAUUCCUUUCAUCUUUAAGUUCACCAGAGUAGAGAAUGCAGUGGUUGAACUUUGUUCUCGUUUUGUAUCGAUCAAGCUUUCCAUGGUGAUAUUGUGCAGAGUAAGGUUUUCCACGUUGCAAAACAGCUCCUUAAAUGCAUUUAAUGAGGAUGAGAAAUCUCUAAUUGUCAAGGUUCUCAAGUGCAUCCCCAUCAAAUCUUCAGUAUCUUCAUUUACAGCUAUAUCGUACCUUUGUAGUUUAGGGAACACAAAGUUUUCUUGAGAACAUUGAUCAGUAGAAACUCUCAAUCUUAAUGCACUCAAACGAGACAUGAAUUAAGCUCCAAUAAGUUCGCAUUGUUUUCUGUGUCCACGUGUAGCUCCUGGAGUGACGCUAACCUGUUGAACACAAAUACAAAAUAUUGUUAACACAAUAAUAGCGUUUUCAUUUGAAUGAUACAAAUAGCUAGGUAAUGAAAUGAAUAAUAUAACAUAAUUUUUUAAAAAUUUUUUCAUGCGUAGAGAAAAUAUAUGUGUGUACUUAAAUACUUAACUGAAAACAAUAAAUUAAACAAUUUUAAUCACAUCUUAAUACUACCUUGAUAGCAAGUUAGGGGGGAAAUAGCAGCAAUGUUCCUCUCCAUGGAAAUAUAGGGAUUUUAGUCUUCGCAAUUCCACUAAUUCCUCCGUUAGCUCUUCAAUAUUAGUAACAAACAAUGUCAAAAUCUCAAGGUUUUCCAUGUUUCCCAAUGAUGAGAUGUUUCUGAGCUUGCAAUCCACAAAGCACAGAGUUCGAAGAUUUGUCAAGAAUUGAAGUGCUUUUAGUGAGAGUACAACAUUUUUGAGAAGUAAAACUCGGAGGGUUUUCAUUCCUUCAAAAAACAUACUCGAAAUUUCCAAUGAAGUAUCUCCCACUAAAAAAAAAGUCUUAAGUUUUGAAAAUUCCAAAUUGUCAGGAAAGUUAUUUAUCUCAACGUCCCAUAAGGAGAUUGCCGUAUAAUAUCCAAAACUUUCACUUAUAGACCAUUCCGUCAACCCAUCUUUUACCAUGAAUUUAUUUUCCCCUCUCAAUGUUACCCAAUGAGCAAAAUCGCGAACCACAUCAUGCAUUUUUAUAGUUUCUUCAUCGUCAGUUUCCAAUAGCAAACCAGAUUGUUGGAGUUUAGUUAAUGCUUCAUAAAUUUCCCUCCGUAAGACUUCAAAUGAGUUAAUGUUACAGAACAAUCCUUGACCAAUUCCACACAUAACCAAAAUCUCAAUCGGUAUUUCAAAAUCUUCUGGAAAAAGGGAACACAACAAGAAACAUGACUUGACAUUAUCAUCCUCCAAAUAAUCAUAACUAAGCUCAAGACGGCUAUAGAUACCUCCAUAAACAUCUUGAUUAUCUAAAGGUCUUGAGUCUCUAAGUCGUUGAUUUGCUACCAUCCAUCCAUUUAGACUUUUACCUUUCAGAGCUUUUGCCACAGUUACAAUUGCAAGAGGCAAACCAUUGCAUUCACGAGCAACCUCCUUGGCUACAAUCAAGGUGGGGGAGUCAUCUUCUACACCAGCUUUAUCUUUGAAUAAAGCCCACGCUUCAUUUUCAGAUAAGAUAUUGAGGUGAACUUCCUUUUGACUAUUCAUACGAGUGCAAACUUGUUGAAGACGCGUGGUUAAAAAAAUUUUGCAGCCCUUGUGAUCAUCACCAAAUGGAAUUCCUAUAACCUUCAAGUCAAGUUCUUCCCAAACAUCAUCAAGGAUUAUAAGGAUGCUCUUCUCGUCUUUGAUUCUCAACCACAAUUGUUCUGCUCUUCCUUCUGGUGUCUUCUUUUGAAAAUCUAAAUCUAGAAAGUCUGCAAUUUUAUCUUGAAUAUUGUUGAUGUUUGGAUUUUGGGACACGGUUACAACCACAACUUUAUCGAAGAGUUGUUUGGCUUGGUUUCCCACUUCUUUUGCCAAAGUGGUUUUACCCACUCCUCCCAUCCCAUAUAGUCCAAUCAUGUUCACAUCACCAUUAUUCAGAGCCUCCAUGAUCCCUUUGAAAGCAGAAUUCGAAGAUUCAGAAGACAUGAAAUCCUUAGAUGGAAUGAACUCUAAUCCUGGAAGAGUAGAUCGGUAACCUACUCGUUCAAAAUUAGAAUUCUCUAAAAGUUGAGAGAUACAAAGUGUCUUCUUCGCUACUUUGAUACUUAAGCAGUAUCGCCAGCCCCAACUAAGACGCCAAUUGAAACACUUGUUACGUUCAAUUUCAUCUUCCAAACUCUGAGCUUCUCCCAAUUCUUUGUCUGCCCUUGUUAGACACAAAUUACCUCCACCACAGAAUGUCAUAAAAUGGGAAAUCCUCCCACCCAUAAACGAAUGAAGCAUCAGCCUAAGCAUCUCUCGCAACAUGACAGCAUUUCCAAAGAUUUUCCCCACCAGUUUUUGUUGAUAAUCAGCAGCAUCCAAUAAGCCCUCGAAGUAUCAACCCCGUGGGCAGCUCAAAACCAGGCCCCAAGUGUCUCCUGCUUGAAAUUCCUGUUUUAGCCCAACGGUCAGCGCACUCGUUGGCUUCCCAUGUGUAUGUUUGACACUUGCACCGAGCCUACCAGCCCAAUCAGCUCAUCAAGCUUUUUCUUGGAAAGUGGAUUUUUAUUAACCACGCAACCGAUAUGCCAUUGUUAGUCUAAAGCUGAAGCUACCAGAGACUCAUUAGAAUGAAUACUAGCCUGCCCAAAAAAAAAAAAAAGGAAAGAAAAGCUGUACAAUAAAAGAGCACAACUGCUCACAUAGAUUAGCAGUAGUCCCACAACAUUCAGCAACCAACAACAAGAGAAGCUCAAAGCUGCCUAUACACAAAAACUGGCGGCUGGAAACAGGAAAGCUAUCAAACUAAGACUAUCCUCGUAAGAGUAUCUAGAACGAAGCAACAAAAGCAAAAGCCGAAGGCAUCAAACCAAGUGUGCUCCAAAAUAAAGGCAAGGGACUCAAGAUCCCUUGAAAUCCUUUGGUCAUCCUAGCCCUUGGAAAUCCCUCCGCUAUCUCCAUGGCCGCACCUGCACAUUCACAGACCAAGAAGCAGUGUUUGGUUAGCACAGGAACAGUUUAUCCGAAAGAUAAAUCUUAACCUGUGAAAAGCGCAGUAAUUUUAAGCACAUGUUCCUUUUUAUGUAAAUAACAAAGGUUAGCAGUGAACCACCCAAACUUGAUUAGGACUAUGCAAAGACAAGAAAGAAAUGAAAACGGAAUGCAGCCUUUUUUUUUUUACCUGCGUUUAGUUGAUAGCCUCAACCUACUCAUUUAUGUUUAAACGUGUCUCUGCGAGUUCCUCUGAAAUUAUCUCAUAAUUCUUCCAUGUAAGGUGGUAGCACACAUUUCAUCCACGGCUGCCAAUCUAUGGUCUUGGUGUGAAUUGCAUUUUGAGCAGUGGCAGAUCCUCCAGGGGCGUCUUGCUUAACCAAUCGUGGUGUCUUUUAAACAAUUGAAGCAGUGAAAUGUAAAACAAAAUAGACAUGUCAUGUUAUGAGGACAAAAGAAGAAAUAAGCAUAUUAUAAAUUAUAAUCAAUUUAGGCCAAAUUCAUUAAAGGUGAUGGAAACAUUCAGUAAUGGUGAUCUUCUAGACCAACAUUUUUGUAGCAAUGUAUUAGUCAAUCAUUUUAGUAAUUUAAGUAAAAAUUUUGAAGAUUAUGCCUAAUAAUUAAUAUUAUUAAAAGACUCCAUAGAGCUAUAUAGGAUUAAAGUUUUUUGGACGUAUACCUCUUCUUUGGCAUGCACAAAACUCUCAGAAUCAAUGAAGAAACCUGUAGUCAUCUUGGGACAAUUUUUUACGAUCAAAUAACUCAAAGUCGAUAAUACAAAAUGAUAUCCUCUUGGGCAGAAGUCAAUGAGGCAUGGCAAUUCUUCAAGUGAUAAUAUUUUUAAUUGAUCAAACUCUAUCUCCUUUUCAGUUGUCCCUUCUACUUCAUCAUCUACCUCAAAUACUUGCUCCAGUUUAGAGUUCCCUUCAACUACUAAAUAUUCAAGUUUUGGAAUACAACGAGCAAAUCCAAGAGGAAAGAGACUUCUCAACUUUUUGCAAUAUUUAACAGAAAUUGUGAUCAAAUUAGGAAAGCAUAUCGAUUGGGAAUCACCAUUUGAUGAUGAACAAACUUGAUCCUUUGCAAUGAUUUGGUCUAAUUCCUCACAUUUUCGAAUAUCUAGAUGGACCAAUUGUGAUAAACUUCGAGCAAUUGUUGUGGGUGAAAAUAUAUAGCUUAGCCUCCUGCAAUCGGUCACCUCCAGAAUUGUAAGGUUUUCAAAGAUUACAUUCUGAGUAGCAUCCUUCCAUAUAUUCCGCAUUUCAGAUAAAUGCUUCAGGCGCAGUACAUUUAAACUAGAGAAUGAAUACCGACCAUGAACCUGAAAUACCUCUUCAUGAUUCCCAACAACUAAAUAGUCUUGAUUCAAUAGGGGGACAACAGUGUUACACAAUUGGCUGCUAUUUCCCAAGUUAGAAAGAUAUAAUUCCUGCAAAUACAGACAUCACUAAAUAUCAUUAAAUACAUUCCUUUUCUAUAAGAUGGGAAUUACCUGAUCAAAUUUUACUCUUAGGUCUUCAUACUUAUAGAUGUCAAUUCACAGAAAAUCCUACAAUUCUAACAGUAUCACAUAUGUUUCAAAAUUUAAACCCAAAACUUUUUGAAACUGGAAAACAAAGACACCUAACCCCAUUCAGGGUUUUUUUUUUUGGUGGUAAGUUUGAAGCUAAAAUUGUUUCUCAUUUUCCAUUUCUUUGUUUUUCCACGCAUCCUUGACCCGUUCCCCAAACUCUCUCCUCGGCUAAUUUAAGAACUUUCUUAAAUACAAUAAAAGAAAAGGGGUUUAUUUAAUUUUAUUUUGAAAUAAUAUAUAAGCUUUUUUUUACCCUUUCAAGAUACAUAACUAUCACUCUCAUGCUUAUAAGAUCGAUUCUAAAUCGAACUAAUUUUUUUUUUCAAAUGACAAGUACUAAUAAGAAAUAAUUGAAUGAGUUGAACAUUGAGUUGCUGAAGAUGAGAGUUUGAAUUUCUCUAAGGAUACAAGUGUGACUUGCUCUAAUUUUUACAAUAUAAAACUCUAUAAGAUUUCUUGAAGAAGAGUUUUCAUUUUUUUACUAGUUUUAUUGAAAUCUUUUUCUUAUUUCAAGAAAGAAUCAGAAUCAACUUGCUAAAUUUCAAAAAGAAAAAAAAAACCUUGCUAAUUAUUGUAUGAAUGUGCCAUUCUUUUUUUAUUUGUUAAUUCAUGAGUAUUGGCUUUUAUAUCCACCAAAAAUAAGUAGAAUAAAAUUUUUGAACAGCAUUAAGAUACAAUUGGGUUAGUAUAUGAGUGUUGAAAUGAUUUAGUUCAAAGGCAAAAUCUGGAACAAAAAUUGAGAGAAGAGUAUAAAAGAAGUACCUUUAGUUGAACCUGCUCGUUAGCAUAUUUUUGAAUGGUGAAAUUUGUAAAUCUAGGACAGUUGCAAACUUCUAACUUCUCCAAAAAUGGCAAUGCCACGAGAAAGUUUUUCGAGUGAAACCAACUCAAAUUUGUCAAGUUUACAAGUCGUAAAUCUUGUAGGCAAGGAAGUGCAAUGGCAUGAUCAACUCCAUUCGUUUCUUUUACCACAUUGAAGACUUGUUGUAACUGAGGUGAAUCAAAAAUCCAAAAUGAUUUCAAUCGUGGAAGAACAUUGGCCAAAUGACUUUCAAAAACAUAUUCCAGUCUUGGACAAUGAUAUAUUGUUAGAGUUUCCAAUUUUGGCAAGAGUGGAGAACGGAGAGGGACGUCUGAUUCUAUUUCAUCAUCAGGUUCCAACUUUGUGAUAAGUUGUUGUAGUCCAUCGCAAUGAUCUACUUUGAGUUGUUCUAGCAUCUCCAAGCUCUGAGCAAGGGAUGGUGAGAAGAGAUAUCUCAAUCUAUUGCAAUAACUAAUUUCUACAAACUUCAAGCUUUGGAGGUUGACAAAAUGGGUGGACUGUUUCCAUAUCCACUUCAGUUCUGGUAAUGAGACUAGCUUCAUAAGUGUUAAAUUUGACAACGAUGGUCCUUGAUUUUCUUUCGAAUCAUGAAGAAGCUUAUCUAUUUGAAAUACUUCUUGCAACUGGCCACAAUUAAUAACUUUCACUUCCUUUAGAUUCUGUAGCGCAGGAGAUAAAGAAAACAGGCUAGAGCUUUGAUAACUAGCUAUCUCAAGAGGGUAGUGAUCUAUGUUUGAAAGUAUUUCAUCGCCAUUUUCCACUUCUGCUAUUACAUGUAUUAGAGAGCCACAGUCGUGUAUAUGGAGUUCUUCUAGAUGCACCAAAGUUGGAAUAAGGGUAGGUGAAAAGAGAUAUGCCAGUUUAAAACACUCUGAAAUUUUCAUUGUUUUAAGAUUCUGGAGAUUAACAAGAUGGGUGGGUCCUCUCCAUAUGUAGCUCAAUUCUGGUAGUAACUCUAGUUCCAAACAUGUUAAAUUUGAGAGCGGUGCUGCCUGAUUUUCCUCACAUAAAGAAAAAAAUAAAUUUUAGUAGUUAGUAAAUACUAAAAUAUGAAUUCAUUAUACCAGAUAAAAAAUUUAAUUAAUUAUUGAAUAGGCAUACAUUUAAAAAAAAUUAUGAAAGGAAGUGUUAAAAGUCAAUAAUUUAGAAACAUUAGAGAGUAAUUUUUUAUAAAUUUGAUAAUUUAACAAAAAAAAGAUAAUUAUAUAAAGAACAGAUGAGUGCAUUAUUAAAAGAAAAAAGGAGAGUGAAGAGGUACCUCUAGCUCAAGCAUUUCUCUGACAAAAGUAAAAACUUGCUCCAAAUUUUCGCAUACAGAUAUGACGAGUUGUUCUAGAUGCAGUAGACUUUGAGCAAGGUAAGGUGAGAAGAUGUAUUUUAGUUCACGGCAAUCCAAAACUACUAGUUUCCUCAGACUUUGUAGGCUUGCAUGAUGAGUUGGCUCUUUCCAUAUAAUCUGCAAUGAUGGUAAUGAGAUUAGAUUCAAGCUUGUUAAAUUUGAGAGUGGCUGUGUCCGUCUUGCUUCCUCUUCAAGAAACCCAUUCAUCUGAAACACUGAUUGCAACCGCACACAAUUCCAAAUAAUCAAUGUUUCUAACUUUUGUAAGAACUUAAUCGGUGAUUGACCAUGGCACAACUCUUUCAAACAAGUCAUUCGACUCAUGUCUAAUUUCACCAAAUUAGAGAAUGCUGUGGUUGGUCUUUGUUCUCGUGUUGUAUCGAUCAAGCAUUCGACAUCCUUGCAAUAUCUAAGCUCAAGAGAAGUUAAAUCAUUUAGUCCCCACUGAUCUACCGUUGGGAUAAUAUUUUUGUGUUCCAUGAUAUUGUACAGAGUAAGCUUUUCCACAUUGCAAAAUAGCUCCUUAAAUGCGUGUAAUGAGGAAGAGAAAUCACUAAUUCUCAAGGUUCUCAAGCUUAGGCCAUUCAGAUAUUCAAGAUCUUUAUCUGAAAACGCUAUAUUAUACCUUUGUAGUUUAGGGAACACAAAGUUUUCUUGAAAAUGAUCUUUAUUUACUCUCAGUGUUAAUGCAGUCAAACGAGAAAAUGAAUUCAGCUCCCAUAAGUUGACAUUGUUUUUACUUGUCACGUGAAGCUCUUGGAGUAACGUUAACCUGUUACGCACAAAUACAGAGUAAUAUUAGCUCAAUAAUAGCACUUUCAAGGGAAUGACAAAAAUAGCUAAGUAAUGAAAUGAGUAAGAUAACAUAAACCUUCUUUUAUUUUAUUUUUUUACUUUUUCAUGCAUAUUGAAAAUGUGUACAAUCCAAUGGUAUUUUUCUCUCAAGAAAGCAAUAUUCUUAAGCUACCUUCGUACUACAGGUUGCAAUGUUUAUUGAAAAUGUGUGUGUGUUUGUGAUAGUCAAAAUAAAAAUAACAUAAGUAAUUGGAAAAAAAAUUAAUAACAUAAAAUUAAAUAUUUAAUUAAAAACAAUAAGAUAAACAAUUUUAAGCAUAUUUUAGUACUACCUUGAUAGCAAGUUAGGGGGGACAUUGCUGUCUCCAUAGCAAGAAAAAUAUAGUGAUUUUAGUCUAUGCAAUUCCACUAAUUCUCCUGGUAGCUCAUGAAUAUUAGUAUUAAGCAACACAAAAACCUCAAGGUUUUUCAUAUUUCUCAAUGAUGAAAUGUUUUGGAGCUCGCAAUCUACAAAGCAUAGAGUUCGAAGAUUUGUUAGGAAUUGAAGUGCUUCCAAUGAGAAUACAACAUUUCCGAGAAAUAAAACUCGAAGGCUUUUCAUUCCUUCAAAGAACAUACUUGAAACUCUAAGUGAACUCUUUCCUGUCAAAAACAAAAUCUUGAGUUCUGAAAAUUCCAUUUUUUCAGGAAGAUUGUUUAUCUUACUGUUCCAUAAGGAGAUUCCCAUAUAACAUCCAAAACUUUCACUCAUAGGCCAUUCCGUCAAUCCAUCUUUCACAAUGAAUAUAUUUUCGCCUCUUAAUGUUAUCCAGUGAGCAAAAUCGCGAACCACAUCAUGCAUUUUUACAAAUCCUUCAUCAUCAAUUUCCAAUAACAAACCAGACAUUUUGAGUUUUGAGAGUGCUAGACGAAUUUCCCUCCUUAAGUCUUCAAUUAAGUUAAUAUGACAAAACAAUCCCCAACCAAUUCCACAUAUAGUCAACAACUCGAUAUUAAUCUCAUAAUCUUCAGGGAAAAGAGAACACAACAAGAAACAUGAUUGGAUAUUGUCUUCCUUCAAAUAAUCAUAACUAAGCUUAAGGCAGUUAUAAAUACCUCCGCAAAUAUCUUGAUUAUCCAAAUGUCUUGAGCUUUUGAGUCGUUCAUUUGCUGCUAUCCACCCAUCUAGACUUUCACCUUUUAGAGCUUUUGCCAUAGUUACAAUUGCAAGAGGCAAACCCUUGCAUUCACGAGCAACCUGCUUGGCUACAUCAUUCAAGGUGGGAGAGACAUCUUUUAGAUCAGCGUUAUCUUUGAAUAAAGCCCACGCUUCACCAUCAGAUAAGAUUUUCAGUUCAAAUUUCUCUUGACAAUUCAUUUGAAUACAGACUUGUUGAAGACGUGUAGUUAGAAGAAUUUUGCAACCCUUGUGUUCACCACCAAAUGGAAUUCCUAUAGUUUGUAAUUUAAAUUCUUUCCAAACGUCAUCAACAAUUAUGAGCAUCUUCUUCUGGUCUUUUAACCUCCUCCAUAACUCUUCUGCUUUUCCUUCUUCUGUAUUUGUCUCAUAUUUUAAACCAAGAAUUUCUGCAAUUUUAUCUUGAAUUUUGUUGAUGUUUGGAGUUUGGGACACUGUAACAAUCACAACCUUAUCAAAGAGCUUUUGUUCCCUAGCUUGCUUCCCCACUACUUCCGCCAAAGUUGUUUUACCCACACCUGGCAUUCCAUACAAUCCAAUCAUGUUCACGCCAUAGCUAUUUAAAACCUUCAUGAUCCCAUUGAAAGUUGAUUUAGAAGAUUCGGAAUGCAUGAAAUCCUUGGGUAGUAGGAAUUCUAUUCCUUGAAGAGGAGCACGCUGGCCGACUCGUGGAAAGUUACAAGUCUCUAAAAGUUUAGAGAUAUAAAGUGUCUUCCUCGCUGCCUUCUUACUUAAGCAGUAUCGCCAGCCCCAACUAGGACACCAUUUGAAACACUUAUUACGUUCUAUUUCAUCUUCCAAACUCUGAGCUUCUCCCAAUUCUCUCUCUGCCCUUGUUAGCCACUCCUCAACGUCCUUCUCAAUUACUUCAGUUUGCCUUAUAGCCUCAUUGACAUCAUUUUUCACCCGAUCUUUUUUCAGUGCAAGUUCGUCUCGCUGAUUCUUGAACUCCUCAACAAUUCUGCCGAAAUGGAAAAAGUAGCUAACAUAACGUGAUGUGUAUUCUGUUGUCAGGUUUCCCACGGUAUUGGCAGCAGCAUUGGCAAAAAAUCCAGCAUCCAUUCUUUGAUGAUACGAGGCUGAAAAACAACUUCGAUGAGUAAAAAGGUUUUAUAGAGAGACAAAUUACAGCAGUAUUGGAUGUUUCGCAAAGCAUAGUAUAUUUAUUCAUCCCUUUAUGAAAAUUUUUUUGCUCAGCGAUACCUUUAUGAAAAUGUAAAGCAAAGGAGAACAAAUUGUUGAUUAAUCUACUUGAAAAUUGACACUGCUGCAGAUGGCAGAAAUUCUUCAGUCUUAAUGUGUAUAUUAAGAAUAUAUCUUACAUGUUAGAGAAAAAGUAUGUUAUAUUUAUUAAUUUUCCUUUCAAUCAGUUUUCUAGAAAAUAAAAAAUAACUACUAAUUAUUAAGAUAUUGCUUUCCCUAAAUCAAAGAGAUGAGCUAACAAAAAAGAAAUUAAUACCGGAAAAGGUACGGAAAUCCUUUCUUGAAACUUACCUCUCUAUUCUCGCCACUUGAAUGUGAAAGGAUAAGAGACAAAUACAAGUUUUUUAGCUUUCUGCUUCACACAAAUGCCAUGUGGAGUGUCACUGUAGAAGAUCAAAACAGUUAAUUUUGACAUAGAAAAUAAUUUAGAGCUAAUUUUGCAUGUGAAGUUUGCAGUUGCACACUCAAAUGAAAAAAACAAGACAAAUAAGCCAUGGAAGAAACAGAUGUACAUAUAUACCAAGGAAAGAUGAACUUUCAGGAGCCAAGGCAAAGCUUCUAUAUUGAUCCAGGCCAAAGAUAUUAGACAAUGAGAAAGUUUGUGAGGAGAGUUUUUUUUUUCUUUUUUUUUUUUUUGAGUUAAAAGAAAAUAUGCAUCAACUAUUAAGUCAAAUGUUCGUUUGCUACCUCUUGUAUAUGUUGUAAUCUAUGAUAAUUGUCUGUGUCUAAUUCUAUGAUAGUAAUAUACAUGUUUUUUCUUAAUCAGUAUUUUUUUGGUGAUAAGCUUUUUGUGGUUGCUAUAUAUUCCACCCAAAGCAAGUAUGCCAACCCAAAGUCUUAAACUAUGUAAGUCAAAGACUUUAUAGCACGUUUGGGACAAGGAAUAGCUCUAUUCCCAAGGGAAUAGCUUACCUCCAUUUGGUAUAGCAAUAUCACAAAGAAUAGCUAUUACCUAGUAAUAGCUAUUCUCUCAAAAGGGGUAAAACUCAUGCAUAGCUAAACCCGAGCUCCCCCAUGGUUUUUGCUAUUCCGUGACUGAGGGAAUAACUCUGAAUUAUGAUAAGACUAAAACACCCCUUAUCACUUAAAAAUAUUACAACCUUAGACCUAUAUAUAUAUUUUUUCUUCUCAUUUUCCCUUCUUCUUUCUCUCUCUUCUCAUGUUCUUUCCUCUCUCAUUCUCUCUCUAAGUGGCACCAACGUUGGAGAUGAUGUUGCGACGGCGACAACGGUGGCGGAAACGACGGCGACGGCGACGACGAUGGAAGCUGCUGCGACGGAGGUUUUAUGACCGAAUAUGGUCGGACAAGAUUCAAACGGAGAUUCAACCAGAUCUGGCACUCAACAGCUAGAUCUGGUGCUUCCCGACCAGAUCCCACGAUUGGAUCUGGCACUCCACGACCAGAUCCAGCCGCGGGGAAGCGCCGAUCUGGCACUAUAAUGGCUAGAUCCGGCCACAUGGUGCUCCAGAUUGGUGUUUUGUUACACCGAUCGCCUUUCCAGCGACCAGCUCAUGAAAAAAAAAAAAGAAGAAGAGAAAAAAUAGAAUAAAAAGAAUAAAUUAUUUAUAAAAUUUAAAAUAUUAAUAUUUUAUAUAAAAUUUAAAUAUUAUUAAUAGUAAUAUGAUUAAAAUAUUAAAUAUUAAUAUUUUAAACUAUUAAUGUUUUAUUUAUUAAAUUAUUAAUUUAUUAACUUUUUAAUGAAUAUAAAAAAUAAAAAUUAUUAAUAUUUUAAUCAUAAUAAUAUUAAAUUAUAAAUAAAAUAUUAUUAAUUAAAAUAUUAGUAAUUAAAUUAUAUUAAAAUAUUGAUAUUUAAAUUAUAAAUUAUUAAUNAUUAAUUAAUUAUUAUUUAUUAAAUUUUUAAUGAAUAUAAAAAUAAAAUUAUUAAUAUUUAAUCAUAAUAUAUUAAAUUAUAAAUAAAAUAUUAUUAAUUAAAAUAUUAGUAAUUAAAUUAUAUUAAAAUAUUGAUAUUUAAAUUAUAAUAAUUAAUAUUUUAAUUUAAUUAUAAAUUAUUAAUAUUUAAAAAAUAAAAAUAAAAAAUAAUAUAUAUAUAAAAUAUAUUUUUGUCUUUUUAUUUUCUAUUACUUUCUUAUUCCAAAAUUAUUGUUACCAACCAAACACUAUAAUAAGUCAUAAUAAUUAUUUUUACUCUAUUUUAUUCAUCAUACCAAACUACGUAAUACUUAUUCUAUUAUAUUCCCACCUCAUUCUAUUCCCACGUAAUAACUAUUCUAUUCUAUUUCUGUCUAUUCCGCGAAUCAAACGUGCCCUUAGUAGCAUAAGAACUCAAGCAUUGGCAGUAAGAGUGUAGCGAAUUUAGCUUCAAAUAUUUUUUUUUAUUUUCUCAUUAAUUAAGAAGAUAAAGAUUGCAAAUAUUUUCACAACUUUUGCCAGUAGGACACGGCAUCAUUGAUAUGUACAAAUAUGAAUAAGUGAUGCACUUUUGAAUAAUUGCUGUGGUCCCUCUAUUAUUGUCCUUCAUUUUUUUGUCAUUUUGCAAUCAUUUUUCUAUUAAGGUAUAUUUAUUUCUGACCUACAUGCUUGGUCGGUUUCAUGACGUUCAUCUUUGCCUUAUGGAACUAGCCUCACCUUUUCUAUCCUUUCUUCUUUGAAAUUUUAACCUUUUUUAUGUUCUGGACAUAUAUUAACACCAGCUUCCUGAAACCUACCUAAUUUGGAGUCUACUUUCCCUCGGAGUUAAAGAAACUCUAGAACAAAAAGAUUAGUGUUUACUGGAGUAUUGCUCCAUUUUCUUCUUAUUUUCAAGACUCUGUUACAAAGAAAUGAACGAGGAUGAAUAGAACAGAACACUUUCAAUUUUCAUAUUCAAACUCUGUACAAUUAAUGGAACAAAGUUAAAAUAUGCGUUUUGUUUAAGACAGAGAAGAAUAAAAGCCGAAAUCAAAUAAAGUCUUUGAGGUAGUGUAGCUCGCAGAUGUGGAGACGAUACAAGAAGAUGAUUCAAUAGAAACCGUAUGACGACAAAGUAAUAAGAGUAGGUAUGGGAAAUUUGGAACACUAAUACUCAAAUUACAAACAAUGGAAAACUAGGUGAUUAUUAAUAAGACUAGGUAUAGGAAAAUUGGAAAAAUAUUGGCAACGAGGGUCAAAGUCGUCCCAUCCUCCCAUGUGAGUUUCCCCACCAAUUAAUAAACAAAAUUAUGAUUUCUCUUUUCUUUGAUAAUGCAGCUACAAUAAUAAGAGUAGGUAUGGGAUAAUAUUUGAAUUAGGAACAAUGGAAAUGUAUUGGCAACUUGGCUGAAAGUCAUCCCAUAUACUCCCAUGUGAGUUUCCCUCUUAUCAAUAAACAAAUAUGAUUCUCUUUUCUUUGAUAAUCCUAACGAAACCUUAUGUAUAAACAAUUUAUAUUUAAUCUGAAAAUUUCAUAAUCGAAUUUAAAAAUACAAAGCGUACCUAAUUUCUUAUUCAUGGUUUGACAGCAAAAAUGGUAUUGAUCAGAUUAACUGCUAGUACUUUUUUUAAAAGAAGAUUAAUUGCUGGUACUUAGUGCACUAAGACGUUCCUUUCAUUUUUUUUUUAUGAUUAUCUUCUCUGCAUCUUCACAUUUUUGCAGCUUGUGAUUAUAAUCCAUUGGUGUAGCAACAGGUUUAGCUCUCAAUAAUCUGUGUUCCUCCAGCAAUUUUAAUGUAUAUUUUCUCUUACAUACAGAGAUUCCUCCAGAGGAUCUGGCUAUCUCCAACCCCAAGAAGUACUUUACUGUACCAAGGUCUUUUAAUUUGAACUAUGUGCUCAAAAAUUCCUUGACAUUGUUUGCUGCUUCGAUUGAUGUGCUUUCAAUCAAAAUAUCAUCCACAUACAACAACAAAGCAAUAAAUUCUCCCUUUUUUGUCUGCAUAGUGAAUAACGAAUAAUCUACAAUUGACUGCUUGGAUCCAUAUUACUGAAUAGAGGCAGUAAACUUGGCAUUCCACUGUCUGAAAGCCUGUUUAAGUCCAUAAAGUGAUUUGUUUAACUUGCAUACUAGUUUGUCUCUGUAGGAUACUCCCCCUUAGUGGUAUACCCUUCUAGUAACUCCAUAUAUAUAGUUUCUUGUAGAUCCCUAUGUAGAAAAGCAUUGUUCACAUCUAUUUGUGAAAGUGUCCAAUUAAAUGCUGCUGCCAAUGCAAAGAACAGUACUCUGACUGUGGUUUGCUUUGCCACUGGACUAAAUGUCUUCUGGUAAUCAAAACCAAGUACUUGAUUAUAGCCUUUUGGCCACUAACCUCGCCUUGUAACUUUCAACCUGUCCAUUAGCAUUAAGUUUCACUUUGUAAACCCAUCUGCAGCCUAUUACAUGUGCAUUAGAAAGUUUAGGUACUAAACUCCAUGUAACAUUAUCUUCCAUAGCUUUCAGUUCAAGAGUAAUUGCCUUUUUCCAAUGUGAAUGAUUAAUGGCCUCAUAGUAAGACUUUGGUUCUUGUAUUUGUGAAACUGAAAUGGUAAAAUUUUUAUGAGCAAGUGAUAGGUAUUGAGAUGACAAUGCAUUGAAAUAGGAUGGGUAGUAACCGUAUAUGUCAUAAAGGGCAAGUCUGUAUGAUAUGCAUCAAGGUAUUUGGGGACUUGUUUGAUUCUGGUACUCUUUCUAACAAGUAAGUUGGUCAAUGCUUCUGCCAAUUCAAUGUUGUUUUGGUGAUAGUUACUACUUUAACAGUCUGCACACUGUCGGCUACAGUAGUCAUGCUGAGAGUGUUGGGUGAAUUUAAUGACAAAUCAUUAGAAUUUUGAGUUUGUAAAGGUGAAAUAAGUUCAGGAAAACUUGACUCGGCUGAUGUGUUGUCAAGAAAGAAAAACUAGGUUGAUAAGAGUCAGAAAUGUCUAUGUGACUGGCAUGCACAUCAGGUGUUUGACAGAAUGUAGAUGACUGUGCAUUUUGCUUAGAACAUUGAAAUGGGAAUACUUUCUCAAAAAAAAAAGACUUUUCUAGAUAUAAGAACCUUGCAUCAAGAUCAUAUACCUUAUAACCUUUAACAUUGCUUUAAUAACCUAAUAAUACACAUUUACUUGCCCUCUUAUCUAAUUUCUUUCUGUUAUGUGGGAGUGUAGACACAAAACACAAUGAUCCAAACACUUUGAAAUGCUUAUAGGUAGGUGGUUUGUUGUACAGCAUCUCAUAUGCGGACUUGUUUUUGAGAAUUUUGGUUGGAAUCUUGUUAAUUAUAUGAACUACCGUUAGCACGGCAUCACCUUAAAAAUGAAUUGGAAGACUGGAUUGAUGCAUGAGAGCUCUUGCCACCUCCAAAAUAUGUUGGUGCUUCAUUUCAACAACACCAUUCUGUUGUGGUGUCUCUACUCGGGACAUUUGAUGAGCAACUAUUGUUUUUGGAUAGAAAUCACUAAGUUUAAAUUCCUAACCAUUGUCAAACCUUAAAAACUUGAUUGAUGAAUUAAAAUGCCUUUGUACAUACUUAUCAAAGGAAGGAAUAAUGGUUAAAACAUCUGAUUUGCUUCUCAUCAAAAACACCCAAGUAAACCAACUGUAGUCAUCUACCAAAGUGAGAAAAAACCAUUGUCCUGACAAUGUUGGUGUCUCAUAUGGACCCCAUAUGUCAGUAUGCACAAGUUCAAAAAGUUUCUCAGAACCUUGAACAUGAACUGGGAAAGCAAGUUUUCUUUGUUUAGCCAUGGGGAAAACUUCACAAAGCAAGUUAUUUGUACAUUUCACAUGAGGAAAUCUCUGAUUGAUUACAUUAAUUCUUUCAAUAGGGAUAUGGCCUAACCUAAAAUGCCAUAGAACAAAAGAGUUUUACUCUGUCUUGGAAACAUUAACAGAUAAAACUUUUGGAGUCUUUACAAAAUUUUCAAAACAAAUUUUUGAUAAAUCUUACUCAUCUUGAUUCUCUUUCAUCAAUAAAGUCCUGAGUAGGCUCUACUAACCUUAAUCACCUACCAUGAAGGAAUGCCCUGGACAAUACAGUGUUUGUCAGUGAAUAGCAUACAAGCUUUCUUGCCAUUUGUAAUCUGACCUACUGACAUUAGAUUAAAUUUGAAACUUGGAACAUGUAAAACAUUAUGCAAAAUCAAUGAAGAACUCAACUUGACAGUUCCAAUAUGAGACACAGGAAUUUUCUGUUGUUUGGUAACUCAACAAAACAAUUCUUUACUAGUUUGGCAUGACUAAAAUUGCUUAAGGAAUAGGAUGUAUGAUCUGAUGCUCCUGAGUUUACUAUCCAUUGGUUUUUCUUUAUCAAGCUAGUAUUCACAUUCCCAUAUUCAUAUGACAAAUUAUUCAUAAUAGUAAAACAUAAGUGUCUUGAAACAAUACUUGCAAAGGAUGAAUUGGCUAGUGAGUGUUUGGUUUUGUAGGGUACUGUUGAGUUCUUACCAUCUCUUCCAUUCAUAUCAUUCACAUUCAAGAGGUCCAUGAUCUUGUUAACAUGCUGUUGUAGGAUUGAUAGUUGAGACAUGAAGCCUAUUCCACCCAAUUCGUCUUCUUGCUCUGUUUAAGACACAUUGUUUACUGCAGCCUUUCCUUUCUUGUUGUUUCCUUUCCCUUUUGUGAAUUUAAAAUCCUCUAGAAAGCCAGUGAUUCUGAAACACUUAUCUUUGGUGUGUCCUUUCUUCCCAAAAUGGUUACAUACUAUGUCUUUUUUCCACUUUUUCUUGUAUUCUACACUGACCAUCAUAGCAAACGAUUCUAUUAUUGCUUGACGUUGCAGCACAGCAUUUCUUUGGGAUUCUUCUGUCAAGAUCAAACUGUAAACUUUAUCUAGAGCAGGGAUAAGAUCCAUGAGAAUAAUUUGGGAUCUAAUUGCUGCAAAUGAUUCAUUCAACCCAUUCAAGAACUUGAAUACCAUGUCUUCUUGAUAAAGGUCAGAAUAUUUCUUGAAACAAGCAGGAUUGUAGCUCCCACAUUCGCAAUGUGGUAAUGGUCUAUAAUGCCUCAUUUCUUCCCAUAGUCCCUUCAACUCAAUAAAAUAUGUAUCAACUGUCCUAGUCCUUUGAGUUACAUUCCCUAGAACAUACUAUAAGUUACAAAGGUAUCGUCAGGUUAAGCAAAGUUUUGUUUGAGUGUAUUCCACGUCAUAAGCAGAAUCCAUAUAAAAUAUGGUUGAAGCAACUGGUUGAGUAAUUGAUUCCAGUAACCAUCCCACAAUAAGAUUAUUGCAGUGGAUCCGUGACUGGAAAAGGGGAUCUGUGAUCUUUGGCUUAGGUAUGGUUCCAUUGACAAACCCGAUCUUGUUUCUAAUCGAGAGUGCAAGUAGAAAAGACCUACUCUAGGUGAUGUAAUUACUGGUAGUGAGUUUGGGGUAGAUAACUACUGAACCAAGGUGGUCAGUAUGAUGAAAGUAAUAUGGUGACUGGGGAUCAGCAAUAGGAGGGAUUUGAAUGGUCCAUGUGCUGGUUUGGGUUGUGGUUUGUGAUGGUCUUAAUUCAUCAUAUUCGGACAUUAUUCUAUUGCUUUAAUCAAGCUCAAUGAUGAGUACAAAAAUAAAUAAGCAACCCAAAAAAGUUGCCUAGAGGCAAACUUACUAAUUCUGUGAAUGAUGACAGAUUCCUUCAAGGAUCAAAUUCCCGCUUUGAUACCAUGAAAGAAAUAGUGAUGCAGAGAAAGGACAGCAUAGUAAAUGAGGGAAUGUUUCUGAUCAUUCCAUUUCAUAAAGGAAAUCUGUACAAAAGUAGUAUUUAUAGUCUGUACAAAAGCGUAACCUGAUGAAAGAGAAAACUAUAACUAAUCCUAAGAUUAAUUACUUCAACUAACUAAACUAAUUUUUGAAAAAUACACUUUAUUAAUUAAACACUGCAUUUGAUGCCUUUCACUGGUUCCUUCUUUAUUUUAAAUGAAACGGUGCGUCUUGAGUUUUCCUUGUCGUACUUAUGGCUUCCUCUUUCUCAUAGUCUCGAUCUCUCUUCUUCCUUCUCUUCUUGUUUCUAGUUCAGCCUUCAUCAGGGAUUCAACCAUUUAUGAUGUUCUUGGACUUAUUUUGCAGCUCACUUUAGAUAUGCCAUUUCAAGUCUCUAACCUGAUAAGCCAAAGACUUCCAUGGCAUUAAAACCCCGGUAUGGGAGUAAAGCGGUCAAUUUGAUUAUACAAAGUGAGUCAACCAAUAAAAAACAGAUGCUCGAAAACAACAUAUACAACAAGCCCUGUGACCAAGAGAAGGGUAUCAUAAAGGCCAGAGCAUCCAAAAAACAGAGGCCAAAACCUAUACAUUUACCAACCCUCAGCUGUGAUUGCAGCAAACAAAAAAUAAAGAAAGGACACAGCUCUAAUUUGCAAUUGGAAUUCCAAAGCGAUAAGGGACUGUAAAAAAGUAUGAAUGAAGCAAAAGCACACUGAAUGGCACCAUCACAAACAUCCCGGGCCAUCAGAAACCAUGAAAUCAGGGGCUCACUAGCGGAAAACACAAAAAAAAACCAUUAUCACCAAUCAACAAAGCCACGAGAUGUAGAUGACAAACCAGAGCCAGCAUCUUAACAUGAAAAGUAAACAAGAGAUCCAUCGCUCCAUCAGACCGUUCCACCAGCUUAAAAACUCAUUGGUUCACAGUGCACAAAUGCCAGCAUCAAAAUCUUUAGCAAAGGAAAAGAAAACAUCCCCGCAUCUAGAUAAGAAACAGAGGAAUUUCACUAUUGUUCUUCUACUUAUUGUACAUACAGAGAGCAACGUAACAUUGAUUGGGUAAAUUAUUGAGAGCAAAAGAUCACUUAAAAUACAAAAAUAAGGAUAAGAAAAAGGGGAAUUUCACUCUUCUUCUUCUACUUAUUGUUUGUAGAGAGAGCAACAUAACAUUGAUUGGGUAAAUUAUUGAAAACAAGGGAUCCCUUCGCUUGACAACUCCAUGAAGCAAAGUAAUUUCAACACCUUGUUUUUUUUAUAUAUAAAUAUAAUAAAGUUUAACGCAAGUGAACCACCCAAACUUGAUUAGGAAUAGGCAAACAAAAGAAAGAAAUAGAAAGCAAAAGCAGCCUUUGUUUUACCCGUGUUUUGUUGACAGCCUCAACUACUCAUUUAUUUUGCAACUUCCCCUGAAUCAUUCUUUCAUGUAAGGUGUUAGCUGAUCCCCUGUGCUUCGGGACCAAAAUAUGUUCUCGAAGUGAACUGCAUUUUGAGUAGUGGUAGAUCCUUCGGUGACGUCUUGCUCAACUUGUCGUGGUAUCCUUCAGAAAAAUUGAAAUACUGAAAUGAAAAGCAAAAGUAUUAAUUUCUUAUGAUACAAAGGCAAAAGAAGAAUUAGCUAUGUUAUAUUUUAUAAGCAUUUUAGGUCAAGUUCAUAAACGAUAUUACUCAAUCAUGGAGAUAUGCUUAGUGGAGUCCAUUUGUCGAAAUAUGUUUAAUUUACAAACUAAAAUGAUAAAAUUACCUGAAUUUGAUUACAUAUAAUAGUUGGAUUAGGAAAAUACUUUUCCUUUUUUGGUUUUUGAAGACUGAAGAAAGAGAGGUUUAGAAAUUUUAAAUAUUUGUGGAUUUUGAAAAGAUAAUGUUUAAAAAAAAGUGUGUGAAAUUAAUGUGGUAGUGCAAUUCUCUAUGUUCCAAUUGGCUUUUGCACUUGUUUAAGAUAACAUACGGUUGUUGUCAAAAUAAUUGUUUUAUGACGAAGCAAUAGAAAAAUAUUAAGAAAUUGACUUUGUUCUUUUCAUCAAUUUGUCAGCCUAGUCGACCAAGUCUAAAACCAAAGCAACAAGGCUGCACAACCAGAGGACGGGGAAUGGACAGUAUGGAUCUCGAGGAGAGUUGCAUUCAUUGAAAUGCAUAGAAAAUUUUGUAAGAUUUGUAAGAGUAAGUAAACUGUUAUAAGUGAAAACUUAAACUCAGGUCCUCACUCCAAUUGCUAGAAAGAUUUCAAAUUUUUUAUGGUCAGUUUGGUAUUAGAAACAUUUCUUCUUCUGUUCAAGGUCAGAUAGAGAGAAUUUAUUGUUUCUCAUUUCUUUAGCGUUUUUUAGGGUUUGAUUUCUAGUAAUUGAAUUUUUUUUUUUUUAGUGAUUGUUUGCUUUCUUUACGGAUUAAAUCAGUACACUCUUUUAUUUUUUUUACCAUGUCAUGUAUCAAUUUUUCUUUUUUUGAAAAGUAAUUUCAUUGCAUAAGAACAGGGGAACCGACAAACUUUACAAAAGAUGGAUUGUAUUUUCCACUUGUCCUAUAAAUGCCAACAUUGUCACAUAAUAUUGCUCUUGUAUCCUACAAAUGCCAACAUGACAAGAGAUUAACACGCCCAUGGAUUCUAUCCAAAUAAGGGAGAGAGUUUGGAUAGUGAAAAAUAAUAUUUUAAGAGUUUAAUUAAAUAUAAUAAAAGAAUAGAUGAUUAUUUAAUUUUUUUUUGAAAUAAUACAUGUACUUUUCUAUCAUUUUAGUUAAAUACACGCCACUCGUAUUCUUAUAAGAUCAGAUUUUAAAUCAAAUGAAACUAUUAUGAAAAGAAAAGUACGUUUAAGUGAUAAUUGAAUGAGUUCAAGAUAGAGUUACUGAAUAUGAAAGUUUGAAUUUCUUUAAGUGUGGAUCAGUUUAUGAGUGUUGAAAAUAUUUGGCUCAAAGACAAAAUCCAAAAUCAUAAUUGAAGGAAAAGUGUAUAAAAGAAAUACCUUUAGUUGAACCAGCUCGUUAAUUUCUUUUUGAAUGAUGAAAUUUGUCAAUUUAGGGUAAUUCCAAACUUUCAACUUCUCCAAAGAUGGUGAUGACAUGAGAGAGUUUUCCAAGCAAAUGCAACUCAAAUUUAUCAAGUUUACAAGUUGUAAAUCUUGUAGGCAAGGGAGUGCAAUGGCACAAUCAACUCCAUUCUUUUCUUUUGCCAAUUGGAAGACUUGUUGCAAUCGAGGAGAAUCAGUUACCCAGAAUGAUUUCAACUGUGGAAGAGCUUGAGCCAAAGGAAUUUGAAAAAUAUCUUCUAAUAUUGGACAAUGACUUAUUCUUAGAUUUUCCAAUUUCAGCAAGAACGAAGAAUAGUAUUUUGUUUCUAUUUCAGCAUCACAGACCAACUUGGUAAUAAUGUGUUGCAGUCCAUCACACUGAUCUAUCUUGAGUUGUUCAAGGAGAACCAAGCUUUGAGCAAGGGAUGGUGAGUAGAGAUAGUUCAAUCUAUUGCAGUAACUAAUUUCUACAAACUUCAAGCUUUGGAGGCUGACAAAACGGGUGGACCCUUUCCAUCUCCAAUUCAAUUAUGGUAAUGAAUUUAGCUUCAUAAGUGUUAAAUUUGACAACAGCAGUCCUUGAUUUUCUUUUGUAUCAUGAAGAAACUCAUCUAUUUGAAAUACUUCUUGCAACUGGCCACAAUUAAAACACUUUCACUUCCUUUAGAUUUUGUAGCGUAGAAGAUAAAGAGACCAUUUCCAUGCAAUUCCUAAUUGUCAACUUCUCUAGUUUUUGUAGAAAGCCCUUUGGAAACUGACCGUUGCACAACAUUUUCAAACCAGUCAUUUUAUGCAUGUAUAAUUCCACCAAAUUGAACAAGGAAUUGGUUGAGACAUGCCCUUCUGUUGUAUCAAUCAAGCAUUCAAGCUCCUCGCCAUCGUAAAGUGCAAGAAAAGUUAAUUCAUUAAGCCACUUUGAAUCUACAUUUGGAAUGAGAUUUUUCUGAUACAUGACUCCUUUCAGGGUAAGAUUUUUGACAUUGUGUAAUAACUCCUUCAAUGCAUGCAAUUGAACGUCGUGAUCAUAAAUUCACAACAAAAUGAAACACAUUAGAAAAAUAGAAAGGUAGAUAAUGCUCUUUAAAUCAGAAUUGAAUUUUUUUUCUAUGCAUAAAAUUUAAAACAUUCCAAAGCUUAUUAACGUUUGAAAAACAUACCAAAGCCUGGAAUAUAAAUAGUGUACACGCUGAAAUUUAUUGGACACAUGGAAAUAUGAUUUAGCAAUAAAGUACACGUGGCAUGCAUGUAAGGAAGGAAAAUAAAAUAAAAUUUUUUUAUUGCCAUGUGCUUGUUUUUUUUUUUAUUAAAUUCAUUAAAUAUUUUAUUCUAUCAUGCAACGUACCUGUCUGCUAUUGUCAAGUCAUGCUUUCACAUGUCCUAUAAAUGCUAGCUUGGCUAGGAGUUAAAAUACCCAUGGACUCUAUCCAAAUGAGGGUGCUUGGAUAAUGAAAAUAACAUUGUGAGAGCUUAAUAAAAGAAAUACCUUUAGUUGAAUUUGUUCUUUAACUUCUUUUUGAAUGGUAAAAUUUAUUAAUUUAGGACAGUUGUAAAUUUUCAACUUCUCUAAGUUGAUGAGAUGGUGAUGAGAUGAGAAAGUUUUCCAAACAAAAGCAACUCAAAUUUAUCAUGUUUACUACUCGUAAAUCUUGUCGGCAGGGGAGUGCAAUGGCACGAUUAUCUCCAAUCUUUUCUUUUGUCAUAGUCUUGAGACUCUAGAGAUUAAGAAAAUGGGUGAAUCCUCUCCAUAUGCAGCUCAAUUCUAGUAAUGACUUAAGCUUCAAACAAGUUAAAUUUGACAAUGGUUGUACCUGAUUUUCAUGGUAUAAAAAAAAUAUAUAAUUUUUUAAUUAAUAAAUAUUGAAAUAUGAAUUCAUUGUACUUAAAUAUUGAGAAGACAUAUAUUUUUGAAAAAAUAUAAAAGGAAGUGUUAAAAGCCAAUAAUUUAGAAAGGUUAGAUAGUAAUUAUUUAUAUAUUUGAUUAUUCAAUAAAAGAAAGGUCAUUAGAAAAAGAAUAUACGAGAGCAUUAUUAAAGGAAAAAUGGAGAGAUAAGAGGUACCUCUAGCUUACCAUUUCUUUGUCAAAAGUAAGUGCUUGCUCCAAUUUUUCGCAUUCAGAUAUGGAGUUUCUCUAUAUGCAACAAACUUUGAGUAAGGUAAGGUGAGAAGAUAGAUUUCAGUUUAUCACAACCUUGAAUUAUUACAUCCUUCAGACUUUGUGGGCCUACGUGAUGAGUUGGCUCUUUCCAUAUACUCUCCAAUGCUGGUGAUAGCUGCAGCUCCAACUUUCUUAAAUUUGAAAUCGUCCGCAUCUGACUUUCUUCCUUUCCAAGAAGCCCAUCCAUUUGAAACAGUGAUUGCAAUUGCUCACGAUAGGAAAUGCUCAAUGUUUCUAACUUCUUUAAGAUGCUAGGUGAUUGACCAUGACACAACUCUUUCAAAGAAGUCAUUUGACCAAUGUAUAAUUUCACCAAAUUAGAGAAUGCAGUGGUUGGACUUUGUUCUCGUGUUGUAUCGAUCAAGCAUUCCAGCUGCUUGCAAAAUGAAAGCUCAAGAGAAGUUAAUUCCUUUAGUUCGCACUGAUCUACAUUUGAGACAAUAUUUUUGUGUUCCAUGGUGACACCGAACAGAGUAAGCUUUUCCACAUUGCAAAACAGGUCCUUAAAUUCAUUUAAUGAAGAUGAGAAACAACGAAUUAUCAAGGUUCUCGAGCUUAGCCCCGCCAAAUCUUCAAGAUAUCCAUUUACAGUUAUGUUGUAGCUUUGAAGUUUAGGGAACACAAAGUUUUCUUGAGAACAUUGAUGAAUAGAAACUCUCAGUGUUAAUGCAGUCAAACCAGACAAAGAAUUCAGCUCCAAUAAGUUGACAUUGUUUGUACCUGUCACGUGUAGCUCUUGGAGUGACGGUAACUUGUUACACACAAAUACAAAAUGUUCUUAAUGCAAUAAUAUAUAGCACUUUUAACCGAAUGAUAAAAAUAGCAAGAUAAUGAAAUGAAUAAGAUAACAUUAACUUUUUUAUUUCGUCAUUCUUAAAGAUACUUUUGUACUACAGGUUGCAAUGUUUCAUAAUAAUAGCAGUGACCAAAAGCUCAUGCUAGAUGUAUAUUUGUUUGUGGGGAAAAUUACUUUGUUGCAUUCCAAAGUGAGAAAAAUAUAGUGAUUUUAAUCUACGUAAUUCCACUAAUUCUUCUGGAAGCUCAUGAAUAUUAGUUUGAAGCAAUGCCAAAACCUCGAGGUUUUCCACAUUCCACAAUGAUGAGAUGUUCUCAAGCUCACAAUUUGUAACACACAAAGUUCUAAGAUUUAUCAAGAAUUGAAGUGCUUCUAGUUUGAGUACAACAUCUUGGAGAAGUAAAAUUCAAAAGGUUCUCAUUCUUCCAAAAAAAAUUACACAAAACUCUCAAUGAAUUCUUUCCUUUUAGAAACAAAAUCAAGAGUUUUGAAAAUAACUUUGUUAGGAAGAUGAUUAAUCUCAAUGCUUCAAAAGAAAAUUACCGUACAACAUUCAAAACUUUCACUCAGACCAUUUCAUCAAUCCAUCUUUUACCAUGAAUUUAUUUUCCCCUCUCGAUGUUAUCAAAUGAGCCAAAUCACGAAUCACAUCAAACAUUUUUACAGAUUCUUCAUCGUAAGUUUUCAAUAACAAACUAGACUAUUGGAGUGUAAUUAGAGCUUCAUGAAUUUUCCUCCUUAAGACUCCAGUUGAGUCAACAUUACCAAACAAUCCUUGACCAAUUCCACAUAUAGUCAACAUCUCAAUUGAUAUUUCAAAAUCUUGUGGAAAAAGGGAACACAGCAACAAACAUGACUUGACAUUAUCAUCUUCCAAAUAAUCAUAACUAAGCUCAGACGGCUAUAGAUACCUCCACAAACAUAUUGAUUAUCCAAAUGUCUCGAGUCUUUGAGUCGUUGAUUUGCUAUUAUCCACCCAUUUAAACUUUUACCUUUUAGAGAGUUUGCCACAGUUACAAUUACAAGAGGCAAACCAUUGCAUUUACGAGCAACCUACUUGGCUACCUUCAAGGUGGGAGAGUCAUCUUCUACACCAGCUUUA
rnacentral:lncRNA from 1 species